CCAUGUCAUCAUCAGAUUCCUCAUUUACUCAGGGUGACAUAGCGAUCAAGCAGUCUCAAACUGUGAGAGGCAGACGAAUCGAUUCGAGUUUCUUAACCAUGCAUGGCGGACCUAAUCUCACGACAUCCGCGCACCACAAGGGCCGCUUCCUGUGUCGGCCGUCCCCAUCAAUUCCCAGGCGCGUGUCAGGUCCAAACUUCCCUUGGCAUGCAAUGCUCCACAGUCCCGGCCUCCACCAUACUGUGACCGCACUUGCACCCACAUGAUGCACCAUGGGAACCUCGUUCCAGGGACAGCAGGGGUAUAAGCCACGCCCUAGUUCAAUUAGGUACUAGGCUUCCCCAUCCCAUACUAGGUAUGAGAUUAGUACCUUCAAACACUUGAUCACGAACACCACCACUGUCGGGCCUUAGCAAGUUUCAUAGACAGACGGAGCGAUCAACCGACCACCAAAGAGUUACCUCAAACCCUACCCCGUCCAUCGUCCUUACAGUUGUAACAGAAGGGUAGACAUCCAACUCCUACAACUCGCGAGUGACAGGAAAUCACUCGGCUUUUACCGUUUCCUGUUUAAGCAAAGCAUCUACUCGGUCCAACAGCUAGUGUUCAGAUCAUGGGAGCUAGUUCAUGCAUCUAGGGUUCCAACCAACUCCUAUACGUAAAUGCACAAGCAUGUUUAAGGAAGGCAUGCGCAAGUUUGGAGAACAUAGGGGUUUCAUGCAACUGGGGCUUGCCUUCGAGCAAGGAGGAAGAGAACUGCUCGACUUCUGGGGCGGCUUCGGCUUCAGAGGGCAGGAGCUCAGCUACACCGUCGUCUUCUGGCGCCGAGUGCAGCUCGUAGCAGCCGUCGGCGAGGCGCAGCUCUACACGAAUGCAAUGCAUUAAUUAGCAUAGACGGUUAUUUCAACAGCAACACUUGCAAGUCUGAGCCCAGAAACUCGCAACAAAAAGCAGGAGGGUGGGAAGGUUCAAGGGAGCUGGUGGAGAUCAAGAGGUAAGGGUCGGAGGAAAGGAACUUAUGAUCUGACCCUUAAACUAGAGGGUUUGGUGUGCUAGGGAUCCUCAGACUCAACGCUGAAGGGUCCCCAAGUUUUACACAUACACCCUUGGUUUGAAGAAAAAGAUUCAGCCGAGUCCUCGGGCGAGGUGGAGAAGGGUCGGCGGAACAAACAGGGUCGGGCGAGACGGAACCGGGGUCGGGCGGAUAAGAGGGGUCGGGCGAAGCGGACAGGGGUUGGACGAGGCGGACCAGAGGUCGGCAGCUUACCUUCUUCUUACAAGGAACGCUGGGGGUCGGGAAGAAGCAGACUUGGGCGGAGGGGUUAAGGCUUUGAACAGCGGCUAGGUCCGGCUAUACUCCGGCGGCGGCGGUGCUUCUUGUGGAUCACAAGUAAGCUCUUACGCAGCGCAGAGGAGCAAGCGGCUGGGUGGCUUGGGGAAAACGGAGUGGAGCAGAGAGGAGAGUUCCUCAGGAACUUAGUGGGGUGGCGCUGGGAGCUCGAGCAGGGAGCAAGCAAAAAGGUGGAAAGGCAGCAAUGGCGAAGGGGACUCCGGCGGGGUUCGCGCAUUCCCUUUUAUAGUGGCGCGGGAGUGAGAAGGGGAGCGGCGCGGGAGUGAGAAGGGGAGCGGCGCGAAGGCCGGGGAAGAAGCAAUGGAGUGCUCUGCCUGGGCGGCGAUUGAGCGACGAGGGCGGUGGAGCAGGACUUCGGGGAUGACGCUAGCGGUCAUUGGGCUCUGGCGUCAGGGCGGCGCAGGAGCGGGUAUGCCGGUGGUUGAGAUUUGGCGGAGGCGGGCGUCGUCGUGCGGUAGAGUUGAUGGAAGUGACCGGGUUAACGGCGCUAGAAUCGAGGGCGCACAGGUGAGAAGACAGGCGGCUGCGGGCGCGCGGGCGAGCGCGGAGCAACAGAUUGUCGGGUGGCUUCUGACAGGGCGGGGAAAGGAGCUGUCGCUGUCGUGGUCAGGGUUGGCGGAGGAGGAAUCGUCGGGUAGCGAAGACCAGGCGGUGCGACUGUGUCGAAGUGACGGAAAAGACGGGCGACAUCAGGCUUUGCGGCCGGGAUCUGGCGACGUGAUGAUGCGCGCGGGUGGCAAGGUGCUGCAGAAAGGUUGCAGAGGGGCUUCCGCUGCGAUUGGGGAAGGGGGCGCGAGAAUCCAUUCGGUCGCGGGCCAGAGACGAGGCGGAGCGGUGGGCAUCGGAGAAGUUGAGCCACACGGGAGGGGAACUCUGAAGCGGGCAUACAACUCGAGUGCGCUUGUCGUGGAAGAUCUGGGGGAAAAGAUCUCGUCGUCCACCGGUCAGACUGUAGGGAGGUGUUGGGGAAAGACUCAGAAAGAUCCGGCGGGUGAGUUGGGGUCGGCGGGGUCGGAACUGGAGACCAGCGGAGAGGGGUCGGGUCUCAGGGGUCGGGACCGGUCUGGAGGUUGAUCACUUAGGCUUGGAAAGCUAAGGCAGGUGAUCAGGGGCUCGGAUUAGGAUUAACUUGGAAGAUUUGGGGUCAGUCAUCACAGCCUACCCCUCUUAAAAAGAAUCUCGUCCCGAGAUUCAGGUAUAAAAGUAGGGUGUGCCGUUUUUACCUCCUUGACGAGACAAGAAAACCUGGGAAGUGCUUGUUCAGAUACUUGUCUGUUUCCCAUGUUGCUUCAUCCUCCGUGUGGUUCCUCCAGAGGAUCUUGUACAUUCUUACCAUUUGGCGCCGGGUAUUCCUCUCUUUCUGGUCAAGAACUCGGUCUAGGUACUCGGCGUAGGUUAGGUUGGGCUCGAUCUGAAGCUGCUCUUGCUCUAAGAUCUUGGUUGGAACUUGGACACAUUUCUUCAGUUGAGACACAUGGAAGACAUCGUGUAUGGCCGAUAGCUGUUCUAGGAGUUGGAUCCGAUAGGCCACGGGUCCACAAAUCUCCACAAUCUCAUAAGGGCCAAUGUAGCGGGGAGCCAAUUUUCCUUUCACUCCAAACCGUUGCACUCCUUUGGUCGGGGAGACUCGAAGAUACACAUGAUCACCAAUGUCGAACUGUAGGGGUCUUCUUCGCCUGUCGGAAUAACUCUUCUGUCGAGAUUGGGCAGCUUUGAGAUUUACUUGAAUUACCCUUACUUGCUCUUCGGCUUCUGCCACUAACUCAGGGCCAUAGAUCUAUCUUUCUCCUGCUUGGGACCAGUUCAAUGGUGUCCGACAUCUCCGGCCAUAUAAGGCUUCAAACGGUGCCAUCUUCAAACUGGUCUGGUAGCUGUUGUUGUAGGAGAAUUCUGCCAAGGGCAAACACUUAUCCCAAUUUUUGUCAUAAUGGAUGACACAAGCUCUCAACAUGUCUUCAAGGAUCUGAUUGACUCUUUCGGUUUGACCAUCGGUUUGAGGAUGAUAGGUUGAGCUACGGAUGAGCUUGGUGACCAUGGAUGCUUGUAGUUGUUCCCAAAAGCGUGCCACAAACUGAACUCCUCGAUCAGAGAUGAUGGUCUUGGGUACACCGUGUAGGGAAACUAUGCGGUCGAGGUACAACUCUGCAUACUGUUUGACUGUGUGGGUGGUGCGGACAGGAAGGAAGUGGGCGGUCUUGGUCAGGCAGUUCACUAUAACCCAGAUGGAGUCAUGUCGCUGUGAUGUAAGGGGCAGUCCAACUAUGAAGUUCAUGCUGAUGUCUUCCCAUUUCCAAGAGGGAAUAGGUAGGGGCUGCAGGGUACCUGCUACCUUUAGAUGGCUGGCUUUGACACGUUGACAGGUAUCACAUUCUGAAACAUAACGGGCAAUUUCCGACUUCAUUCCACUCCACCAAAAGGUUUGGCGGAGAUCAUGGUACAUCUUAUUGCUGCCAGGAUGGAUUGAGAACUUGGAGAGAUGAUCUUCAUCUAAGAUCUGCUUCUUAAGGUUGGGGUCGGCUGGUACAACCAGUCGGUUUCCAUAAUACACCUUCCCAGUCUCAUCCUGUCGAAAAUGCUUAUACCCUUCAUCCUUCAAUGAGAUCUUCCUGAUGAUCCGCUUUAUUUCCUCAUCCUCCACUUGUGCUGACCAUAUUUGGUCUUCCAAAACUAAUUCAAGGGUGAUGUGGCCGAGGGUUCCAUGGGAAACAAUUUCCAAACUAAGUUUCCCCAUCUCAUGACACAGAGUCUCGGUGAAAGUUGUUGCCGACAAGCAAUUGCAACAGUUCUUGCGACUAAGAGCAUCGGCCACCACAUUGGCCUUGCCGGGAUGAUAGUGAACUUCCAAGUCAUAGUCUUUUAUCAACUCUAACCAUCUUCUUUGGCGCAUGUUGAGGUCGGCUUGACUGAAGAUGUACUUGAGGCUCUUGUGGUCGGUGUAGAUGUUGCAGUGGGUGCCCAUCAGAUAGUGUCUCCAUAUCUUUAAGGCAUGGAUCACUGCUGCCAACUCAAGAUCAUGGGUCGGGUAGUUCAGCUCAUGAGGUCGUAAUGCCCGUGAGGCAUAGGCAAUGACUCGGUUGUCUUGCAUAAGAACACACCCAAGUCCAGUGCCAGAGGCGUCACAGUACACGUCAAAUGGCCUAGAAGGGUCGGGCUGAGCCAAAACUGGGGCUGUGGUCAGCAAGUGCUUCAGGGUCUUGAAGGCUUCUUCACACUUGUCGCUCCACGCGAACCUGACCUCUUUCUUCAACAACUCUGUCAUCGGCUUAGCUAUCUUAGAGAAAUCCGGUAUGAAGCGCCGAUAGUAGCCUGCCAGUCCAAGGAAACUUCUGAUCUAGUGCACUGAGGCAGGAGGCUUCCAUUCCAUGACUUCCUGUACCUUACUGGGGUCGACGGCUAUACCAUCCUUGGAGAUAGUGUGUCCCAAAAACUUGACACUAUCUAACCAAAACUCACACUUGGAGAACUUGGCAUAGAGUUAGUGAUCUCUUAGCCGUUGGAGAACUACCUGAAGAUGAUCGGCAUGUUCUUCUUCGCUCUUCGAGUACACGAGGAUAUCAUCAAUGAACACCACAACAAACUUGUCCAACUCGGGCAUGAACACCGAGUUCAUGAGGUACAUGAAAUAGGCGGGUGCAUUGGUGAGUCCAAAGGACAUGACCAGGUACUCGUAUAGUCCAUAUCUUGUGGAGAAGGCUGUCUUGGGUAUGUCGCAGGGUCGGAUCUUGAUUUGGUGAUAACCCGAACGAAGAUCGAUCUUGGAGAACACUUUUGCUCCAGCUAACUGAUCAAACAAGACAUCAAUACGUGACAGUGGGUACUUGUUCUUGACGGUCACCGCAUUGAGGGGUCGGUAGUCCACACACAUGCGGAGACUGCCAUCCUUCUUCUUCACAAACAGGGCGGGGCAACCCGAAGGUGAUGUGCUUGGUCGAAUGAAGCCUUUUUCCAACAGAUCAUGCAACUGGGUCUUCAACUCGGCCAACUCAGCAGGUGGCAUCCGAUAGGGUCUCUUGGAUAUCGGUGCGGUGCCGGGGAUCAACUCUAUGGAAAACUCCACGUCUCUUUCAGGUGGCAUGCCAGGCAAGUAAUCUGGGAACACGUCAGGGUACUCACAGACAACAGGGAGGCUUUCUAGUCGGGCUUCCGAUAGAGGGUACGCACAAGGGAGUGCGGACUUAGGAUGUUUCAAGGAUAGGGUAGAACUGCCAUGUAAGGGUGAGUUGAUGUGGAGAGUUCGGGCAGCUGUAUCUAGAACCACUUGGUGUCUGGCCAUCCAAUCCAUCCCGAGGAUGAUAUCUAUUCCUUCCAGGUCAAGGAUGAUAAGAUUCUCCUUAAAAAGGCUUUGACCUAGUUGAAUAGGCACAUUGACACUUAUCCUAUCAGAGGUGAUCACUCCACCCGGGGUGGAUAUUCUAAAGGACCCUCUGGUUUGACAUUCUUGUAACCCACACUUGUGACGGGUCUUUCUCCCAAUAAAACUAUGUGAAGCUCCCGAGUCAAACAAAACCAAAGACGAAAAACUGUGAAUCAGAAAAGUACCCGUCAUUAUCGGCGCACCUUCGGGAAGCUCUGCUGCGUGGGUAAAGUUCAGUUGCCCUUGGCGAACUUGCAUCUUGGGCCUCUUCCCUUGGUGGGGUGCUGCAUUGCUCUGCCCUGAGCGCGGGCUCUGAUUUCUAGGGCAGUCCUUGGCGAAAUGCCCUUCAUUGCCGCAGGUGAAGCAGCGGCUACUAGUUGCAAGGCGGGGUGGUGCUGGUGGGGUCAGCCGGGGCGCCUGUGGUUGGAAGCCAGAAAAACGGGGCGCUGCUACUGGUGAGGGUCGGGCAAUCCACCUUCCCGACUGCUGGGGUCAGCCAGGAGCUUGUGGAGGAACCAUCCGGAUCCUUCGAGUCGGCUGGCUUGGAAAUGCCACGGAGGCCUUUCUCUUCUGGUCGGCUUUGAGAGCCUGCAUACAAUCCUCUUGAGAGAUGGCCAGAUUGACCAACUCGUUGUAGGUGUCCACCUUGAUGGGGUUCAACCUUUCUCUGAGCUCCAAGCUUAGUCCUCGGCGGAAUCUAUCCCGCUUCUUCUCGUCUAUGUCCGCAUGAUAGCCGGCAUAACGGCACAGAUCGUUGAAAGCUUGGGCGUAGUGCAGGACAUCUCGGGUUCCCUGGGUAAGAGCCAGGAACUCGUUGAGCUUGCGCUCCAAGAGACCUUUCGGGAUGUGAUGCGCUUUAAACGCGGUUUUAAACGCGGUCUUGAACUCGUUCCAGCUGACCACAUGGCCAGCCGGCAACAUGGCAUGGUAGUGGUCCCACCAGAGCCGGGCGGAACCACGCAGCUAUUGAGCUGCAAACCGGGCCUUGUUAUGGUCGGGGCACGGGGUGGUGAGAAGCUCGAACUUGGAUUCGAUCGUACGAACCCAGGCGUCGGCGUUGAGCGGUUCUUGUGUCUUCUGAAACAAAGGGGGCUGCGUCCCCAAAAAGUCCUCAUAGUGAGCAACAUGUGGCUGCUGCUGAGCCCUUCCACCAUGGGGCUGCUGCUGUUGUCCUUGUACAAGAUGCCUCAGCAGCUCGGUUUGAGCCGCUAGGAUUGCCUCUAGUGGAGAUGAGGGUGGGGGUGGGGGAAGAUCCUAUCUCUGCUCGCUACUGCCGGGCACAGAACCAGAUCUGCUGCGAUGCGCCAUCUGCAAGAGUUAACGUUCCAUUAAUUUCAUAACCUUAGAAGUACUCCAACAGAUGGAACGCAUAAGUUAAAUUCUCCAAUACAACUCUUGCUGAUAAUGCAACACACGUCCUCAUAGGGGAGAUACGCUCUUCUCAUCCUCAUGUUAGUUAGCAUUUAUCUUAGCCUUGUACUCAACUUCGGGCGAAUCAUACCCUACCCAGACUCUUGAAAUUCCCUUACAUCUGAACUUAAGCCAAAGGGGUCGGGCUAGGAGAUCAUCCCGAGAAAAAGGGUCGGCAACGAUCCACACUAAAAAGAGGUCGGGCGAGGCGGAGACUGCCUCGAAAGGUCGGCGCAUCCGAUUUCGCGAACCGGGGUCGGCCAAACUUGAACAGACCCACAGAAAACAGCGUGUGUGGUCGCGGCACAACUCACUUAGUCUAACAUUCCAACACCUUGCAAGAGUUAAAGGUCAGACUCAGAUUUGAUUUCAUUUGGAUCUUUAUAGAGGUAUUCCAACACAGGGAGUACUCGACUCAAGGCUAACCUAUUACAGAUCUUUCCAAAAUUUAGGCUGCCGAGGAGUACAACAAAAGAAGGAGUUCCUUGCAACUCUUCAUCUACAAAUGGACACUAUGAGUAGGAGAAGGGGCGCCGUCUUCUUCGAUGUCCAUACUGGACGCUCCCUCAUCCUCCUCGGGGUCCUCUUGAGCUUCUAGUUGCAUAUGGAGGGCGUGCAUAUCGUCGAGCUCAGCUUGAUGCUCGUCCAGGUGAGCAUUGGCAACCGCUAGCUCCAUUUCCACUUCCAUUUUCUCCUGUGACAGCUCGAUCAUGCCGUCCACUAGGUCGGCUACUUCUCCUUCGAGCUCGGAGAUCCUGUCUUGCAUGUCAUGUAUCUGAAUGCCUCGUUGGAUAAGCUGGUAGGUUUGGCCUACCAGGUCUCUCCUGGCUGACUGGAGGUGUCCUUGAGCAUCCACUGCGGUCCGAGCAAGGAUGGUCAUGGCUCUUCCUUGGAGCUCGAUCAGCCGAUAGAGGGCUGUCAUACACCUGAUGUUGGUGGAGAUGGUGACCAUGGAGUAGGUGGUGGCCAGCACCUUGAUAUUUCCGACGCGGUCGAGCCACACCGGAUCCAACCGGUUCCUGGUGGGGAACACGCCGAUGGGGUCUAGUGUGACCUCCAGGGGAUGCAGCUGACAAAACUGGGUAAGGAGCUGAAGAGCGGCGGACUCCCAGGUGUCCUCCGGAGCAAGACCGUAUGCUGAUAUCCCGAAUGAGGGCCAGUCGGGCCGCACAGGAGGAGGAGGUACUACCGCCUGUACGUUGCUAGUCUGGACGCCCUGCUCCAGGUACAGUCGUCCUGCGUACAAUGGUGGGGACUGGUACCCGAACCAUUUCAAGGUGUCCCACAAAAUCGCGGGGAAGCCCUCGAAGUGUAGACAGGUUGACUGGAAGGUACCAUCCGCUCCAAACAGAACGUGUCCGGGGAUGGCCAUCUGGAACCAAGAAACCAGAACCACGUGAGAUAGACUCCAAAGGUCAGGGGUCGGACAGAGAAGCAUUCGGUUUUUAACCGAGAACAACUGGAAGAACUAGAAAUCCUUAGAACCGAAGAAGAGCUUUUCCGAGCAAGGUUGCUUUUGAGGAGAGUGACUUUACAGAUUUUAGCUUAUGACGCAUGCACGGCCUACCUCACUCUUAACCAAAACAACUGCCCAAAACUUGGGUCUUACGCGGUCAGUGCCGGUGGCAAGGCAACAAGUACGUCUCUCCCUAUAAUAGCUAGUCGGUUCUAGCAACGUCUCCUAAGCAAACGCGGUUAGUGUACCUGCAGAAAACACCACCACACGAACCUUUCGUGCCAGCACCCACAAAAGCGUUCCCAAACAUUACCGCUCACUAUAGGAACGACACCCAUGCGUUUAAGGCUGCAUGGACAGCACUCAACCGUGGAAAUAGGUUCCCUUUGAAUGGAACCGUAUAACCCUUCGCAUACUCGCGAUGCGGAAUCAGCGCAUGUAUAAUAGACGUGGCGAACAACCGUGAUGAUAGGCUCGUUGGAAUCAAACCGUACCAACCUUCGUAUGGAUUACAUACGGAACCUGCGCACAUAUGAUAGAUGUGGGCGAAAACAACCACGAUGAUAGGGUCCUUUGAAUAGAACUCCCUAUCAACCCUCGCAUACUCGUGAUGCGGAACUCGGCACACGUAUGAUAAACGUGGCGAAGUGCUGGAAGGGUUAGCAAGAUAACCAAAUAAUAUUAGCCACCUAAAACAACCCCAAAAUCCCCUAGGGCCUCUCGCACUAAGGUCAUCCUUAACGAUCAUACGAGAUUUUUCAAAGAGUUUCUUGCAACUUUUAUCUUUUCAAAGAAGUGUUAGGGCUUGUUGUGUUCUCUGUAUUGCUAAACCGGCUCUGGUACCAGCUGUGGCGGAUCCACUUCAGAUCUACUUGAUUAAACAUGAUUUAGCCGCAUGAUACGCGACGCUCAUGCCUAACCCGAGUAAACACGAAGUGCCGUCGGAUUUCAUCCGAUUUAACCACUUGAAUAGGACCAUUUAGCAAACCCACACAAAGGUGAGCGGUUCCAGCGAAUACAGCAAGUCCACCGAGUUAGCAACUUAACCACUUAGUUUGGUUAUGAAAAAAACAUCAGAGUUUACAAGGUUCAAAAGAAAAACAACAGAAAGUAAAACACUAGCGGAAGCAAACUCGUCGGGGUCGGACAUCCCUGGUGAGGCUAGCCAGGACGUCAGUGAUCCCUCUCCUCGCCGUCCGAGGAGGGAUCCCACUCGACCGUCCAACCUGGAGGGAGAUGGGGCGGCCAAGUGCCAGCAGAAGGAGGAUCGGGAGCAGCAACUUCACUUGAAAAAAGGAGCCACAACCAGGCUGAGCUACUAAGCUCAACAAGACUUAACCGACAGGGAGUAAAGCUACUCCACCGAACUAGAUAUGCAAGGCUUUUUGGCUGAGGGUUUUGUUUGCCAAAAGCACUAAAUAAAAACCCUACUUUCAAGUUUUAGCUCCGGUUCUAAGUUCAUUAUCCGGUCUAAGUUUGCAAACUAUUCUAAGCAAUCAUAGAACCAACCAAGGUAUAAAUAUAUCAACAAAACCAUGUCAUCAUCAGAUUCCUCAUUUACUCAGGGUGACAUAGCGAUCAAGCAGUCUCAAACUGUGAGAGGCAGAUGAAUCGAUUUGAGUUUCUUAACCAUGCAUGGCGGACCUAAUCUCAUGACAUCCGCGCACCACAAGGGCCGCUUCCUGUGUCGGCUGUCCCCAUCAAUUCCCAGGCGCGUGUCAGGUCCAAACUUCCCUUAGCAUGCAAUGCUCCACAGUCCCGGCCUCUACCGUACUGUGACCGCACUUGCACCCACAUGAUGCACCAUGGGAACCUCGUUCCAGGGACAGCAGGGGUAUAAGCCACGCCCUAGUUCAAUCAGGUACUAGGCUUCCCCAUCCCAUACUAGGUAUGAGAUUAGUAACUUCAAACACUUGAUCACGAACACCACCACUGUCGGGCCUUAGCAAGUUUCAUAGACAGACGGGGCGAUCAACCGACCACCAAAGAGUUACCUCAAACCCUGCCCCGUCCAUCGUCCUUACAGUUGUAACAGAAGGGUAGACAUCCAACUCCUACAACUCGCGAGUGAUAGGAAAUCACUCGGCUUUUACCGUUUCCUGUUUAAGCAAAGCAUCUACUCAGUCCAACAACUAGUGUUCAGAUCAUGGGAGCUAGUUCAUGCAUCUAGGGUUCCAACCAACUCCUAUACGUAAAUGCACAAGCAUGUUUAAGGAUGGCAUGCGCAAGUUUGGAGAACAUAGGGGUUUCAUGCAACCGGGGCUUGCCUUCGAGCAAGGAGGAAGAGAACUGCUCGACUUCUGGGGCGGCUUCGGCUUCAGAGGGCAGGAGCUCAGCUACACCGUCGUCUUCUGGCGUCGGGUGCAGCUCGUAGCAGCCGUCGGCGAGGCGCAGCUCUACACGAAUGUAAUGCAUUAAUUAGCAUAGACGGUUAUUUCAACAGCAACACUUGCAAGUCUGAGCCCAGAAACUCGCGACAAAAAGCAGGAGGGUGGGAAGGUUCAAGGAAGCUGGUGGAGAUCAAGAGGUAAGGGUCGGAGGAAAGGAACUUAUGAUCUGACCCUUAAACUAGAGGGUUUGGUGUGCUAGGGAUCCUCAGACUCAACGCUGAAGGGUCCCCAAGUUUUACACAUACACCCUUGGUUUGAAGAAAAAGAUUCAGCCGAGUCCUCGGGCGAGGUGGAGAAGGGUCGGCGGAACAGACAGGGUCGGGCGAGACGGAACCGGGGUCGGGCGGAUAAGAGGGGUCGGGCGAAGCGGACAGGGGUCGGACGAGGCGGACCAGGGGUCGGCAGCUUACCUUCUUCUUACAAGGAAUGCUGGGGGUCGGGAAGAAGCAGACUUGAGCGGAGGGGUUAAGGCUUUGAACAGCGGCUAGGUCCGGCUGUACUCCGGCGGCGGCGGUGCUUCUUGUGGAUCACAAGUAAGCUCUUACGCAGCGCGGAGGAGCAAGCGGCUGGGUGGCUUGGGGAAAACGGAGUGGAGCUGAGAGGAGAGUUCCUCAGGAACUUAGUGGGGUGGCGCUGGGAGCUCGAGCAGGGAGCAAGCGAAAAGGCGGAAAGGCAGCAAUGGCGAAGGGAACUCCGGCGGGGUUCGCGCAUUCCCUUUUAUAAUGGCGCGGGAGUGAAAAGGGGAGCAGCGCGGGAGCGAGAAGGGGAGCGGCGCGGGAGUGAGAAUGGGAGCGGUGCGAAGGCCGGGGAAGAAGCAAUGGAGUGCUCUGCCUGGGCGGCGAUUGAGCGAUGAGGGCGGUGGAGCAGGACUUCGGGGAUGACGCCAGCGGUCAUUGGGCUCUGGCGUCAGGGCGGCACAGGAGCGGGUAUGCCGGUGGUUGAGAUUUGGCGGAGGCGGGCGUCAUCGUGCGGUAGAGUUGAUGGAAGUGACCGGGUUAACGGCACUAGAAUCGAGGGCGCACAGGUGAGAAGACAGGCGGCCGCGGGCGUGCGGGCGAGCGCGGAGCAAUAGAUUGUCGGGCGGCUUCUGACAAGGCGGGGAAAGGAGCUGUCGCUGCCGUGGUCAGGGUUGGCGGAGGAGGAAUCGUCGGGUAGCGAAGACCAGGCGGCGCGACUGUGUCGAAGUGAUAGAAAAGACGGGCGACAUCGGGAUUUACGGCCGGGAUCUGGCGACGUGAGGAUGGGCGCGGGUGGCGAGGUGCUGCAGAAAGGUUGCAGAGGGGCUUCCGCUGCGAUUGGGGAAGGGGGCGCGAGAAUCCAUUCGGUCGCGGGCCAGAGACGAGGCGGAGCGGCGGGCGUCGGAGAAGUUGAGCCACGCGGCGGGGGAACUCUGAAGCGGGCAUGCAACUCGAGUGCGCUUGUCGCGGAAGAUCUGGGGGAAAAGAUCUCGUGGUCCACCGUCAGACUGAAGGGAGGUGUUGGGGAAAGACUCAGAAAGAUCCAGCGGGUGAGUUGGGGUCGGCGGGGUCGGAACUGGAGACCAACGGAGAGGGGUCGGGUCUCAGGGGUCGGGACCCGUCUGGAGGUUGAUCACUUAGGCUUGGAAAGCUAAGGCAGGUGAUCAGGGGCUCGGAUUAGGAUUAACUUGGAAGAUUUGGGGUCGGUCGUCACAGUAACGACUUCUUCGAACGCGAUGGUGGAACAGCAAUGAGGCAGAGUGCCAUUCUUGGAGGAUAUUGGCACGGCUGUAGCUGGAAAAUUCCACUUAAUGCGUAAAAGCAGCUGAUAACCAAUGAGUCUCACCAAUCAAAGAUCGGCCACUAGGGGCAUGGUUAAUAGGUUCUUAGGAGCUUACUAUACCAUAUCCACGUAGGAAAGAGGGAAGGAGAGAGAAAAAAUCGUCGCUACGGUCAGCGACUGUCGAUAGCACGCCAUCCCACGAGAGCGAGUCCCACCCACGCAGGACGAAAGAGGAAAGAGAGAAUUCCUUAUUUGACACCAGACAAAUGACCCAUUACUUCCUUGACCCUCAAAAUUUUUUCCUUCCUUAUUUGACACUGACUUCAACUUUCAUUCCUAAACUGACACUUCGUUUGAUUUUUUGUCAAACUGUUGUUAGAUGUCAUGUGAAAAGACCAUUUUGCCCUCCCUACUGUGACGACCGGCCCCAAAUCUUCCCAGUUAAUCUUAAUCCGAGCCCCUGAUCACCUAUCUAGUUUUCCGCGCCUAAGUGUUCAGUUCAACCUCCCGACCGGUCCCGACCCCUGACACCCGACCCCUCCCCGCUUCGCUCCGGUUCCGACCCCGCCAAACCCCGCCCACCGUCGGAUCCUUCUAAGUCCUUCCAAAAAUGCCCGUUCUAUCUGACCGGUGGACCCGCGAGAUCUUUUUCCCCCAGAUCUCCCGCGACAGGCGCACUCGAGUUGCAUGCCCGCUUCAGAGUCUCCCCGCCGCGUGGCUCAACUUCUCCGACGCCGCCGCUCAGCCUCGUCCCUGGCCCGCGACCGAAUGGAUUCUCGCGCCCCCUUCCCCAAUUGCAGCGGAAGCCCCUCUGCAACCUUUCUGCAACGCCUCGCCUCCCACGUCCAUCAUCACAUCGCUAGAUCCCGGCCGCAGAGCCCGAUGUCCCCCGUCUUUUCCGUCACUUCGAACACAGUCGCGCCGCCUGGUCUUCGCUACUUGACGAUUCCUCCUUCGCCAACCCCGACCACGGCAGCGACAGCUCCUUUCCCCGCCCUGUCAGAAGCCGCCCGACAAUCUGUUGCUCCGCGCUUGCCCGCGCGCUCGCGGCUACCUGUCUUCUCACCUGUGCAUCCUCGAUUCUAGCGCCGUUAACCCGGUCACUUCCAUCAAAUCCACCGCACGACGACGCCCGCCUCCGCCAAAUCUCAACCACCGGCAUACCCGCUCCUGCGCCGCCCUGACGCCAGAGCCCAAUGACCGCUGGCGUCAUCCCCGAAGUCCUGCACCACCGCCCUCACCGCUCAAUCGCCGCCCAGGCAGAGUACUCCAUUGCUUCUCCCCGGCUUUCGCGCCGCUCCCCUUCUCACUCCUACGCCGCUUCCUUUCUCCCUUCCCAGCCGCUAUAAAAGGGAAUGCGCGAGCCCCGCCGGAGUUCCCUCCGCCAUUGCUGCCUUCCGCCAUUUCUCUUGCUCCCUGCUCGAGCUCCCAGCGCCACACCCUAAGUUCUUGAGGAACUCUCCUCUCAGCUCCACUUCGUUUUCCCAAACCAUCCAGCCGCUUGCUCCUCCGUGCUGCGUGAGAGCUCACUUGUGAUCCACAAGAAGCACCGCCACCGCCGGAGCACUGCCGGACUUAGCCAUUGUUCAAAACCUUAGCCCCUCCGCCCAAGUCUGCUUCUUCCCGACCCCAAGCUUUCCUUGUAGGAAGAAGGUAAGCUGCCGACCCCAGUCCGCUUCGCCCAACCCCUCCUAUCCGCCCGACCCCGAUUCCGUCUCGCCCGACCCUAUCUGUUCCGCCGACCCUUAUCCGCCUUGCCCGAGGGCUCGGCUGUGAUAUUUUUCUUCAACCCGAGGGUGUAUGUGUAAAACUUGGGAACCCUUCAGCGGUUGAGUCUGAGGAUCCCUAGUAUACCAAAUCCUCUAGUUUAAGGAUCAUAUCAUAAGUUCCUUUCCGCCCCUUACCUCUUGAUCUCCACCAGCUCCCUCGAACCUCCCCACCCUCCUGCUCUUUGUCGCGAGUUUCUGGGCUCAGACUUGCAAGUGUUGCUGUUGAAAUAACCGUCUAUGCUAACUAAUGCAUUGCAUUCGUGUAGAGCUGCGCCUCGCCGACGGCUGCUACGAGCUGCACCCGGCGCCAGAAGACGAUGGUGUAGCUGAGCUCCUGCCCCCAGAAGCCGAAGCCGCCCCCGAAGUCGAGCAGUUCUCUUCCUCCUUGCUCGAAGGCAAGCCCCGGUUGCAUCAAAACCCUGUGUUGUUUUCCAAACUUGCGCAUGCCUUCCUUAAAACAUGCUUGUGCAUUUACGUAUAGGAGUUGUUUGAAACCCUAGAUGCAUGACUUAGUUUCCCAUGAUCUGAACACUAGCUGUUGGACCGAGUAGCUGCUUGCUUAACUAGGAGACGGUAAAAGCCGAGUGAUUCCCUGUCACUCGCGAGUUGUAGGAGUUGGAUGUCUACCUUCUGUUACAACUGUAAGGACGAUGGACGGGGCAUGGUUUUGGGUAACUCUUUGGUGGUCGGUUGAUCGCCCCGUCUAUCUAUGAAACUUGACUAAGGCCCGACAGUGGUGGUGUUCGUGAUCAAGUGUUUGAAAGUACUAACCUCAUACUUAGUAUGGAUGAGGAAGCCGAGUACCGGAUUGAACCUAGACGUGAGCGGUCGCCCCAUUGUUCUUGGAACGGAGUUUCCCCUGCUGGUUGUCGCACGUGGUGGCGAGCGUGGCCACAGAACGGCAGAGGCCGGGUCUAUGGAACCUUGCACCAAAGGAAAUGGGCCCGACACGGGUUAGGGGAUUGAUGGGGAAGGCCGACACAGGAAGCGACCUCCGGGUGCGUGGAUGUCGUGAGGUUAGGUUCACCAUGCAUGGUUAAAGAACUCGAAUCAAUUCGUCUGCCUCUCACAGUUUGAGACUGCUUGAUCGCUAUGUCACCCUGAGUAAAUGAGGAAUCUGAUGAUGACAUGGUUUUGUUGAUAUCUACAUACCUUGUUUUGGUUCUAUGAUUGCGUAGAAUAGGUUGCAAAACCUAGACCGGUUAAUGAACUUAGAACCGGAGCUAAAACUUGAAAAUAUGGUUUUACUUAGUGCUUUUGGCAAACAAACCCCUCAGCCAAAAAGCCCUGCAUGUCUAGAAGUGUGGAGUAGCUUACUCCUGUCGGAUAAGUCUUGUUGAGCUUAGUAGCUCAGCCUUGUUGUGGCUCCUAUUUUUCAGGUGAAGUUGCUGCUCCCGACCCUUCUUCCGCUGGCACUUGGCCGUCCCAACUCCCUUCGGGUUGGACGGUCGAGUGGGAUCCCUCCUCGGACGGCGAGGAGAGGGAUCAGUGAUGUCCCGGCUGGCCUCACCAGGGAUGUCCGACCCCGACGUUGCUUCCGCUAGUGGUUUUACAUUCUGUUGUCUUUCUGAAAACCCUUGUAAAACUCUGAUGUUUAUUUCAUAAUCAAACUAAGUGGUUAAGUUGUUAACCCGGUGGACUUGCUGUACUCUCUGGAACCGCUCACCUUCGUGUGGGUCUGCUAAAAUGGUCCUGUUCAAGUGGUUAAAUCGGAGGAAAUCCGACGGCACUUCGUGUUUACUCGGCUUAAGCAUGAGCGUCGCGUAUCAGGCGGCUAAAUCAUGUUUAACCAAGUAGAUCCGAAGUGGAUCUGCCACAGCCUACUCUCAUGGCUUGAACAAUCCCGGCGGUCCCUACGACUCUUUGUACUCACGCUCCUCAUGCCAGAGCUUCCCUCCUCGGCGGUCGUGCCUCCCUUGACUCCUCGACAGCCUGCACCUCCCUGCGACGCUCAAGUGAGCGCCUCCCUGUGACACUCGGGCAAGCGCCGCCGGUGCCUGGAUGCGCGGGAGCCUGGCGUAUGGAGGCGACUCGCCACGGAGGACAAGGCGAGCCUGGCGGCGUGGACGCGCUUCCCUAGAAGGCGAGCUCGGCGGCAUGGACGCGCUUUCCUAGAAGCCACGGCGUCGUUCCUGUGUAGCGGCGCCAUCGACCGUCUGCAGCCGCAGCGCCGCCACGGCCAGCCACGCGCCCACAUCGCUGCUGCUGCCGGCCGCACCCGGCCCAGCCCCCGUUCGCCUUGGCGCCGCCCGCCGCUAGGCCUCGGGAUGGAGCCUCUUGCGCGGUAGGCCCCUCCCUGCUCGUCCCCGCGUCGCCGCCAACACUCCAAAUCGAAGCCCGAGCCGGUCAAGGAGAGGCCGUCGGAGGCGAGAGAGCGGCGCGGCGUGGCGGACUCAGCGCUUGCGUGCGCGAGGCACGCCGCGGUUUCCAGAAGCGCGAGGAGGAGGAGCACCGAGGACCUGUGCAGUGUGGAGCAGAGGAGGGAGAAGGGGGGAGAGGAGGGAGAAGGGUGCUGGGCCUCACAGAGGUAUCGUCUUUUUGUGGGGUAUUUAACAGUUUCCGAAUGAAAAAUCCAACAGAGUGUCAAUUCAGGAAUGAAAGUUGAAGUCAGUGUCAAAUAAGGAAGGAAAAAAUGUUAAGGGCCAAGGAAGGAACAAAUCAUUUAUCUGGUGUCAAAUAAGAGAUUGAAUUAUAUCAAGAGGAAACCGGAACUCAGAAAGUGCUAAAUGCUGAAUUAAAAACAUCUUCCGGUGGGACCCAUAAAAACUGUUAAAGCUGAACCAUUGAGCGGCAUGCUUCUACAACCGUUGAGGUGCCCUAAGGGCACGUACAAAGGAGAGACAGCACUCGUCUUUUUUUUGCCACGCAAGCAAAAGGAGCUGAUGUGUACGGUAUUCAAUGAAGAGAGACGCGAGCCGACGGCCGCGGCCGUGCUCCAAGAAGAGGCCGAUGCGUUGUAUCGGUCGAUUUCUCUCAACGGCGGCGCCGGCCGAUCUAGUGAGGGCGCGCGUGCGUGAUGAUGGUGCUGCCCGAUUUGCUAUUCUUUUUGCCGGGAAAAAUCAUCAAGGGGAGCAAACCUGACCUUGUUUAGUUCACCCCCAACUACCAACUUUGACACCAUGCAAAAAGAAGAUUCCCCAUCACAUCAAACUUGCGGUACAUGCAUGGAGUACUAAAUGUAGACGAAAUUAAAAACUAAUUGCACAGUUUUGUUGUGCUUUACGAGACGAAUCUUUUAAACCUAAUUAGUCAAUAUUUGGACAAUAAUUCACAAAUACAAACGAAACGCUACAGUAUGCUACAUUGCUGUAACAGUAAUUUGGCACCUCCAAACUUUGGCAAAUAAACAAGGCCAGGCCUUAUUUAGUUCACCCCCAACUCCCAACUUUGACACUAUGCAAAAAGAAGAUUCCCAUCACAUCAAACUUGCGGUACAUGCAUGGAGUACUAAAUGUAGACGAAAUUAAAAACUAAUUGUACAGUUUUGUUGUGCUUUACGAGACGAAUCUUUUAAGUCUAAUUAGUCAAUAUUUGGACAAAAAUUUACAAAUACAAGACUAAACACUACAUUAUGCUACAGUGCUGCAACAAUAAUUUGGCACCUCCCAACUUUGGCAACUAAACUUGGCCUUGUUUUAGUUGGCCAAUUUGGGAGACGCAAAUUACUGUGCCAGCACUGUACCACAGUGUAGCGUUGCGUGUGUAUUUGUGAAUUAUUGUCANNNNNNNNNNNNNNNNNNNNNNNNNNNNNNNNNNNNNNNNNNNNNNNNNNNNNNNNNNNNNNNNNNNNNNNNNNNNNNNNNNNNNNNNNNNNNNNNNNNNCAGAUUCGUCUCGUAAGUACAACAAAACUAUGCAAUUAGUUUUUAAUUUCGUCUACAUUUAGUACUCCAUACAUACACCGCAAGUUUGAUGUGAUGGGGAAUUUUGUUUUUGCAUAGUGUUAAAGUUGGGAGUUGGGAGGUAAACUAAACAUGACCAAAGUCCUGGCCUACGAGUGCACCGCUCGCACUGUGAUGCCCGCCGGUCGCAUGCUCCACGACGUUCGCCGGUCACUUGCUCCGCGUCGCCAGUCGGGCGCACAAGCCGAGCUGCCGAGCCAUGCUCCUCGUGCGGAGCUGCGCCGGACGCGGGACGCCGCACUGCUGCCCGUGCGGAGCCGCACCGGCCGCCAGGCACCAAGCCUGCCGCCGGAGCUGAGCUGCCGGACCCGCGCUCUACUGAUUGGAUUGAGACUUUGAGAGAGAGACAGAAAGAGAUACGAGUCAACAGGCUGGGAGAGAGAGUUCAGAUAAGAGAUAAGUACCUUGUAUUUUUUACGAUGUGUCCUUCAAUAGAGAAAGAAAUCACAUAUACAUCCUUUAGAUAGGGAAGAAGGGUUGAAAUAAAAUGGAACGUUACAUUACAGUCAUUUCUGACAUGUUUGUAUUCUCCUGCAGUGCAUAUACCGUAUCGUGUGUAAUCUUAAGCAAACAACAAAAUGGUAAACAAAGAUUAUAUGUACGUUUGAUUAUUAUGAUUUACGUGUGUGUCUAAGUAUGAAUUAAAUAGUUUAUAGACGAUAGAGAGACAAACCAUUAUAUAAACUGUCUUUUUUAUUGUCUAUGUCUGAUGUGACAAGUAGUUGCAGAGAGGAGCCGUCUACACUGUUGCAACGACUUGUAGCCAGUCAUAGAGGGUGUUUGGAUCUUUAGGAUCUCCUAAAAUUUAUGUCACAUCGAAUAUUAGGAGGCUAAUUGGAGGACUAAAUAUGAGCUAAUUAUAAAAUUAAUUACACAGAUGGAGGCUAAUUCACGAGACGAAUCUAUUAAGCCUAAUUAAUCCAUCAUUAGCACAUGUUUACUGUAGCAUCAUAUUGUCAAAUCAUGAACUAAUUAGGCUUAAUAGAUUCGUCUCGCAAAUUAGUCUCCAUAUGUGCAAUUGGUUUUGUAAUCAGUCUAUAUUUAAUACUCCUAAUUAGUAUCUAAACAUUCGAUGUGACAGAAAUUUUAGGAGGCACCAAAGAAACAAACACCCCCAUACAUUGAUGGAACUUUCAAAAGGAACGUGUAAAUAGGGGUAGACUCGUGUACUAAUUAACAAGCAAGAGGAACCUAUCAAUCACGGUCGACUCCGAUAGGCUUCUAGUCUCAGCGGACACGUAUGAUAGAACAUAUGUACUGUUUGCUGUGUUUGGCUGGCGUGCGCUACACUCCAGUUACCACGUAAUCCUGGGAUGCUACCGCAUAACACUACAAAUAUGCCGAACCUUGUCAGUUUCAGCAGCUCAUAUACGCAAAAGACGAAUGCAAUGCAAUGCAAGCAGAAGAAAUAUCAUAUACAUAUGUAAAAAAACGCUCCAUUAGUAAACGAUAUAAGGGAAAAUGUAUGUAGCUAGGGCUAUUACCUCUAAGACAGCAAAUCUAAAGACUACAUCUACCGCACGAUUCUAGAAUUAUUCCGACGACGAUGCAAGAGUGCAAGCGGUGCUGCUAUUCCCAUCCCCUUCAUGCCAACAUUAAUUCACUAAUCACCCCAGAGAAUAAAGGGUGUGAGAUUUAUACACUAAUCCCCCGCUACCGAAAUAUUUUUGGUAGCUUAUUGAAAUAUUUUAAUACUUAUGGACUACUUUUGGAGCAUUUUGUGGAUGCCCUUAGACCGGAAGUUUCAUCAAUAUCAAGUAUAGAAAUUAAAAAAGUAUUCUUUAACUCCCUCUUUUUUGGAGUUUAAAAAUGUUAUCCUCGAUUUUGUAUAUGAUGUGGUGGCCCGCUCUUUGUAACGUUUUCCAAGUCAUAUAUAAAAACCUAAGUAGCUAAUAAGUAUGCCCCUCAUUUAGUGCUUCUUCCCUAACAAAAUGAUUAUUUAUAAUCACACCUAAUACCUUUUUUACGAAUGAAGAGGAACUUUUAUUAGCUACUCAACAAGUUCAUACAAUCUCGAGCAACACGUAAUACCUUUCAAUAGUACUAGGGUACUAAGAAUGGCCAACAACGACAAAGAACACACAAAUUUAAGAUAAUUUGUGCUCAAAACUAUAUCAGUCUCCUAAACCAUUUUCUCGUAUCUGCUGUUGCUAACGGGCCUGCAAGUUUUAUUUUGACCCGUGAACCUGGUUACAUGGGCUGGCUAUCGACCUAUAUAUGUAUGAAAAUGAGCCCUGUUUCUUCACCUUGGCUAUUACUUUGCUACUGAGCCCUUUUUCUUCAGUGGGCUGCAAUGGGCUGAUUUAUGAACAGUUUGCAUCUGUAUCUAAUUCCUGGCUAUUGAAACCGCCAUGAUAACUUGUGGGGCCAAACUACAGGAUACAUAUCUUUUGGAAACUCACUUAUCCACUUUGAUCACUUAACCUGAUAAAGUUUUGGCUCACUCUACUCCCUGAACUGUUUCAUUUGAUCCAAUCUACCCCUAAUUAGAUUUCUCUUUUUUAUUUCUUCGUGUAUAAGUUGAAUUUUGAGUUCAAAUUUUGUGAGCAUAUACAAAACAUGAUGCCUUAUGUUAAAAAAUUAUACUAAGAAUUUUUCAUGGUUAUUUUCAUGGGUUAGGAAUAUUUAAUAUAAAAUUGAUCUUAAAAUAUACAAAAUUGUAUGAAAAGUAAUCAUAAAAAAAUUCUCAUAUAUUUUCUAACAUAGAGCAUCAUGUUACAAGUUAAAUGACAAAAAUCUGAAAUGAAAAUUCAAUUUGUACAUGAAGAAACAAAAAAGAAAAAUGUAAUUAGGGGUAGAUUGAACCAAAUGAAAUAGUUUGGGGAGUAAAAUAAGCCUAAAUUUUGCUUAGGGGUUAAGUGAACAAAGUAAAUAGGUGAGGGGAGUAAAAUGAACCUUUUCCUUUUUUUUUCAUUCCUCAAUCUAAUGGUACAAGUGCAAGUUGUAACAUGCGAAGGCAUGCUCAAAUACACACACCUAGACCUCACUGUAGACCUAGAAUUUAUACCAACACAACAGAUUCAGGAAGAUUCAGCUCCACUUAGGGUCUGUUUGGAUCCCUUACCGGCACUCGCCUCACUCCACCCGUAUGCCUCGCCUCGCCGAGCAGAGCUAGGCAAGCUUCACGAGGGGCGUUUGCUUCCCUUGCUGCUGCUAGCACUUUCCUUGCAUCGCAGCUUGCUGCGACAGCCGAUACAUGAAGCAUCCCCACAUCAGCGGAGACUAAAUGUGAUGCAAAUAUCACUCCCAGGAGACUGAUAACAUAUUUAUUCAACAGAUAGUUCAGUUACCGUACAACUCCCGAGGGAGUGGGCGUGAAAGCCACACCGCGAUAAGAAGCAAAUAAAUAACAGCGGCUAGCCAAGCGACUGCCAACAGACAACACUCGGGACUAAACGGCAGCAGAAGCAUCUUGGGAAGGCCAACACCACAGGCAGCGUUGGGUGCGGACACAACCUCCUACUCAAAGUCCUCGGCGACGAAUUCCGAGUCUUCCUCUGUAGCAACGAAGCAAGGGUGAGUACAAAAGUACUCAAUAAGUACAACCCCAUCCACAGAGGGGGAUACAAGCAAGAAUAUGCACAGGAUAUAUCAAGAAUAAGGCUAGGGUUUAUUUUGCAAUAAAGCUAGGUUUUCAACACAUGCACGGGUUAAUUUUCAAAAGAGUUUUCGCAAAGCUUUUCCUUUAGUAACCAAAACAUUAAGUGGGGUUGAUCCUACACAAAGGAUCCAACUUUUAUUGCUAUCGGACUCCUCGUCCGCCAUAGCUCAUGGCACAACUGCCGGACACUUCCAAAAUUCAACACACGCCAUAAAAACCAUUCAUUUCCAAGUGCUAGUUAUGUGACCAAGCCGUAACUCGUCCAAUGCCGUGGACACGGCUACCCGGAUAGGUUUUAACUCUGCAGAGGUUGUACACUUUUCCCACAAGUAGGGUACCGCAGCACGUUCACCUUAGUGCCGGUGCGGAUCCUAACAAAGCCAUUACCCACCUUAGCUAAGACUGACUAGCCAACACGGGAGCGCCCAAGGGGUUCACGACCUAUCCACGAGGUCGUAACCAGGACCUAUGUCACAAAGAUCUCACUCCGUUUCCAUGGGCUCUCGUUGCUCACCAGCUCACCCGAAGACUGACAGUUUAGUUAGUGGGAUUUAUGCUAAGCCGUUGCCCAUACAACGGUCGAGUGGUUGCACGAUGGUUGAAUUAGGCAAGAUGACACAUCAACUCGAUCCUUAACCCUGAUAAGAUUGAUAUCUCCCAACCUUGCUCAACCACUAAGGUACGAGCCCAACAUUCUGGCAUUUCACACAACAAACACCCAUCCAUCUCAUCUAAGCAUUUCUUGCCUUUACACCCGAAAACCCAUUUUCCAUUUGAAAACACUCACACAUUUAUUCUCUAAAUAAACCCUUGUAGUCAUGAUUGAAUUUGAGUAACCAGGUCCUAAGCAUUCUAGCAGUAAUUACCAUCUAAACAGAGCAAGUCAUAUUUAGAGGUAAUUAUAGGAUAACAAGGAAUAUUCAUAACAAUCAAGGGUGGCUAUCCAACCGUGUCUUGCAAUAAAACAAUAUGCACUUUUGUAAAAUAGGCCAAUAGGUUGUGUUUGAAAAACUAGGAAUAAAUAUGCAUCAAAGGGUGAGAUUGGACUUGCCGUCCUCAAAGCCUUCUAGGAGUUCCAGCUCAUGCUGCUGGUCCUCGGGCUCGGGCUCACGGUCAAAAUCCUCCUCGUGCUCCUCCUCGGGUACUCUGCGAUCUACGGCACACAAAAACGGGCAGACAAUAAAUAAAAAGAAAAUCAGAUUUUACCCGUUGAGCUCCGAACAGAGAACGCGAACGGAAAAUAGGUAGAAUGAGUAUUUUCAGAAAUUUUGGAUAUGACUUGGCGGAAGUAUACUGGAGGAUGACGCGGUCAAAUUUGGGGUUAAUUGGAGGAAGUUUGGCGCAUGAAAUGACGAGUUAACGGAGUAUUAGGGGCUUAAAAGAAGGUUUAGGACUAAUCCGCGAGAAACCAGGGACCUAUCUGUAAAUAUUUAUGGAGGUGGAGGGGCUGAUCUGUGAGAAGCUCUUGAGGGUGGUGGAAGGAUCAGGUUGUGAAUUUAGGAAAAGGGAGGGUUAGAUCGGAAUUGGGGAAAUUUUAUCCCUUCUCCUUCCUUGGUUCACGAACAGAGAAGGAGAGGGAGGAGAUGGCUGGCCGGUGGCCGGCCGGCCGGGCCUUGCCGGCGGCAAGCCGAGGGCUAGGGGAGGUGGAGGAAGUGGAGGGGGUUCCCAUUUUGCCCUUUACCUCGGGGACUUGGAGAUGGGAGGGAGUGCGGCCGGUGGUGGACACGGAGAUGGCGGCGCACAGGGUGGCGGCACCACUGGCGGCUGCGGGAUGCGCAGGGAGGUGAGGGACUAGAGCUCCGGGAGAGGGGGCGGAAUGUGGCGGUGGUGGCCGGGGUGUCGCCCUCCUUUUUAUAGGCCGGGGGGGCAUGACGGCCGGCGGCAAUGUGGGGGCCAGGCCGGCAGGCGGCGCGCGGCAGGUGGAGGGGUCGGCAGGUCCUAGCGCCGGUGGUAGGGGCGCCGGGGGGGGUGAGCGAGCGGCGGGGUUUGGUGCUAGGUGGCGGCGUGGAGUAGGGCCGGAGGCGGGGGGCCUACCACGGGGCCAGCCACCGGAGUGCGUAGCCCGAGGGGUGCCGGUGCGGCCGGCGCCGGGCCAGGCGGCGCGGGCCCCGGGGCGCGCGGGGGUCGGAGGGCAGGCGGCCGAGGGAAGCCAAGCGCCGGGGGGGUCGGGCCAGGGAGUAAUGGCGCUGGGGGGCGGCUAGGAGGUGGCCUGGUGUGCGCAGCUAGGAAGAAGAAGAAGAAGGAGGGAGAGAGAAGAAGAAGGAAGAAGGAAGAAGGAGAAAGGAAGAAAGAGAAGGAGAAAAAGAAAGAGAAAAAGGAAAAAAAAGAAAUGGAAGGAAAAAGAGAAAAAGAAGGGGGAGCCGACGGCGAUUGCAGCACGCGGUCGGAGCACGCGCGGCGGUCUGCCAGGCGGCGAAAUUUAUGGGAGUGGAUAAAAUGAUGGCUAUCGGCUUUGGGUGCCAGGACGGCGAAAUUGCCGGAAAGAUUUUGGAUUUUCGAGAGCUUAACGGUGAAAAGAUUUUGAAAGUGAUUUUUAACGGGUGAUUUAAGGUGGUGAUUUUUACGGAUGUUACGGUACAGCUCGAUGUGGUCAUGGUGGAGCUUGAUGUGGCGGCCAGCAUGGCUCAGUUUCAUGGCUAGCAGGCUCGACGCGGCAGUGGGGAACUCAAUUCGGCUUCAACGGAGCUUGAUGCGGCAUCCAGCAGGGUCGACACGGCAGCGAGGGAGCUUGAUUCGGUGGCCGGUGGGACUCGACACAGCAGCGGGGGAGCUCAAUUCAGACACUGCGGGGCUUGAUUCGGUGGUGGCGGGGUUAAAUUUCGCCACAGCGGAUCUCAAUUUCGUGGUGCUGGAGCUUGAUUCAGCUGUGCUGUAUAUCGAUUUGCCAAUGGCAGAGCUCGAGCCGCGUUGGCUCAGGCGACACACACAUACGCACGACUGAGCAAGCGAACCUUACCUGUAACAUAGAGCUAAUUUGGUUCUCCUACGCUGGGCAAGGAUUUCCUUGCCCAGCCGAGCAAGCUUGUGGGCAAAGUGAGCAUUUCGCUAGCUACCAAACGCCCGGCAAGGCGAGGCGAGUAGCCGGCAAGAAAACCAAACACACUCUUAGUGACAAACAGGUCGCAUCUGAUCCCAUUGUAGUCCAAAGAAGUUUAAAGGAUACUCGCAACAUUUUUUAGGGAAAAAUCUGGCGUCAGAGUCCAAAGAUUCAAACAGUGGUGGGCAGGUAACCAGCCACCAGCUCCUUCCACCCUUGCUGGUGGCGUGCGACCAGUUAGUUACCGGCUUUUUCUUAGCUUAUCGCACCACCAACGUUUUUCUGCUUCCUUCCCGAAGUUCAAAUGAUGCCUUAUAAGUUAAAUAUUCCUUUAUUCAAACAUUAGGUCGACCUUGGGAACAUGUGGCUAAAUGUUCAUGGAAUUAACACUUAAUGUAUAUACGUUUCAAAGUACAGCGUCUUUAUAAGGAGAUGAUAUGCGAAAAAAUCCAUAACUGCCCAUAAAUAUUUCAAGCAAUUAGUGAAAAUAUUAGAUAAAAUACAUGGCUUGACUUCGGAUAAAUGUCGAAUAACAAACAAAUGUUCAAUCAUUUAUUUAAAAAACUGAGUUGAUAUUUACUAAACUUAUCAUAGGAAAAGAUGUUGAAUAACAAAGCUAAUAUUGAAGCAACAUUAAAAAAUGACUGAACGAACAAAAUGAAUGUUUAAUUGGCUUUAUAAAUUUUUUUGAAUCAACUUGUCUUAGAAAACAAUAUUGUCGGUGUUUAGACCCGGCAACCUACCCUGAGGUAGUGUUUUAUGCAUGGGGCUCGCCGAAGAUCAGGAACUCAAAGGUGAACUCGAAAACAUGAUUUUGACAGGUUCGGGCCGCUUAUGUCGCAUAAUACCCUACGUCGUGUGUGUUGGUUGGAUUAUAUUGAUUGAACUUGAUUGGAGGGGGUUCCUGCCUCACCUUAUAUUGCUAGGGGCAAGGUUACAGGUCGGUUGCUUUACAAGAAUACUAGUUGGAUUCGACUGGAGAGUCUACUCUAAUUGCUACGAGUAGUUUCCUAAUCCUCGACUAGUUCUUAUCCUCCACGUAGAUCAUGCCAUCAUGCGUUGUAGUCUCUAUGUCUGACCCAUCACAGUGUACAGCCUCAUAUUGUAGGACUGUCCAAACCUCCCAGUGGGCCCAUUGAUGUAUGGCUGACAGGCCUGCAAGUACUUUUUAGUCAAAUGUACCAGUUCCGAGUACUUCUGUAGACGCCUCCGAUUAGUUUGUGGUGCCACUUUGAGUACUCCAUCGGAUUGAGUCUUUGAAUGUGCUCGAGUACUGCCAUGCAGCUAGAAGACGCUCAAGCCUCAUUUCACUUGGUCUUGAAUCUUCAACCUCGAAUCUUAUAUGGAAGUGCAAUGAAAAUCGCACUCCAUAUGGAGUAGCCCCCAAGCCUUAGGAUGAAUCGAAAAAUCAGGCUGAGGGUCAAUCUUGUAAUUUCACAUCUCUUUCACCUUAAAACCUAAAGAAAAAACUUUUUAGCCAAUGGGCACGUGUCACACAGCCCCCAAGCCGUUACAUGACCAGUUUGGGUAUAAGGGUCAACCAUUGGUCAAUGUGACCGUUCGCCAACAGUAACCUUAUCUCUUCCAAAAAAAUUGGAAACCGUCCGGUAAUAACUGAGGACUUUUAAAAAUGGAAUAUUUCCCAUUAAUUUCGCCUCUCAAUUAAUUGUGCCACGGUUAUAAAUAAUAGAGGAACGCAUCCCUUCAUUUCACCUGAGCUAGUGCGCCCGUUCAUCUCCCUCGCUGUAGCCCUAGCGCUACUGCUUGCCAUUCUCGAGCUCGAGUGCCAUCCUUCCCCACUGCCUAGUCCUCGUGCUUAUGCGCAAGAAGACCUUAGUGGUAAUGGCUCCGAAGAAAGCAUCGUCCAGCAAGGCGGUGGAGACCAAGAAGUGAAAGGCCACCAAGAAGGAAAAGGAGAUCCAGCUGCCGGCGCUGAAAUACGACAAGAUCGAUCAAAUGGUGCCGCCAAACCAAGCUUGCGCCUGGAAGAAGCCCAUCAUGAAGGUGGCGGACAUCCAGGUAUUGGUGGCUGCCGAUCUUCUCCAGGAGCAAGAGUUCGCCUACUAGAGGGAGGCCGAUGGCAACCCGUGGCCCAUAGAGAGUUUCAGCAACAAGACAGUCAUCUUCGUGCACUUCAUCAAGCACGGACUAGCUCUCCCCUGGUCCGAGUUCUUUCAGGGGCUGUUGAGGUAUUAUAACUUGGAAUUAGUCCACCUCAACCCCAAUUCUAUUUUGCACGUCAUGAUCUUUGUGCAUCUCUGCGUAGCAUUUCUUGGCAUCCAGCCACACUUGCAGUUAUUUAGGAAGUUUCUUAAAGUUAAGCCCCACCCCAAAUUUGACCAUACCGAAGUAGUCAGGGGGGCCGGUAGGAAUCCAGUUGUGGGAGCAGAUCAAGAGCCAAUACUUGGAAUAUGAACUCGUAGUCUCCUAUUCUAGCUGGAAGUAAUGAUUGUUCUACAUUGGAAACCAUGAGCCCCAUCUUCCCAAGGUGACCGGCCACCGUCCAAUAUGGAACAAUCAUUGAUUGGACGAGCCGAGUACAGCGGACAGCUUCCAGUUGCCGGAGCUGAUACAGAAAAUUGCCGCACUCAAGACGGAAGGUCUGACCACCAUUGGUGUGGCCUUCAGCUUCAUGAGGAGGUGAGUCCAGCCCCUGUAGCUGCACUGCACAUGGAGAUAUGACUACUCGGGUCCCAAUGACCCAUCACGGAUGAUGUCGCAAGACUUUUCUGUGGAUGAAGUGAUGGUGCGGCUGAAGCACUUCUUCAAGCAUGUCAGGGGCAUCCCUACGGUCUUGAGAGAACACUACAUCACCAACCUGCCAAACCAAGUAAGUACUCGUGGCCUGUAGCCCCCGAGUACUAAUUUAGGUGCCUAUCAAUGUAUUGACUUGUUGUCUGUUUGUAGGAAGAACUCCACUUGUAUUGCUCCAACUCUCCUCCACCUGGUGCUAAUGUCACUCCAUGUGUAUAGUACCUUGCGGCUGUACAGAAGGCGAUCGAGGGGGAGGAGGAGAAAGAGGAAUCGGAGGAUUGGUCCUCCUUCAGCAGCUUUGAAUCAGAGGCUGCUGAGAAGUUUGUCAUCAAGCCUCGCCUUUCAGACAAGGUGGGAUCAUCUUCUAGGACGUCCAAGCAUAAAGGCAUGGAUGACCUGGAAAGGUAGUCGAAGCGGAGACAGAGGCAAAGAGAACGACUACGGAAGUUGUGUAGCAGAAGUUGCCGGCUAUAAAAGAAGUCGUUGAACUGGAGGAUGAUAAGGAGUCUCCUGCCAGCAGGGCCAACCCCAUCCCGACGCAGACGACUCAAGGGGUGGAGACGACAACUUCAGCUGGCCAGGAUUCAGCUGCGAUCUGACGAGCUGUGCCAAAGAAGUCGUCACCCACUGUCAAGUCCCUAUGUCUGGGGUCUGAGCCCUCCAUCAAGAUAAAGAGGUCCACCAAGUAAGUAUCCGAGUACUGAUUUUAACUUGAUGUCGUUGUGUAGUGUGUUUUGACACUUGUCUUUGUUUCAGGAGAUCCACCAGCGUGGACAUUGGGGACCCAAGCCUAAAAACUGGAGCUUGCCUUGGAGCCCAUAGUUCCACCAGCAAAGGAGUAGCCCAUGCCCAAACUCACUCCAGGUGCGGUAUCCCUUGUCGCAGCCCUUAUGCACGAUGUAAGAAACAUUAAGUUAUUGUGAUAUAAACCAGUUGUGAAAAUGAAAUGUAAAUUAUUUGAAGUCUUAUCGCAAUUUCUAUUUGAUUGUCGACUUGUUUUGAAAUCUUCAGUUUAGUGCAUCUCACGGACUACCUUGAUGUUUGCUCGUAUGGUAGUCGUGAGUGUCUGCGCACGAGGCUACUCUUGUGAGCAUCUUCAGAUAUGCGAUGUUGAGUACUUUAGGAUGCAGCCCAUUUUGCGGAGUGCAAGUACUCAGGUAUCAGGGUAGUCAAACUCUUUUAGGUGAGUAGACUCUUCAAGAUUUCAUCAUCUAGAGCCUACCUUUGCAACCUCUCUAGGCUUUUUGGGGGUUGUGCUCCGAAAGCCUGGAACUACAGACUUGUUAUUACAAGCUGUGACUAGACGGACUCAUCUAGAUAAGAACUUGGGGAGUAUAGAUAGCUCCCAAGUCACUGAUGACUUAUUUUUGUGAAGACCAUUGAUGGACAGACUUGUCCAAGGGGCUGAUCGGCUCAUUUUUCUGAUUGCACGCUUGCCUUUGCAAGUUGAUCUUUGUCUGACAAGUUGAAUAACCCGAAAGAUAUGUGUGCCAGCUUGUGAAUACAAGCCACGAGUUAGGUGAUAGUACCAGGAGGAGCUGAAUAGCUCGGCGAACUUUACUUUUUGCAAGUCACAACUGGGCAGAGACUAGUCGUUUACGACGAAAAAUAACUGUGCUUUAUUAAAUUGUAAUAAUACAAUUGAGGCCGAUGGCCAAUUUACAUGAAUAUGUAAACUAUGGGUAGAAUCAACACAGGUGUUCUAUGUUCCACGAGUUGUCGACUUCUUCACCAGUGAGAGUUUGGAGCCUAUACGAUCCAGGCCCAGUGACCUUGGAAAUGAUGGAAGGACCCUCCUAAGGCAAAUUUAGCUUGUGCAGCCCCUUGGUGUCUUAGAUACGUUUGAGGACCAUAUCGCCUGCGUUGAAUGAACGUUUUUUGACGUUACGAUCGUGAUAGUGACGAAUUCCUUCAAGGUACCUUCAUAACUAGACGAGUGCUGCACAGCGGGCUUCUUCGAGGCUAUCUAAGUAUAGAUGCCUUGUUUCUUCUGCCGGGCCUUCCUCAUACUGCUCGACUACUGGAGAUUUCUACAUGAUGUCGGCAGGGAGAACCACUUCUGAUUCGUAGACUAGGAAGUAGGACGAGUACCCUUAGGCUUGCACGGCUAUGUGCGAAGCCCCAUAGGACAUUGGGUAGCUCCUUGAGCCACUUGCCCCCUUUGGUGUUGUCAAUGUCAUGUAGUCUUUUUUUCAAAGCUUCCAGUAACAUCCUGUUGGUGCACUCAACCUGGCUAUUGGCCCACAGAUGAGCGACAGAGACAUACUGAAUGUUGAUCCUGCUGUUCUCACAGUACUCCUAGAACUUGUGGUUGUUGCAAUUGGAGCCUAGGUCUGUGAUGAUGCGAUUGGGGAAGCCGUAGCGAUCGACAAUCUCGUCAGGGAAGUUGAGUACUCUUACUACCUUCGGGCAGGUCACCGGUUUCUCCUUGAUCCACUUGGUGAACUUAUCGAUUGCCAUGAGUAAUCAGUUGAAACCCCCAGGUACUGUAGAUAGAGGGCCAAUCAUGUCUAGCAUCCAGCAUGUGAAGGGCUAAGAGGGUGGUAUGGUGAUCAACUUGUAGGCAAGGAUGUGUUGUUGCUUGGCGAAGAAUUGACACCCUUGGCAUCGGCGAACUAGUCCUUCGGUGUCAGCGAGAGCUGUAGGCCAAUAAAGUCCUGCUCUGAAAGCCUUGCCCAUGAUCGUUCUUGAGGAAGCGUGAUUGCCACAGAUGCCUUUAUGGAUUUCCUCCAAUAUGUCCUUGCCAUCUUGUCGUGAAACGCACUUCAUGAGUACUCCUGAUGAUGCGCCACGUCUGUAGAGCUUGUCUCCGACUAGAACAUAAUUUUUGCCAUGCCAUGAGACUUGCUCUACUUUUCUCUUGUCUGGGGGUAACUUGUGUUCCAUGAUGUAGUUGAUGAAGGGGGCUCUCCAAUCUACAUCUAUCAUCAUAACCUCCCAGUCUGGAGCAUUAUUACCACAAUCGGUGAUUUUAGAUGGUGCCGGCUCCACUAUGGAUGACUUGUGUAGUUCUUGGACAAAAACCCUAGCUGGAACUUGAGCACGCGUAGAUCCGAGCUUGGACAAGACGUACGCGGCUACGUUGUUGUCACAAGCCAUGUGAUGGAACUCCAGACUAGAGAACUUGUUCUCCAAUUUGCGUACUUCAAGGUAGUACGCAUCCAUGUUGUCCUUGUAGUAAUCCCACUCAUCACUGACUUUGUUAAUGACUACCAAUGAGUCACCAUAGACCAACAACUACUUGAUUCCCAAUGAAGCUGCCAGGCAUAGCCCGUGCAGAAGCACUUCAUACUUAGCUUCAUUGUUGGAUAUCUCCUAGAAUAUUUGCAACACAUAUUUGAGUUGUUCGCCUUUGGGAGAGAUUAAGAGUACUCCUGCGCCGGUGCCCUCGAGCUUGAGUGAUCCAUCAAAGUACAUGACCCAAUGCUCUAGGCAUUCUGCCGGUGUGGGUACUUAAUUUUCCUACCAUUCUGCCAUGAAAUCGACUAGUGCUUGUGACUCGAUGGCAUUCCUUGACUUGAAUUCCAGGGACAAAGCUUCGAGUUCUACUGCCUACUUGGAGAUUCUUCUUGUUGCAUCUCUAUUGUGGAGGAUGUCUCCCAAGGGGAGGUCCAUGAUGAUGGAGAUGUUGUGUUCCUAGAAGUAGUGUCGUAGCUUCCAUGAGAUGAGUAGUAUUGCGUAUAACAAUUUCUAAACUGGUAGAUACCUGGUUUUGGAAUCUGACAACACCUUGCUGACAAAGUAGACGGGCCUCUGUACUUUGUAUACAUAGCUUGGUUCUGGUCUUUUGACUACGAUCACUGUGCUGACGACAUUAGUAGUUGCAGCGAUGCAGAGCAGCAAGUCUUCAUUGGGAGAGGCACUGUGAGGACCAGUGGCUUUGAUAAGAAGUCCUUCAGUUGUUGAAGAUCUUGAUCUGCCUCCUCGGUCCACUGGAAUUUAUCCUGCCGCUUGAGUAAUUUGAAGAAGGGUAGUCCCCAUUCCCCAAGUCUUGAGAUGAAUUUGUUGAAUAUUGCCAUGCAUCCAGUCAGCUUCUAGACAUCUUUGGUGCAUGAUGGGGCAUGCAAAUUUGUGAUGGCAGCAAUCUUCUCGGGAUUAGCCUCAAUUCCUCGAUGACUAAUGAUGAACCUCAGUAGUUUUUCGGAGGGUACACUGAACAUGCAUUUUGUUGGGUUUAGUUUUCCCCGGUAUGCUCAUAAGUUUGCGAAGGUUUCUUCUAGAUCUGUAAUCAAGUUGUAGAGAUUCUGAUCUUUACGACCACAUCAUCCACGUACGCCUCUACAUUGUGGUGUAGUUGUUUCUUGAAGCACUCCUGGAUGGCUCAUUGAUAUGUAGCGCCUGCGUUUUUCAACCCAAACGACAUUGUUGUAUAGUAGGGAUGAUGAACGUGGCCUUUAUUUGGUCUUCUUCUUUAAGAGCUAUCUGGUGAUACCCCGAGUAGCAAUCAUGGAAAAGGGUAGAGUACAUAUAGCCGUCGAGUCGAUGACUUGAUCAAUCCUAUGGAGCCUGAAGGGGUACUUUGGACAGUACUUGUUGAGGUCCGUGUAGUCAACACACAUCCUCCACUCGUUGUUGUUCUUCUUUUGCACCAGGAUAGGGUUGGCCAGCCACUCUAGAUGAUAGACUUCUUUUAUGAAACUGGCUAUGAGUAGUUUGGCCAAUUCUUUUUUGAUCGCUUCCCUUCUGUCUUGGGCGAAUUGACAUAGUCGUUGUCGCUUGGGCGUAGCUUUGGAUUCCACAUUAAUUGAGUGCUCGAUCAACUCCUUGUGCACCCCCGGCAUAUCAGAUGGCUUCCAUGCAAAGAUGUCUCGGUUGGCCCAGAGGAAGCUGACGAGCGCAUCUUCCUAUUUGGGGUCUAGCCCUAAGCCAUUCAGGGCUGUCUUUGAGCUAUCGCCGGUUUCAAGGUCAAUGGCUUUGAUAUCGAAUUCACUUGCCGGCUUGACCUUGAUUGUCCCCGACUUCUUCUCUGGAAUCUCGAGUUCUAUCAAAAACAAUUUCUUGGAGGUAGUGAAGACUUGCAUCAUGGAAUUUGGCACUUGAGUAGUUGCUGCCAACUCAAUGGCUUCUGUGUCGCAGUCGUAGGAUCUUUUCAAGUCUCCGAACAGGCAGAGUACUCCCUUGGGUCCCGGCAUUUUGAGUACUAGGUACACGUAGUGCGGGAUGGUCAUGAACUUGGCCAGUGCUGGUCUUCCGAGGAUGGCGUGAUACAAUGUUUUGAAAUCAGCCACCUCGAACCGGAUGUACUCGGUCCAGUAGUGAUCCUUUGUCCUGAAGGUAACUAGCAAAACCAUCUAACCAAGGGGUACAGCCGCGUUGCCUGGGACAAUCCCGUAGCACGGAGAGUUCGUUGGGGUGAGCAUAUCCGUUAUGUCAAGGCCCAUCUUCCUCAAAGUCUUGGCGAAGAGCACGUUGAGGCCACUGUCACCAUCGAUGAGUAAUUUUGUGAGUCGAGAGCCUACGAGUACUGGGUCUAGGAUGAGAGGAUAGAAUUCUGGGUCGGAGAACCUAGUCCACUGAUCCUUUCUUGAAAAGGUGAUUGGCACCUCGGACCAUUUGAGGAACGUAGGCGUCACUGGUUCAAUGGACAUGAUCUCUUGGAGGACUAGUUCCUGGGACCGCUUGGUAGUAGUACCCAGUGUGCCACCAAAGAUAACAUUGAUGGUGUUGGAUGGGUUCUGAACUUUCCCGUUGUCGUCCUCGUUCUUCUUUGGUUUUACCCUUGUCCUUUGCUCUAGAAGGUUCCGACAGAUCUUUCAUGACUCUACGAAGACUAUAGCAGUCCAUCGCAGAGUGUUUGGAGUGUGAGUGCCAUAGGCAUUGCUUUUUGAAGAGCUCCUUGAACGGAGUCCUCUCUUGACUUUCGUCGCUUUUCUUGGAGGACUGGAACAUCGCUACAACAGUAUUGUCUAGCCUUCUCUUAUGAUCUUGACCACCCUAGUAGUUUCCUCGUUUGUCGUUCGAGCGAUCAUUGUGAUUCUUGUCGUUGCAUUGGCCGCUGUUUUGGUUGUGUUGACGCUAGUUUUUGACACGUGUUAGGGUUGGCAUCAAGGAGAGAAGAGAAUGGCCGACCCAGUCAAACAGGAGGCUGUGGCUAGGGAAAUCGGCCGAUAAAGCUACAGUGUUUUGACCGAUUAGCCGAUGAAGUCGAUGAAGAUUGGCCGAUUGGAAGCCAGAGCAGCUCGGCCUAUAUGGGCCUAAAUGGGCCAAGGCGGUAACAAGGUGAAGAUGGAGUUGGCCCAUAGAGGAUUGAUUGGCGUUCGACUCCGAUGCAAGUUGUACCUGUAUGUAAAUUUUUGUUAUUUUGAAUAAGAGAUAAAAUCGUAGUCGGUUAGGAAAGCAGUUGUAACAGGGUAUAUAGGUGCCUUGCGAGGCUUGUUAAACAACCAACAAUCAUCAAUAAAAAUCUAAUUUCUCACGCAACUUUACUUUGAAGUCGGUGACUUCGCCAAACCUUUUUCUUUUCACGAGUUCGUAUGAGUUGGCAGGGCUGCAUCAACACAACCUCCAGCGAAUUUGUAAGUUCCGCGUAUCGAGUAAUAUCUAAGCUUUAACUUCAGGUGCAUCGCUGUUGUUUCGUUUAGAUUUAUUCACUAGUUAUCGAUAUUUACUAGAAUUAUAGGUUUUACCUGUUAUUUUAGUUUUUAUCAUCAGUUAUCCAGCUUGAGGCACGAACUGUCGGCUAUAUGAAUAUUUUGUUUAUUAUCAUACAGCCAAUUAGAUCUGUUACAAGUGUUGUUUCUGUAGCAUUGUUUAGGUUACUCCAGUAGCUUCUUUUACAAUUGCCACAUGAUUAUCAGUUGUUUCAUAGCCGGUCAUCUUUUAAAUCGGCCAAUCCACUAAUACAUCUUUUGGAAUAGAUCGGAACUUUAGUCGAUCGAAUCUCUGGAAUUUGAUAUCUUUUCUUCCUUGUCAAUCAACAGGUCAGAUUGACUGGCACACCACGCGAACCACACCAGGGCGAUAACCCAAACAGGAGCUAAGCAAAUUCUCUCGGGUCGUGUGUCCGACACAGGAGUCAGGGCCACUGUCCGUUUUUUUGCGUCAACACAUUUUUGGCAUGCCCAGUGGAACCAACGGAAGACUCAACAUGUCGAAGGCUGCUGAAAUCUCAGAAGACAACGUCAUUGAAGUCACUGAGGUAGAUCUCAAGGACGACCAGAGGGAUGAGAUGGCAAAGGCUAUGGAAGAAUUCAAGAAGGCUUGCCUGCAAUCCUACAGCCGCACCAGGAGCGGGGAACCCGUCAAGAAAACCGCUCUCCCGACUCCUUGCCGAAGACUUCGGGAAGAUGUUCGAGAUGAUCCAGCAGUCUAUCUAUUAGGCUAUGAUUGAUCAGUCCAAGGUGAUGACUCACACAGUGUAUAAUGCUGUCAUCAGCUCCAUGGCCAAUGGUGUGGCGCAGGGGUAUCAAGGGCCAGCUUAUGCCCCUCCUCUCAGCGCACCGGUCAGAGGCUUCUCGGUGGUACCUAGCAUAUUUCAGUUGGCUCCUCAGCCGAUGCAGAUGUAGAACGGGGGUAUAACACCAUGUUGCCCCUAGGUUAUUGUGGUGCACCACCUUUUCAAUCGCAAGUACCGUUUCACCCUACACCUGUGAGGCUGUGCAACCGCCGUUGAUGACAUCGGCGCAGUGGGGGACGGCAGGAAUGCCUGCCGAUUUGGAUCCAUCCACUAGUUACAGAAAAUCUCCGGUGUAGACGUCAUUUCCAUCGGCUUCCCGGCCGACAGUCCCGCAAUAUCAACGGACUGUCCCAGAAAUCGGCAGGGGGGCAGGCGUUCCGGAUCCCCUCAGAACUGCAGCGCUAAUGGUAUUGUAUGACAAGGUAGAAGAUGCGCUACGACACAUAGAUCCUACUCGUCAGUAGCCGUUCGCUCCUCAGCCGACAGUCCAGCUGCAAGAUCUACAGCAUGCUCCAAUCUUUCACCCAAUCACGGUGCCACAAGUUCAACAGCAUAUGCCGAUGGCUCAGCCGAUUGCACAUCAGCCGCAACAGCAGAAGGUGGAUUGAACCACAAGAAUAGCUGAUAUAAUACAAGACCAGUUCGGAUUGAAGCCAAAAGUGCAAACCUACACAUACAGGAUGCCGUACCCACCCGCCUAUGACCUAUUGCCGUUCCCUCAUCGGUACAAGGUGCCCGACUUCACUAAACUCUCGGGCCAGGAUGACACGUCCACGGUGGAGCACGUCAACAGAUUCAUCAUCCAGUGCAGAGAAGCUGUUGCACAAGACGCUCUGAGGGUACGGUUGUUCUCAUCAUCCCUGUCCGGGUUAGCCUAGUUUUGACUGAUGGCCAGCUGGCCGAUACCGCUUUCCAAGAACUCCUACCGCACAUCAAAGAAAAAUAUGCUUCCCAGGAAUUCGAGAGUCUCAGCCAAAUAGUACACCGGCUGUUUGGUCAGGAGGUGCACCCCUUUGACCAAUGAAGAAACUUCCAGAAAAAGGUGGCGUACGUGGCAGGGUUCGAUUCAGAAGAGGAGGCAGAAAUUGGCUUGGCAGAAUGGGUCAAAGGCAAAAAGUCAAUUUCAUGCCCAUUUGGGAAAAAGGAAUCGGAAACGUUUGGCUUUGAUACAUCUAAGGCUGAUAAGAUCUUCGAUUUGCUGCUAUAGGAAGGACAGAUCAAGCUCUCACCCUACCACACAAUCCUGUCGGUCGAACAGCUUAAGAAGAUGAAGUACUGCAAGUGGCACAAUGCAACAUCUCACAACACCAAUGAGUGCAAAGUGUUCCGUCAGCAAAUAUAGUUGGGCUUCGAGCAAGGGAGACUUAAAUUGGAAGUCCCCACAAAACCAGCAAAAUCGAUGAAAAUCGACCAGCAUCCCUUCCCAUCCAACAUGGUCGACGUCGGCGGAAAGAACGCACUCUAGACCAAGGCGCUGACAUCAGAAUCAGCUAGAGGGAGCGGGGUUGUGGACCCCAGGAAUCAGGUCUCGGGCGGUGAUGUUAAAGGUAAAGGCAGAGCAGAAAUAGAGGAAGAGAACCUGGAGAGGCCCCGUCAGCCUAUCACAUCUCGGGACCUACUCAACAAGUACCAAAGGCAACAGGAAGAUACGAGACACCGGGAACAGAUGAUGCGCCAGCACGAGGACCACUGGAUGUGUCCGUUCUUCAUCCACUGUUGGGAAAAUAAUCUCAGAUUUCCAUCGGCCGACAACUACCCUGAGUGCAACGGCCAGUACCAUGGCAGCCGUUCGUUCAAGAGGUCACGCUCUGGAGAUCGAGGAUAGGAGCCGAUCAGUAGAAAUAGGCUUGAACAAGAAGACAGACGCGUUUCAGUGCGUGAUCGGCUGGGGGGCAGAGUAAAUGUGUAUAAUCGGCUAGGGGGCAGAGCUAGCGCAUAUAAUCAGCUGGGAGACAUGGCCGACGCAAGAGUCUCUGACAAAAAUCCGUUGGGCCGAGAACCGGGUUGGGAACUUACGAAGCUGCCGGGUAAACUAGUGAACCCCAGAUGGUGCCCAGAUGGUUUGACCAAAUCCCAGAAGAGAAGGGUCGAGCGCUUACGCCAAUGGGAACAACAAGAGGAAGAAUAGAGGCAAGCGUUGGACAAAAAAGGAGUCAAAUCUCAAGUUUGGCGCCCCAGAAGAAAAGCCGACGAAGAAAAUGAUGAUCAGGGUUCGGCUGCCGAUGUUAACAUGGUGUUCAUCUUACCAAUGGAGUUCAUGGCUCCCGCUAACCGCGACAACGCAACAGAGAUAGAAGAGCAGAUGGCACAAUAGUGGAGCAUUGCCGCAGCCGAUGCGCAACAGUGGAGUUACGAGCAUGUCAGAUGCAUAUCUGCCAGGACCUGGGACACUAACUUCUUGAAGGUGUCCGAUUUCGGUCUACAUCCGAUCCAAGCAGUUGGCUCAAAAGAAUCAUCUUGAUGGAUGAGUUCAUCCGAGAGGAUGGGAAGCUUGGGCACGGGUUUAUGUCAGCCGAUUCGUUAGAGAUGGUAGACCUUGGAGAUGGUAGCAAGCCAAGGCUGACGUAUAUUAGUGCUAAAUUAGAUCCUGAGUAUAGGUGUGAGUUAGUGGAUUUGUUAAGGGAAUUUAAAGAUUGCUUUGCUUGGGAGUAUCAUGAAAUGCUUGGACUAUACCAGUCUAUUGUCGAAGACCGGUUGCCCAUAAAAUCAGGGUAUCGGCCAUAUCAGCAACCCGCACGACGUUGUAACCCAAAAAUUCUACCUAAUAUAAAGGCCAAAAUCACAAGGUUAAUUGAAGUAGGGUUCAUCCGGCCAUGUCGAUAUGCCGAUUGGAUUUCUAAUAUUGUUCCUGUAUAUAAGAAAAAUGGAAAAACUACGUGUUUGCAUUGAUUUCAGAAAUCUUAACCAAACUAUGCCGAUGGAUGGUUUCCCGAUGCCGACGGCCGAUGUUUUGAUAAAUUCUGUCGUGGGACACAAGGUCAUCAGCUUUAUGGAUGAUAACUCUGGAUAUAAUCAAGUAUUAAUGGCCGAAGAAGAUAUCUCCAAAACAGCCUUCAGGUGUCUUGGUCAUCUCAAUUUGUUCGAAUGGGUAGUCAUGACUUUCGGUUUGAAAAAUGCUGGAGCUACAUAUCAGAGGGCCAUGAAUUAUAUAUUCCACAAGCUUAUCAGUGUUCUGGUAGAAAUUUACAUCGAUGAUGUCAUUCUCAAGUCAAAGGGACAUCGAUAGCAUUUGGCAGAUUUACGCAAGGUGCUGGAGUGCACAACGAAGCAUGGAUUGAAAAUGAACUCGAACAAGUGCGCUUUUGGUAUUUCGGCUGGUCAGUUUCUAGGUUUCAUGGUCCACGAGCACGGCAUCGAGAUCAACCAGAAGAUCAUAACCGCCAUCAACAAAGUUGUGGCCCCACAAGACAAGACUAAGUUGCAGUCCUUAAUUGGCAAGAUCAACUUCAUUCGGAGAUUCAUAUCAAACCUUUCUGGACGCGUUCAAGCUUUCAGCCCAUUGUUGAAGUUGAAGCUCGAUCAAGAAUUCGUUUGGGGUGAAGAACAACAAAAAGCAUUAGAUGACAUCAAGCGAUAUCUGGUGUCCCCUCCCAUGUUGGUUCCUCCUCAGGCUGAUAAGCCUUUUAGAUUGUAUCUUUCAGUUGAUGAAUGAGCUAUUGGUUCGGCGCUUGUCCAGGAGUUUGAAGGAAAAGAAAGGGUAAUUUAUUACGUCAGCAGAAGACUCUUGGACACAAAAACCAGGUAUUCUCUGGUGGAGAGGUUGUGCCUUUGUCUAUAUUUCUCUUGCACUAAACUUAGGCACUACCUAUUGUCGGCAGAAUGUGUAGUCGUGUGUAAAGAUGAUGUCGUCAAGUACAUGUUAUCACUGCCAAUUUUAAAGGGUAGGAUUGGAAAAUGGAUUCUAGCCCUCUCGAAAUUCGAUUUGAGGUAUGAAUCAACCAAGGCCAUCAAGGGUCAAGUAAUGGCUGACUUCGUAGCCCAACACUGUGGACCGGAGGUUACUGUCAUCGAGCCGGUUCUGUGGACUUUGUACUUUGAUGGAUCUUCGUGUGGGGCUGGAUCAGGAAUCGGCAUCAUCCUCAUAUCGCCUCGGGGGGCAAGUUAUGAUUUAUCUCUACCAAUUGAUGCUUCUGCCACUAAUAAUCAAGCAGAGUAUUAGGCCGUCUUAAAAGGCAUCCAACUUUUGAGGGAAGUCAAGGAUGACGCAGUGGAGAUAUUUGGGGAUUCCAUGCUCAUCGUAGAUCAGUUGAUUGGAAAGUGUGAGUGCAAGGAUGAUAUUUUGAGGAUUUAUUAUGAGGAAUACCUCCAGUUACUCAAAGAAUUCAAGAUUGUAGUUAUUGAACAUAUCCCUAGAGACUACAACGAAUAAGCUAAUAGACUUGCCCAGCACGCUUCUGGUUACCGGCCGAUUCAUGGCGCUUUGGCUCUAGAGCUUGCAGUCGACGACUCGAGGAAAGAGAUCACCGACUAUCUAAAGGAUCCAUCCAGGAAAGUUGAUCGGCGGAUACGUUUCCAAGCUACAAAGUACGUAUUACUUGAAGAUGAAUUAUUUUAUCAGACGAUUGAUGGGGUGUUACUCAAAUGCCUCGACGUAGAGGAAGUAAAGAUUUUGAUGGGCGAGAUUCAUGAAGGUGUAUAUGGGGCCCAUCAAUCAGCUUUUAAAAUGAAAUGGAUGAUUAGGAACAAUGGUUAUUACUAGCCGACAAUACUCAAAGAUUGUUUUAAAUAUUAUAAAGGCUGUCAGGAUUAUCAGAAAUUUGGCAACGUGCAACGAGCACCGGCCUUGGCUAUGAACCCGAUAAUAAAGCCGUGGCCGUUUAGAGGCUGGAGAAUUGACCUCAUCGAUCAGAUCUAUCCGCCGUCAAGCAAAGGGCAUAGGUUCAUAUUGGUGGCUACUGACUAUUUCACCAAGUGGGUUGAGGCGGUUUCUUUGAAAGUUGUGAUGUCGGCCAACAUGAUCGAAUUCGUGAAACACCACAUUAUUUAUCGGUUUGGUAUUCCUCAGACUAUUACAACUGAUCAGGGAUCAAUGUUUACCUCAAGGGAGUUCACUGCCGGUAUGGGGAUUAAAUUGUUCAAUUCUUCUCCGUAUUACGCUAAGGCCAAUGGUCAGGCCGAAUCGUCCAACAAAGGGGUUAUUAAGCUGAUUAAGAGGAAGAUUGAAGAAAAACUAAGAUAGUGGCAUACGACGCUGAGUGAGUCCUUGUGGGCCUAUCAGAUGGCUUGCCACGGUGCCACCAAGGUGUCCCCUUAUCAGUUAGUAUAUGGGCAUGAAGUAGUAUUGCCUUGGGAGUUGAAGACUGGGUGUAAACGUAUGUCGCUUCAGGAUUAGUUGUCGGCCGAUGACUAUUCCACUCUCAUGAGGGGAGAGUUGGAGGAUUUGGCGAGUCAGCGGCUAAGGGCCUUGAUUAGUAUUGAGGAGAAUAAGAAAAGAGUCGCCAGAUGGUAUGAUAAGAAGGUCAAGGUCAAGCAAUUUUCCCAAGGGGAUUUAGUCUGGAAGUUGGUCCUGCCGAGAGGAUCUAAAGAUCCCAAAUAUGGAAAAUGGUCGCCUACUUGGGAAGGGGCGUACCGGAUUAGCCAAUGUGCUCCAGGCAACGCGUACAUACUGGAGACUUUUGAGGGAGAGGAAUUUACAAGGGCUCUGAAUGGAAGAUAUUUGAAAAUAUACUACCCCAGUAUAUGGGUAGACACUUAGCCGAUAAUGUGGCAUAUCGGACUUUCACGACCGACGCGUAUUUAGUUGUGUUCAUAUAGCCGAGGCGAGGGGCAUCGCCUUAAGAUUGAAGGAUUUAUAUGAAUAAACCGAUCAUUAUUUGGUACAUCAACUGGAUACAUGGCUGACAUGGUACAAGUCGCCCUCAGAUAAAAAGUACGAACACACUUAUAAGUUACAAUGAUUCAACGGAGUUCCAGUCAAGCUUUAUUCAUGUCAAUCUCUUUCUGAAGUCGAUCUAAUUCGAUCUGAAGUCGGGCAUUCUUCUCCACUUCUGCCAUGUCAUCUUCGAGGGCAACUUGACGAGGCAGUUGGUGACUCCUUUCGACUGGUUGCUGAGUUGGCCUUCUAGAAGCUUUGGCUUCGAUGUCGUCUACAAUCCUCUUGAUGUGCACAGGAAGGUGAUCCCUGAGUUCCUCGCGAUGAGUUUGGAUCAGAUCUUUGUUAGCCUGGGUCAGCGGUUCAUCGAAGUGCAUAAUCUCAAUGGCUCGUUCAAGACCGGGGCUGAGCCAGUUUGGCUGUGAGGAUAAUAGAUUAUCAAUUGAUAGAAAAAAUCAGUUGAAGAAGGAGAGAGUUAACAUGUACCUGAUUGAUAGAAGAGGAGGAAGCCAUUUUGGUUGCCUGAUCGAAGACUUGAAAGUGUCUACAGGGAGCGAGAUUAAUGGGUGCUGUGUGAGUGCCUUUGGAGGGGAUGCGAAGGACUUGUAUUUAUAGAACAAGAUGGCGAAGGGCAACAGUUGGUAAAAGGAGGGCAUUUAAAGCAAGUGACUAUUGAGUCAAAAGGCUGUGGGAAAAGCCAUUCAGAUUCGCAUUCAAGAUAGAAACGUCAAAAGUGUCAACAUUAUACAAGAUAUUGCGGUGAACCUGGUCAGCUGCAUCCAACACUCAUCGAUCAUUUUCGAUCGAUCCUGGGACUUCUAGCAUAUUGUGGUGAAGACGGAUGGCCUCAUGAGUGAGAAUUUGUCUUUCUUGUUUCAAAUCGGCAAUGAUAGUUGGACGAUCUUUGAGCUUCUUUUCUUCAGCAGCGAUAGCCUUCAUGACUUGUUCCAUCUCUUUGGCAAGUUCUGCUCUGCGCCGUUUGAGCCGGUCUAUUGCACUGAUGAUGUCCGGACGAGAAGUUUCGAGGAGGCUGAUUUGCCGGUGUAUCUCUUGCGCACGAUGUUUGAAGGACUCUUCUUCUUGACACACCUUAUCCAGUUUAGCACGGUCGGCCAUGUGUCGCAAGGCUCUAAACACUCAAACCCACAUGGUUUCGAUGUAUGUUGCGGGUGUUAGAGCCUCUUCUACAUCUUCUGGGACUUGGCCUUUGAUCUCGUUGAAGAUUCGCCAUAUUGUUUCGGCAUCCUCCACCAAUCGGCCGACAUUUUCCUAGAGAAGGGUUCGCAUGUUUUGGAGCUUGGCACAGACAUCUUUUGGUAUUGAGCUCAAGGUUAUCUGGCGUGAUGCGACUUCCUCAUCAUUGGAGACCGCAAUUGCAAAAGAGAAGAGGCUGUUAUUUAGUGUAUCCUGUUCCUGCAGAGAAGGGGAAAAAUGUUUUAGCCGACAGAAGCAAGAAAUUGGCUGGUAGAGAUAGAAGGUCCUUACCUCUUUAAAACUUAUCUCUUCUGCUUGGGUUGGCAGGAUUGCUGCUCCCGUCUCAGGAAUCAGCGGUGGUAGUUCAUCAGAGGGAGAAGAUUCAAUAAUAAUCGACUCUCUGGUAAUGGCUGGUAAGGUGCUUGGGCCAGCCUUCUGGAGAAGGGAAAGGGAAGCAUUUGUGAGUAUAAAAAGAAUACUAGAUCUAAAUGUGGGUCUUGGUUUUCUUACCUUGGGAAUCGCGCAGCUGAUAGUCGCUCAAGGGGAACGACCGAUGUGUCUAGAGCAUCCUGUGCUAAGAAUCAGCCGAUUUUAGUUGAAAGAAUUAUGGAGAUUAAGUGAAGAGCGUGUUCUUUACCUCAAUCGGAAGAUUUGUUGGUGGCACAGUUUCGGCUCGGGGAUCGGCCGAUUGAGGAACAGUUUGCUCUGGAGUGAGCUAUGCAGCCUGUUAAGAAGGGACGAAUUUAGUAUUGGUGAUACAUAUGAAGAAGUUAGAGCAGUAAGAUUACCUGUAUGACCUCCACCAGAAGAGAUGCAACCGCCAAUCCAGCUUCUAAUGCCGCUAGGGGAUCAAUGUCCUGAAUUGUCGGCAGGACAUCUACUUGGAUUGGUGUGGCUGAGAGCUCGACCGAUGUUGCUGCCAAUUGGUCGGCUGUCCGAGUUAUUGCCGAUUCAGUACAACCUCGUACCCUGCGGCUCCUUUUCUUUGUGGUAGACAUUUUGAGCUUGUGCUUCAAUGGGCCGGUGGCUAUAUCUUCCAUUGAUGGGGCAUGAUAGCUGAUAAGAGGGUACGACAUGUACGAAUGAUGGGUCUCUAUCAGCCUGCUGCUCCGACUAUGCGUUGGAGGCACUUGGCUAUCGACCUGCACGGAGAAGAAAGGACAAUGAUGAAAAAGUUCUAUGGCAUGAAAGAAUGAAAGCAAGGAAUCGGCAAAAAAAGUAUUGUUACCUCUGCGUUCGGAUCGGCGUGAGUGGGGUCUAGUUGAUUGCAAUACACCGCAGGGGCCACACAGAAAAGGUGAUGUUUCCACAUGGCCCACCAUAAUUUGAAUUGCUGAGUAGAGAAGGGUACCACCAGCCAAGUGCUCAGAUCGAUGGUGUUAGAGUCCAUGUCAGAUUGCAUAAUCUGUUGUAUUCAAAUCCUCUUGAAAGCAGUUCUCGAAAUUUCACUCGGCCGACGAAGUGGACUCCGAUUGGCAUUUGUCCCAAGCCAAAUUGUCUGGCUGCUACCGAUGGGUUGUAGAACUCGUAUGUUGGGGACUCCUUCCCAGAAAAGAAGUUUGCCGGCAGAAUUCCAGGCUUCAUCAGGAUGUCCAUGAUUCCCACAUCAAAGGUAUUGGUACUUGAGUCAAAGCAGUCAGGGUUCUCAAAAGUUGGAUCUUCUCUUUGAUACGGAUACCAAUUCAUUACUUCUUCUUUGAAGCCAUUAUAAAAGCAUCUGAAGUGCUCAGCUAUUCUUGAGGGAGCAAGCUUGCUGCCUGGGAAAGAAGAUACAGCUUCUCCGAAAAAGGUGCAGCGGCGUCUUGCCGAUGGGUCAGUCUCUGAUUCGACAUUAGGGAAGGUCUUGGUCUCGAUCCGCUCUUUGAGGAUUUUUCUCAUUUAUAAGUUGAGCCAAAGGUUGAUAAACCACCAUGGACCACCAGGGUUCCCAAUGGGUUCCCCAGAUGACAGCUUCACAGCGACUUGAUGUAACAUGUAGUACACUGACCCUAGCAAGUGUUUUCCCAAAGGGAUAGCGGCGCCUCUUACUAGUGCUUCGACCAAGGCUUGCGUGUUGGAGGUAGGACCAGCCGAUUUGCCAUAGAAAAGAUGUUUUUCCAGCCACAUCAUCAAGAAGUUGUCUGCUCCUUUUCCAUGAUAGGUCUGGUCUUCAUGUUCUUCUUGAUGAAGCCUUUCCAUCUACCGAUAGCUUUUGUUUCCAACCAGUGGGUGGGUUUGAUUAAAAGAUCGAAGGGUGUAUCGACAAAGGAGAUAUCGAGGCCAGUCAGCAUCAGAACAUCGACCAAGGUUGGAGUCAUUGGUCCGUGACCAAAAAGAAACGCAUUGAGAGCGUCGAACCAAAAAUAAGAUGCCGUGAUGAGCAGAGAGUCAUUCCUCUCCAUAUGGGAUACGGAUAGAUUUAUGUAGUGGUCGAUUUUCCGCUCAUCCCAGAAGACUCUCUUGGAAUUCGACAUCCUAAAAAACCAAUCUCUGCAGUCGGGAGUUUGAUUCGGCCAAGACUUGAAGGUGUUCGUCCAAUUGUCCAAAUCCAUGGUUGAUUGUUUGAAUAGAAUCUUGUUAGUUUCCAGACUAAUCAAAUCGGUUGGGUCAGGGUCUCCCAUAGGUCCUAGACCGAUGAAUCCGGGGGUGUCGGCCAUGGGGAUGGUAAUUCUGUGCCUGAGUUCCUGACCAAAUGCGAAGAAAGACUAAGAACAGAUCUAGAAAUUGCGAAAAGGUAAAAAAAGGGGGGUUCGGAAGAUUUUACCUCCGGAACGAAGGCCAUGGUGGCUGUGGGGGCUGCCAUUGAGACUUGGAAGCCAGCGCGAUCAACGAAGAAUGGGAGAAAGUCACUGGAGUGCACUGAAAUGCACCUAGAGGCAGAACAAGCGUGGGUGCCAGAGUGUCUUGGGAGACAAUUCGCCAGGAAGGGAACCCUUUUCAUCCGGAGGAAGAAGAACCAGCGGAAGAGAUGAGUGUCUGGGGAAUGGCUCAAGAGAGGAGUAAAUAUGGAAUUUUUGCCGCGCCAUCUGCGCUAGUUUCGAAAAGAGCGGUUGCCUGCGAGUGCUCUAUUAAAAAAAUGCAAUCAUCAGAAGAUUUUGGGAGCAAAAAGGGUUUUGCCACAUUUAUUGUUGCAUCUCUUCCGGAGGAAGGAAUCGGAGUUGAGAAAAUUUUGGAGCAAAAGGUGUGUUUAACUCCGAAACUAGGGGGCAUGUGUUGAUGCUGAUUUUUGACACAUGUUAGGUUCGGCGUCAAGGAGAGAAGCGAAUGGCCAACGCAGUCAAACAGGAGGUUGUGGCUAGGGAAAUCGACCGAUAAAGCUACAGUGUUUCGGCCGAUUAGCCGAUGAAGUCGAUGGAGACUGGCCGAUUGGAAGCUAGAGCAGCUCAGCCGAUAUGGGCCUAAAUGGGCCAAGGUGGUAACAUGGUGAAGACGGAGUUGGCCCAUAGAGGAUUGAUUGGUGUUCGACUCCGAUGCAAGUUGUAUCCGUAUGUAAAUAUAUGUUAUUUUGAAUAAGAGAUAAAAUCGUAGUCGGUUAGGAAUCAGUUGUAGGUGCCUUGUGAGGCUUGUAAAACAACCAACAAUCAUCAAUACAAAUCUACUUUCUCACGCAACUUUACUUUCAAGUCGAUGACUUCUCCAAACCUUUUUCUUUUCACGAGUUUGUAAGAGUUGGCAGGGCUGCAUCAACACGAUCUCCGACCAAUUUGUAAGUUCUGCGUAUCGAGUAAUAUCUAAGCUUUAACUUCGGGCGCAUCGCUGUUGUUUUGUUUAGAUUUAUUCACUAGUUAUCGAUAUUUACUAGAAUUAUAGGUUUUACCUGUUAUUUUAGUUUUUAUCAUCAGUUAUCCAGCUUGAGGCAUGAACUGUCGGCUAUAUCAAUAUUUUGUUUAUUAUCAUACAGCCGAUUAGAUCUGUUACAAGUGUUGUUUCUGUAGCAUUGUUUAGGUUACUCUAGUAGUUUCUUUUACAAUUGCCACGUGAUUAUUGGCUGUUUCAUAGCCGAUCAUCUUUUCAAUCGGCCAAUCCGCUGAUACAUCUUUUGGAAUAGAUCGGAACUUCAGCCGAUCAAAUCUCUGGAAUUUGAUAUCUUUUCUUCCCUGUCAAUCAACAGGUUAGAUUGACUAGCACACCGCGCGAACCACACCAGGGCGAUAACCCAAACAGGAGCCAAGCAGAUUCUCCCGAGUCGUGUGUCCGACGCAGGAGUUAGGGCCACUGUCCGAUUUUUUUGCGUCAAAAGGUUGUUGUUGUUCUGGCCUCUGUUACGACUAGACUUGAAAUGCUUGAUCUCUUUGUUUUCUUCAUCCUUCCAAGCUUGUAUCAUAAUCUUGAGACAUUUGAUAUCUUUCGGGCGCCUCUUGGCAAAAUCUUGGAACAUCCGACGGUCGUAGAGAUCAUUUUGGAAGCAAUCUAUAGCGUCCCGCUCUGUGAUUCCAUGAUAGUGGCCUUCUUGUCGAAGAAACAGCGUAGAUAACUACGCAAGGUCUUGCCUUAUUGCUGUUUGAUUUGCAACAAGUCGAUCCUGUUGCCAGGACGUUGCAUUGCCCCUGCGAAUGGCCCUACCUCCAUGUAAAUGGGGAAGUAGAUGACUUUAGUAUCAUCGUAUCCUCCCGCUGCCUAGACUGAUAGCGAGUAGAACCUCAGCCAUUGUACUGGGUCUUGCUUGCCAUCGUACUUGGUAAUACCCGAAAGUUUAAACUUGUCAGGUAGAACCGUCUUGCGUACUGGUUGUGAGAAGGCGGGAAACCUGUUGGAAUCUUCUCCUGAGUAAUCGACUUCUAGCUCGCGUUCGUGGCGGCACCCUUCGAUGAUGUCACGAGGGUCACGAUUCUUGUUGAGCUUUUGACGGAGGUCACGUGUUGGUUGCUCAGGCUCUAGAUGGGGCUCACGGCCUCCUGAGGGGUUUUACCCGACAACCUUCUGGCCUGUGCUGACUUGCUCUAGGGUUCUCAAUUCUUGGAACCUCGUUUCUAGCAACCUCAUUGCGACCAGGCCUGGCACUCUCAUUACAACUUGGAUGCCUACAACUGAUGCCGUGAUAGGAUGAGGUGCGCUGAACUGAGCUGAUCGGGCUCUGUCGAUCGUGCUGCUCGUACGCAUGCUCCGCCAAUAAAGCUAGUUGCCUAGUGUACUUGGUUUGCGGCAUUGCCCAAGAAAUCAGGUCAAUGGAUGCAAUGGUGGCGAGAGGAGUGUGAUGAUGAUGCAAUUGAACUGCUUCAAUCACAUGGUCCAAGUUCAUGAUGGGUAGAUCAGAUGCAAGGCGGUGGCAAUGAUCUGCUCAUGCCGCGUUUCUUGCUCGCCGUCGAUCUCUUUGACUCUCGGUCUCUUCUCCUUGUACGUUGGUAGUGAGCUCAUCCGCUGACAUGUCGUCUGGAUGGCGCUCAUGUUGCGGAUGCCCUUCUGGUGGUUCGUCACCAUCGUCCUCUUGAGGAGCGACGAUGGCGAGUAGUUCUCGCUUUGGGAGAAACUACCCAAACUUGAUGUGAUGACCUAUGUGGAACUGUCUUCUUUGUAGAUAGGCGAUAGAUGGGUUCCCUCCUGGUAUGGGAGGUUGUCAAUAUAUGCAACAAGGUGUGACUCGUCGUCCUUGGCAAGAGCAGAUGGCUUCAUGUCCAGCUAGUAGAGGAAUCUGCCUUGUGGAGUUGACAUGAUUACCAGGCCCUGCUGCAGACCUGAUAAAGGGAUUUUCUCAUCCGGAUCUGAGUAGUAGUCAAUGUCCUCAAUCGAAUCCGAGUUGGACUGAGAUCUGGACAGGGUGUCUUGAUAGACAACAUUUGAGUUUCGGAGUCUGAAUGGGAAUCGAGUUGUGUCGUAGACUGAUUCACAUGAUGGCUUAAGCGCCAGCUCCUGGGAACCAGUUCGGUUAGUGGGAAAAGUUGAGUUGUACUCAGACUCGUCCCUCGAGCCUCGACAGAGGUCGAAAAUUUUGUUGAAUUUUUUAACGAAAUCCUCCAAAGCUUGGCGACCAAGAUUGACGUUAUAGUGAUUCUCCUCUGGGGUCGGCGCGAUGUGGCGGUGGAAGUUUCUAGCGCUGUCUGUAAUGCAAACCCAAAAGCCGAAGAUGAACAUCGCGCCCGCUUUGAAUGCGACGGUGGGCUUAAUGAUGACUUGAGUCAUCGAGUUCGCUAGUGGAUCUUUAGCGAGAUCCCCUACUAGGCGCGCCAGCUGUCGGUGUUUAGACCCAGCAACCUACUUGAUGAAGACUAGGAACUCGAAGGUGAAAUCGAACACACGAUUUAGAUAGGUUCGGACCGCUUAUGUCACGUAGUACCCUACAUCCUGUGUGUUGGUUGGAUUGUAUUGAUUGAAUUUAUUUGGAGGGGGUCCCUGCCUCGCCUUAUAUUGCCGGGGGUAGGUGUGACGGCCUUGGACAAAAAUCCUUCGCGUCAAUCUUAAUCCGAGCCCCUGAUCACCUGUCUUAGUUUUUCCAAGCCUAAGUGUUCAACCUCCAGAUCUUUCGACCCCUGCGAUCCGACCCCUCACCGUGGUCUCCCCAGUUCUGACCCCGCCGACCCCCAACCCACCGUCGGAUCUUUCUAAGCCAUCCCGCAGCAUCGCCCUCCAGAUCGAGCAAUGGACCAGCGAGACUGACCGGCGGGCCUACGAGAUCUUUUCCCCCAAAUCUACCGUGAUAGGCGCACUCGAGUUGCAUGCCCGCUUCAGUUUUUCCCCGCCGCGUGGCUCAACUCCUCCGACGCCCGCCGCUCCGCCUCGUUUUCGGCCCGCGACCGGAUGGAUUCUCGCGCCCCCUUCCACAAUCGCGGCGGAAGCUCCCCUGCUACCCUUUCUGCAGCACCUCGCCGCCCGCGCCCAUCAUCACAUCGCCAGAUCCCGGCCGUAGAGCCCGAUGCCGCCCGUCUUUUCCGUCACCUCGCCACAGUCGCGCCGCCCCGGUCUUCGCUACAGGACGAUUCCUCCUCCGCCAACCUAGACCGCGGUAGCGACAGCUCCUUUUCCCGCCCUGGCAGAAGCCGCCCUGACAAUCUGUUGCUCCGAGCUCGCCCGCGCGCCCGCAGCCGCUUGUCUUCUUACCUGCGCGCCCUCGAUCCUAGCGCUGUUUUCCCGGUCACUUCCAUCACAUCCACCACACGACGAUGCCCGCCUCCGCCAAAUCUCAACCACCGGCAAACCCGCGCCUGCGCCGCCCUGGCGUUAGUGCCCAAUGACCGCCGGCGUCAUCCCCGAAGUCCUGCUUCACCGCCCUCGUCGCUCAAUCGCCGCCCGGGCCGAGCACUCCAUCGCUUCUUCCCCGGCCUUCGCGCCGCUCCCCUUCUCACUCCCGCGCCGCUAUAAAAGGGAAUGCAAAAGUCCCGCCGGAGUUCCCUUGCCCUAGUUGCCAUCUCUCUUGCUCCCUGUUCGAGCUCACAGCUCCACCACCUAAGUCGGACGAACUCUCCUCUCUGCUCAAGCACCAUCUUUUCUCAAAUCCACCAGCCACUGCUUUCAGUGCUGCCCAAGAGCUUACUUGUGAUCCACAAGAAGCACCGCUGCCGCCGGACAUUCUCGCCGCUGUCCCAAGCCCUUAGUUCUUCCGCCCAAGCCUCCUCUGUAAGAAGAAGGUAGGCUGCCAACCGUUGUUCGCUUCGCCCGACCCCUCUUAUCCGCCCGACCCCGGUUCCGUCUCGCCUGACCCUGUCUGUUCCGCCGACCCUUCUCCGCCUCGCCCGAGGGCUCAGCUGUAUCUUUUUCUUUAAACCGAGGGUGUAUGUGUAAAACUUGGGGACCUUUCAGCGUUGAGUCUGAGGACCCCUAGUACAUCAAAUCCUCUAGAUUAAGGGUCAGAUCAUAAGUUCCUUCCCUCCGACCCUUACCUCUUGAUCUCCAUCAAAUCCAUUGAACUUCCCCACCCUCCUGUAACUUGUCGCAAGUUUCUGGGCUCAUACUUGCAAGUGUCGCUGUUGAAAUAACCGUCUAUGCUAACCAAUGCAUUGCAUUCGUGUAGAGCUGCGUCUCGCUGACGGCUACUACGAGCUGCACCCGGCGCCAGAAGACGACAGUGUAGCUGAGCUCCUGCCCCCAGAAGCUGAAGCUGCCCCAGAAGUCGAGCAGUUCCCUUCCUCUUUGCUCGAAGGCAAGCCCCGGAUGCAUGAAUCCCCUAUGUUUUACCAGACUUGCGCAUGCCUUCUUUAACAUGCUUGUGCAUUUACAUAUAGGAGUUGUUUGGAAUCCUAGAUGCAUAACUUAGCUCCCCUGAUCUGAACACUAGCUGUUGGACCGAGUAGAUGCUUGCUUAAAUAGGAAACGGUAAAAGCCGAGUGAUUCCCUGUCACUCGCGAGUUGUAGGAGUUGGAUGUUUACCUUCUGUCACAACUAUAAGGACGAUGGACGGGGCAGGGUUUGAGGUAACUCUUUGGUGGUCGGAUGAUCACCCCGUCUGUCUAUGAAACUUGCUAAGGCCCGAUAGUGGUGGUGUUCGUGAUCAAGUGUUUGAAGGUACUAAUCUCAUACCUAGUAUGGGAUGGGGAAGCCUAGUACCUGAUUGAACUAGGGCGUGGCGUAUACCCCUGCUGUCCCUGGAACGAGGCAUCAUGUGGGUGCAAGUGCGGUCACAGUACGGCAGAGGCCGGGAUUGUGGAGCAUUGCAUGCCAAGGGAAGUUUGGACCUGACACGCGCCUGGGAAUUGAUGGGGACGGACGACACAGGAAGCGGCCCUUGUGGUGCCCGGAUGUCAUGAGAUUACGUUCGCCAUGCAUGGUUAAGAAACUCGAAUCGAUUCGUCUGCCUCUCAUAGUUUGAGACUACUUGAUCGCUAUGUCACCCUGAGUAAGUAAAGAAUCUGAUGAUGACAUGGGUUUGCUGAUGUUGUAUAUACCUUUUGGUUGGUUCUAUGAUUGCUUAGAAUAGGUUGCAAACUUAGACCGGAUAAUGAACUUAGAACCGGAGCUAAAACUUGCAAGUAGGGAUACAUCUAGUGCUUUUGGCAAACAAAUCACCUCAGCCAAAAAGCCCUUGCAUGUCUAGAAGAGGUAGUUUAGCGUGCUCCCUGUCGGUUAAGUCUUGUUGAGCUUAGUAGCUCAGCCCUGUUGUGGCUCUUUCUUUUCAAGUGAAGUUGCUGCUUCCGAGCCCCCUUCAGCUGGCACUUGGCUGCCCCAACUCCCUCCGGGUUGGACGGUCGAGUGGGAUCCCUCCUCGGACGGUGAGGAGAGGGAUCAUUGACGUCCCGGUUAGCCUCACCAGGGAUGUCCGACCCCGACAAAAUAGCUUCCGCUUGUUGUUUUAUCUUCUGUGGUUUUUCUUUCAAACCUUGUAAACUCUGAUGUUGUUUUUACGGUCAAACUAAAUGGUUAAUUUGUUAACUCGGUGGACUUGCUAUAUUCUAUGGAACCGCUCACCUUCGUGUGGGUUUGCUAUUCGGUCCUGUUCAAUGGUUAAAUCGGAUGAAAUCCAACGGCACUUCGGGAUUACUCGGUUAGGCAUGAGCGUCGCGUAUCAUGCGGCUAAAUCAUGGUUAACUAAGCAAAUCUGAAGUGGAUCCGCCACAGCUGGUAUCAGAGCCGGUUUAGCAAUACAGAGAACACAACAAGUCCUAACACACUUCUUUGAAAAGAUAAAAGUUGCAAGAAACCCUUUUAAAAACAUCUCGUACGAUCGUUAAGGAUGACUUUAGUGCGAGAGGCCCUAGGGGAUUUUGUGGUUGUUUUAGGUGGCUAAUAUUUAUUGGUUAUCUUGCUAACCCUUCCAGCACUUCGCCACGUUUAUCAUACGUGUGCCGAGUUCCGCAUCACAAGUAUACGAGGGUUGAUGGGGAGUUCUAUUCAAAGGACCCUAUCAUCGCGGUUGUUUCGCCCACGUCUAUCAUACGUGUGCAGGUUCCGUAUGUAAUCCAUAUGAAGGUUGGUACGGUUCGAUUCCAAUGAGCCUAUCAGCACGGUUGUUCGCCACGUCUAUUAUACGUGCGCUGAUUCCGCAUCGCGAGUAUGCGAAGGGUUAUACGGUUCCAUUCAAAGGGAACCUAUUUCCACGGUUGAGUGCUAUCCAUGCAGCCUUGAACGCAUGGGUGCCGUUCCUAUAGUGAUCGGUAAUGUUUGGGGACGCUUUCGUGGGUGCUGGCACGAAAGGUUCGUGUGGUUGUGUUUUUUUGCAGGUACCCUAACCGCGUUCGCUUAGGAAACAUUGCUAGAACCGACUAGUUAUUAUAGGGAGAGACGUACUGGUUGCCUUGCCACCGGCACUAACUGCAUAAGACCAAGCUUUGGCAGUUGUUUUGGCUAAGAAUGAGGUAGGCCGUGCAUGCGACAUAAGCUAAAAAUCUGUAAAGUCACCUUCCUCAGAAGCAACCUUGCUCGAAGAAGCUCUUCUUCGGUUCUAAGGAUUUCUAGUUUCUUCUAGCUUGUUCUCGGUUAAAACCGGAUGCUUUUUGUCCGACCCCUGACCUUUAGAGUUCAUCUCACGUGGUUUUGGUUCUUGGUUCCAGAUGGCCACCCCCGGACAUGUCCUGUAUGGAGCGGAUGGCACCUUCCAUUCGACGUGUCUACACUUCGAGGGCUUUCCCGCGAUCUUGUGGGAUACCUUGAAAUGGUUCGGGUACCAGUCCCCACCGUUGUAUGCGGGACGACCUGGAGCGAGGCGUCCAAACGUGCAACGUACAGGCAGUAGUACCACCCCCUCCCGUGCGGCCCGACUAGCCCUCGUUUGGGAUAUCAGCAUACGGUCUUGCCCCGGAAGACACCUGGGAGUCAGUUGCUCUUCAGCUCCUUACUCAAUUCUGUCAGCUGCACCCACUGGAGGUCACCCUAGACCCCAUCGGCCUAUUCCCUGCCAGGAACCGGUUGGACCCGGAGUGGCUUGACCGCGUCAACAAUAUCGAGGUGCUGGCCACCACCUACUCUAUGGUCACCAUCUCCACCAAGAUCCGGUUUAUGUCAGCCCUCUAUCGGCUGAUUGAGCUCCAAGGACGAGCCAUGACUAUCCUUGCUUGGACCGCCAUGGAUGCCCAAGGACACCUCCAGGCCACCAAAAGAGACCUGGUAGGCCAAACAUAUCAGCUCAUCCAACGAGGCGUUCAGAUCCAUGACAUGCAGGACAGAAUCUCUGAGCUCGAGGGAGAAGUAGCUGACUUGGUGGACGGCAUGAUCGAACUAUCAGAGGAGAAGAUGGAAGUGGAAAUGGAGCUGGCGGUUGCCAAUGCUCAUCUGGACGAGCAUCACGCCGAGCUCGAUGAUAUGCACGCCCUCCAGAUGCAACUGGAAGCUCAAGAGGACCCUGAGGAGGUUGAGGAAGCGUCCAGCAUGGACAUUGAAGAGGACGACGCCCCUUCUCCUACCCAUAGUGUUCCUUUGUAGAUGGAAAGUUGCAGGAAACCCAUUCUUUUGUUGUACUCCUCGGCAGCCUAAAUUUUGGAAAGUCCUGUAAUAGGUUAGCCUUGAGUCGAGUACUCCUUGUGUUUAGAACACCUCUGUAAAAUGAUCCCAAUGCAAUUCAAACCUGAGUCUGACCUUUGACUCUUUACAGAAUGUUGAAAUGUUAGACAAAGUGAGUUGUGUUGUGACCACACACGUUGUUUUCUGUGGGUCUGUUCAAGUUUGGCCGACCCCGGUUCGCGAGAUCGGAUGCGCCCGACCCUUCGAGGUAGUUCUCCGCCUCGCCCGACUCCUUUUUGGUGUGGAUCGUUGCCGACCCCUUUUGUCGGGAUGAUCGCCUAGCCCGACUCCGUGGCUUAAGUUCGGAUGUAAGGGAAUUCUAGGAGUCUGGGUAUGGAUCGCCCGAAGUCGAGUACAAAGCUAAGAUAGAUGCUAACUAACAUGACAUGAGAAGAGUGUAUCUCCCUUGUGAGGACGUGUGUUGCAUUAUCAGCAAGAGUUGCAUCGGAGAAUUUAACUUAUGCGUUCCCAUCUGUUGGAGUACUUCUAAGAUUAUGAAUUUAAUGGAACGUUAACUCUUGCAGAUGGCGCAUCGCACUAGAUCUGGUUCUGUGCCCGGCAGCAGCGAGCAAAGACAAGAUCUCCCCCCACCCCCACCCCCACCCCCGUCUCCACUAGAGGCAAUCCUAGCGGCUUAGACCGAGCUGCUGAGACAUCUGGUACAAGGGCAACAACAACAGCAGCCCCAUGGUGGAAGGGCUCAGCAGCAACCUCAUGUUGCUCGGUAUGAAGACUUUCUGGGGACGCAGCCCCCAUUGUUCCAGAAGACCCAAGACCUGCUCGAUGCAGACGCCUGGGUUCGCACCAUCGAAUCCAUGUUCGAGCUUCUCACCGCCCAGUGCCCCGAUCACAACAAGGCCAGGUUUGCAGCCCAGCAGUUACGUGGUUCCGCUCGGCUAUGGUGGGAUCACUACCACGCCAUGUUACCGGCCAACCAUGUCAUCAGCUGGAAUGAGUUCAAGAAUGCGUUCAGAGCGCACCACAUUCCGGACGGUCUCUUGGAGCGCAAGCUCAAUGAAUUCCUGGCUCUUCACCAAGGAAACCGAGAUGUGUAACUGUUGGGAUACGAGGUAGGCUACACUAGCGCAAAACAAAAAUUUCUACCGCGUAUAACCAGGAAGAACUGCCGUAUAAGGAUCACGGGAUUACCACUCGACGCACUACUGGUGCGGAAGAUGUAGAUAUGCGUCGGUGCGGUGAAGAUGAUCACGUAGUCGUACGUAGUCGAUCACGUCCAGCAGCUCCUCAGCAACUCGUCCACGUGCAGCAAGAUCGCCUCCGGUGCCGCGGCUCGUCGUCGGCUCGUCGUGGCUCGUCGGCGGCUCGUCGAUGGCUCGUCCAUGUGCUGCAGGCGCAACACCUCCAAGGUAUCCACACGUGCAGGGAGGAAGCGUCGCAAGCCGGAUUGCUAGAUCCGCGAGUUGCAACAGGCGAGGGCGUGGGAGGCGCGGCAAGUGUGUUUCGCCAAAAGGUGUAAACCCUAGGGCGCCCCCACCCCUCUAUUUAUAGAGGUUCCUGAUGGGCCUCUGGAUCCGAGGCCCAUUAGUACUCCUAAACCUAAUCCAACUCGGAUCAGAUCCGAAUUGGGCUUCCAGCCCCUUAAGUGUGUGACCCUAUGGGUUCGGAUACGUAUAGACAUGGCCCGAGUACUCCUACUCGGCCCAGUAGUCGGUAGCGGCCUCUAGCAAGACGUGCCAACUCCUAUACGCACACGAAGAUCAUAUCAGAUGAACCAUCACAACAUAAUAUACAUGCUAUUCCCUUUGCCUCACGAUAUUUGGUCUAGCUUCAAGCCGACCGCUCUUUCUCGAUCCUGUGAUUCGGAAUCCCUUUGUAGGUUAACUCUAAACCGUACGUAGCAUGGCCAUGCAUUUUCGGAUCCGAUCACUCGAGGGGCCCAGAGAUAUCACUCUCAAUCAGAGAGGGGCAAAUCCCAUCUUGACUGACCAUGUCUCAUAGCAUGCUUCUUGACAAACCCGAAAGCUACCUUUAUAACUACCCUGUUACGGCGUAGCGUUUGAUAGCCCCUAAGUAGGUCGAUCCACAUCUAGAAUACAUGCGACAGUCUCAGGUCUAAGGACAAAGCGUAUAUGUUGUUUAAAGAGAGAACUACUUCUCAUGUUGGGUCAGUCCUAGCACAUGUCUCCACAUGUGUCCACAUUAUUAGUUCAACAUCUCCAUGUCCAUGACUUGUGAAACAUAGUCAUCAACUAAUACAUGUGCUAGUCUAAUAUUCAUGUGUGUCCUCACAUGAACUCCGACUAGGGACAACUUUAGAAUAACCAUACAAGUAAAGAGUUUCACAUACAAUUCACAUAAUUGCAAAUCAAUUCAAGUAGCCUUCAAUGGAUAUUCAAUGAACACAACAUACAAAUCAUGGAUACAAAUGGAAUAUCAUCAUCUCUAUGAUUGCCUCUAGGGCAUACCUCCAACAGUCUCCCACUUGCACUAGAGUCAAUCUAGAAGGUACCUAAUACCCAUAGCUCUUACAUGCGCAUCAUGCUUAGCCUGCGGGAGUGGUUUUGUCAACGGAUCAGAAAUGUUCAGAUCCAUGUGUAUUUUGCAUAUCUUGAUCUCACCCCGGUUAACGAAGUCUCGAAUGAGAUGAAAUCGCCGCAUUACGUGUUUGUUCUUCUGGUGGUUCCUUGGCUCCUUUGCUUGCGCAAUUGCCCUAUUGUUAUCACAGUAGAGAUUCAAUGGGCUGGACGCAUUCGGGAACACACCAAGCUCAAUGAGGAAAUUCCUUAUCCAAACACCUUCCUUCGCGGCUUCCGAAGCCGCGAUGUACUCGGCUUCUGUCGUAGAAUCGGCCACCGUCUCCUGCUUGGAACUCUUCCAACUAACAACACCACCAUUCAGCGUGAACACAAAUCCUGAUUGUGACUUUGAAUCAUCUCUGUCGGUUUGGAAACUAGCAUCGGUGUAACCUGUUACAACGAGCUCCUCCUGACCUCCAUAGACGAGGAACAUAUCUUUAGUCCUUCUCAAGUACUUAAGAAUGUUUUUCACCGCUGUCCAGUGACUCUCACCUGGAUCAGAUUGGUGUCUGCUUGUCAUACUUAGCGCAUAUGAAACAUCUGGGCGAGUACUUAUCAUUGCAUACAUGAUAGAUCCAAUAGCCGAGGCAUAUGGCACUCUACUCAUGCGAUCCCGCUCAUCAGCAGUCGAAGGACACUGAGUCUUGCUGAGAUGUAUGCCAUGUGACAUAGGUAAGAACUCUUUCUUUGCCUCUUCCAUGCUGAACCGCUUCAACACUUUGUCAAUGUAAGUAUCUUGGCUUAAACCUAUAAGCCUUCUCGAUCUAUCUCUAUAGAUCUUAAUGCCCAGAAUAUAUGCCGCUUCCCCUAAGUCCUUCAUCGAAAAACUAUUUUUCAGUGAAGUCUUUACGGACUCAAGCAUAGGAAUGUUAUUUCCAAUCAGUAAUAUGUCAUCCACAUAUAAGAUUAGAAAUACUACAGAGCUCCCACUAACCUUCUUGUAAACACAAGACUCUUCUUCGUUCUUGGUGAAGUCAAACCCUUUGACCACUUCAUCAAAACGAAUGUUCCAACUCCUAGAUGUUUGCUUCAAUCCUUAAAUGGAUCUCUGAAGCUUGCAUACCUUUCCAGCAUUUUUCGGAUCGACAAAACCCUCGGGCUGUAUCAUAUACACGUCCUCAGCUAGGUUUCCAUUCAGGAAAGCUGUCUUGACAUCCAUCUGCCAUAUCUCAUAAUCGAAAUAUGCAGCUAUAGCUAGAAUAAUCCGAAUGGACUUAAGCAUCACUACGGGCGAGAAGGUCUCAUCGUAGUCAACUCCUUGAACUUGUCGAAAACCUUUUGCGACAAGUCGUGCUUUAUAGAUGUGAACAUUUCCAUCCAUGUCCUUUUUCUUCUUAUAGAUCCACUUGCACUCUAUGGCUUUAACACCAUCAGGCGGGUCAACCAAGUUCCAAACUUGAUUGUCUCCCAUGGACUCUAUUUCGGAUUGCAUGGCACUCUGCCAUUUUUCGGAGUCUGGGUCCAUCAUUGCUUCUGCAUAUGUCGCAGGCUCAUCAUUGUCCAACAAUAAUAUUUCUCGCAUUUUGCGGAGCCUUGCUGACUUUCGUGGUUGUGGCGGUGCUUCUCUUGCCAUGGGUAUCUCAACUUGUUCUGCUACGUUAGCAUCACUCAUUGAUUCUUGCCUGAUUGGCUCAUCUUGAACUUCUUCAAGAUGCACUGUCUUUCCACUCUUUUCUCCUUUGAGAAACUCUUUCUCUAGGAAAACCCCGUUCCGAGCGACAAACACUUUGCCUUAUGAUCGGUUGUAGAAAUAAUAUCCCAAAGUUUCCUUUGGAUAUCCCACAAAAAUGCACUUAUCCGACUUGGGUGUGAUCUUGUCCGACUGAAGUCGCUUGACAAACACUUCACAUCCCCAAAUCUUUAGAAAAGACAAACUAGGAACCUUUCCAGUCCAUAUCUCAUAUGGUGUCUUAACUACGGAUUUAGAUGGUACCCUAUUUAGUGUGAAAGCUGCUGUUUCUAGAGUGUAUCCCCAAAAUGACAAUGGUAGGUCCGACUAGCUCAUCAUUGAUCGAACCAUGUCUAACAAAGUUCGAUUACGUCGCUCGGACACACCGUUUCUCUGAGGUGUUCCAGGCGGCGUAAGUUGUGGAACAAUUCCGCAACUCUUUAGAUGAUUGCUAAACUCGUGGCUCAAAUACUCGCCUCCACGAUCAGAUCGUAAGGCCUUAAUUUUCUUGCCACGCUGAUUUUCAACUUCAUUCUGAAAUUCCUUGAACUUUUCAAAGGUUUCAGACUUGUGCCUCAUCAAGUAGACAUAGCCAUAUCUACUAAAAUCAUCAGUGAAAGUUAUGAAGUAUUGGAAUCCUCCUCUAGCCGUCGUGCUCAUUGGUCCGCAUACAUCACUAUGUACGAGUUCCAACAAGUCUACUGCUCUCUCAGGAAAUCCUGUGAAAGGUGUCUUGGUCAUCUUGCCUAGCAAGCAAGCCUCGCAUGUCUCGUAUGAUUCAAAAUCAAACGAAGUUAGAAGUCCAUCAGAAUGGAGCCGAACGAUUCUUCAUGCGCUUUUCACUUAUAUGACCCAAACAACAAUGCCACAAGUAGGUAGGACUCAAAUCAUUAGGCCGAGGCCUUUUAGCACUUACAUUACAGACAGGUGAACCAUCAAGAUUUAAAACAAAUAAUCCAUUCACAAUGGGUGCAAAAGCCAUAAACAUAUUAUUCUUAGAGAUCACACAACCAUUGUUUUCACUCGCAAAUGAAUAACCAUCCUUCAUCAAACAUGAAGGAGACAAAAUGUUUCGACUUAAACUAGGAACAAAAUAACAAUUAUUCAACUCCAUAAUAAAUCCUGACGGGAGGUGGAGUUGCAUCGUCCCGACGGUCAACGCAGCAACUCUUGCAUUAUUGCCCACGCGGAAAUCAACUUCUCCUCUUUCCACGCUUCUACUUCUUAUCAUUCCCUGCAUCGAAUUGCAAAUAUGAGCAACCGAUCCGGUAUCAAAUACCCAAGAAUUAAUAAUUGUAUCAGCGAGAAAUAUGUUGUCUAUAACAUUAACAACAAGCGUACCUGAGGUAGAAGUACUCUUACUUCUGCCAUUCUUCAACGAAGCUAGGUACUGCUUGCAGUUUCUCUUCCAGUGACCAAGUUCAUGAUAGUAAAAGCACUCUUUAUCUGGAGCAGGUCCAGCUUUAGCCUUGGGCGCUGGGUUUGGCUUGGACACUCCAGCCUUACCCUUCUUCUUCCAAGAAUUGCCCUUCUUCUUGAAGGUAGGCUUGUUCUGUAAAACCAUCACAUGGCUGGUACUAGCGCUUUUCUUAAUGUCUACCUCUGCUGUCUUGAGCAUACCACACAGUUCAUUCAGACCCUUCUCCGUCCCAUGCAUAUGGUAGUUCGAGAUGAAGUUCCCAUAGCUAGGCGGAAGAGAUGAAAGAAUGAAGUCAGUGGCCAACUCUUUGCCCAUUGGGAAGCCCAGCUUCUCCAAUCGCUGAGUGUAACCAACCAUCUUGAUUACAUGUGGUCCUACUGCUGCGCCUUCUGCUAACUUGCACUCCAGAAAGGCUUUGGACACAUUGAACCUUUCGGUCCUAGCCUGUGUCUGGAACAUGUCCUUGAGCGCCACGAUCAUAUCGUGUGCCUCAUGAUUUGUUUCGAACUGCAUCUGCAGCUCGGGUUCCAUGCAAGCAAGCAUAAGGCAGCUUACCUCAAGAUUAGCAUCAAAUGCCUUCUUGUAAGCAGCCUUAACGGCAGCAAAUGCAUCAUCAGCAGGUACUGGUGGUAGUGGGGUGUCUAGAACAUCUUCCUUUUUCUCAGCCCUGAGAACAAUUCUCAGGUUACGGAUCCAAUCCGAGUAGUUUGUUCCAUUCAAUUUGUCCUUCUCAAGGACCGAACGCAAAGCAAACGAUGCGGUGGUGUUGCUAGGUGCCAUUUAAUCUACAACAAAAGUAAUGCAAAAUACACUAAGACAAACGUAUCCAUGAUAGAGCAAAUUACAUUAAACUAUUUUAACAGAAUCUACUCCCACUAAAAUCAAUAUCCCUCUAUUGAAACUUAGUGAUUCAGGAUCCACAACUAACAAGUCUACUAGUGAGCUUUAGCAUCACCGCUAGCAAACGAGGUAGAUCGGUAAGCAACUUUUGCUAAUCAUAUCACAUAUGACUCCUGUUGUUGGGUGACAUCUCUAUGUCUCGGCGCCCAACCUUUAUACCCCAAGGUCCUUAACCGUUAAGAUAACCUUGUUAAGCAAACCAACCCUUAUGCGUGUAAGUGUCCGACACAAACCCGUCUAGUCAAGGAAAACCAAUGGCACCCUAAUUUCAUAGACCCACCACUAAUUGUACAAGACAUGGGACGGUGCAAGUUUUAGUUGGGAGGGCAUACUAACUUAAAAUUUGCGAGGGAUCGUUCUACUUCUAACAUCACAGCAUGCAGAAAGUAAAACAUAAACAAAAUAGCAUUCACACAGUUGUGACACAGUAUGGCCCGUUUUCAUAUGGUGAUCUCCAUCUCCAUAGAACCUGUUCACCAUGGUGAUCUCCAUCUCCAUGUUCCAUGUGCGCCAGCCUCCUGGUGAUGAGUCCUCCAAGAACUAGAGCAUGCUAUUACGCCUAAUAGCUAGUAAAGAAUCUAGUAAUGAAGAUUACAUAGUUGCUUGGAUCAUCACAGAUUGGUACGCAGACCAUUAAAUACAAUAAAGUGACAACACAUAUGGCUCCUGCCGUGUUGCCGUACACGUGACACGCAGGUCACGAAUGAGUUACACACAUGCAUCACAUACACAAGGGGGCCAUACUGAUCACAAGAUACAUACAUACAUCCUGCAAAAUAGAGUUAGGCGUCCUAACGUUCCAAACUUCGGAGGCGCGAAACUCCAUCUUCCAAGCCGAAUUUGGGAAAUCUAAUUUCGCCGAAAAUGGCAAAGCGGUUGAAUUUCAUGUGUAACUUUUUCUGUAGAUCAAUUUUCAUAUAAAAAUCGCCCCGAUCCGAGAUCGUACCGAAAAGUUACGGCUGAUUUACCGAAGCAUACGCAUACGGCAAAAUCCCGACCCCGGCAGUAGAUCCCAUCUACUAUUGCACAUCUAAUGCGCCUGGCGUAUGACCCUAGAUCUCGAUUCGACCAAUCAUAUUGAUCUUCCCUCACUGCAACUGGAUUUACGUGUAUCACUUAACUCCGAUGGCGGAAACCGACCGGUAGGAGUAUGUCGUUACACUACCAUUGCAGCAAGGGCACGAAAUCAGGACAUAGAUCAAACAGAGAACUCGCAUAUCUCCAUAUGCACACAUCCCGAAUCCAAAACUAAGCAGCUACGGCUCUGAUACCACUGUUGGGAUACGAGGUAGGCUACACUAGCGCAAAACAAAAAUUUCUACCGUGUAUAACCAGGAAGAACUGCCAUAUAAGGAUCACGGGAUUACACUCGAUGCACUACUGGUGCGGAAGAUGUAGAUAUGCGUCGGUGCAGUGAAGACGAUCACGUAGUCGUACGUAGUCGAUCACAUCCAGCAGCUCCUCAGCAGCUCGUCCACGUGCAGCAAGAUCGCCUCCGGUGCCGCGGCUCGUCGUCGGCUCGUCGUGGCUCGUCGGCGGCUCGUCGAUGGCUCGUCCAAGUGCUGCAGGCGCAAGACCUCCAAGGUAUCCACACGUGCAGAGAGGAAACGUCGCAAGCCGGAUUGCUAGAUCCGUGAGUUGCAACAGGCGAGGGCGUGGGAGGCGCGGCAAGUGUGUUUCGCCAAAAGGUGUAAACCCUAGGGCGCCCCCACCCCUCUAUUUAUAGAGGUUCCUGAUGGGCCUCUGGAUCCGAGGCCCAUUAGUACUCCUAAACCUAAUCCAACUCGGAUCAGAUCCAAAUUGGGCUUCCAGCCCCUUAAGUGUGUGACCCUAUGGGUUCGGAUACGUAUAGACAUGGCCCGAGUACUCCUACUCGGCCCAGUAGUCGGUAGCGGCCUCUAGCAAGACGUGCCAACUCCUAUACGCACACGAAGAUCAUAUCAGAUGAACCAUCACAACAUAAUAUACAUGCUAUUCCCUUUGCCUCACGAUAUUUGGUCUAGCUUCAAGCCGACCGCUCUUUCUCGAUCCUGUGAUUCGGAAUCCCUUUGUAGGUUAACUCUUAACCGUACGUAGCAUGGCCAUGCAUAUUCGGAUCCGAUCACUCGAGGGGCCCAGAGAUAUCACUCUCAAUCAGAGAGGGGCAAAUCCCAUCUUGACUGACCAUGUCUCAUAGCAUGCUUCUUGACAAACCCGAAAGCUACUUUUAUAACUACCCUGUUACGGCGUAGCGUUUGAUAGCCCCUAAGUAGGUCGAUCCACAUCUAGAAUACAUGCGACAGUCUCAGGUCUAAGGACAAAGCGUAUAUGUUGUUUAAAGAGAGAACUACUUCUCGUGUUGGGUCAGUCCUAGCACAUGUCUCCACAUGUGUCAACAUUAUUAGUUCAACAUCUCCAUGUCCAUGACUUGUGAAACAUAGUCAUCAACUAAUACAUGUGCUAGUCUAAUAUUCAUGUGUGUCCUCACAUGAACUCCGACUAGGGACAACUUUAGAAUAACCAUACAAGUAAAGAGUUUCACAUACAAUUCACAUAAUUGCAAAUCAAUUCAAGUAGCCUUCAAUGGAUAUUCAAUGAACACAACAUACAAAUCAUGGAUACAAAUGGAAUAUCAUCAUCUCUAUGAUUGCCUCUAGGGCAUACCUCCAACAGUAACACUACACUCAGGCCUUCAACAACCUGUGUCAUUAUGCCGGAUAUCACGCGGACACCGACAAGAAGAAGAAGGACAGGUUCCAUAGAGGGCUGAGCUUGGAGCUUAGAGAAAGGUUAAACCCGACAAGGGUGGAUACGUACAAUGAGUUGGUCAACCUGGCCAUCUCCCAAGAGGACUGCAUGAAGGCUCUGGCAGCCGAAAGGAAGAGGAAAGCCCCACUACCAACGCCCAACCCACCUGCACAGCGUCCAGAAUGGUCCACCCCNNNNNNNNNNNNNNNNNNNNNNNNNNNNNNNNNNNNNNNNNNNNNNNNNNNNNNNNNNNNNNNNNNNNNNNNNNNNNNNNNNNNNNNNNNNNNNNNNNNNNNNNNNNNNNNNNNNNNNNNNNNNNNNNNNNNNNNNNNNNNNNNNNNNNNNNNNNNNNNNNNNNNNNNNNNNNNNNNNNNNNNNNNNNNNNNNNNNNNNNNNNNNNNNNNNNNNNNNNNNNNNNNNNNNNNNNNNNNNNNNNNNNNNNNNNNNNNNNNNNNNNNNNNNNNNNNNNNNNNNNNNNNNNNNNNNNNNNNNNNNNNNNNNNNNNNNNNNNNNNNNNNNNNNNNNNNNNNNNNNNNNNNNNNNNNNNNNNNNNNNNNNNNNNNNNNNNNNNNNNNNNNNNNNNNNNNNNNNNNNNNNNNNNNNNNNNNNNNNNNNNNNNNNNNNNNNNNNNNNNNNNNNNNNNNNNNNNNNNNNNNNNNNNNNNNNNNNNNNNNNNNNNNNNNNNNNNNNNNNNNNNNNNNNNNNNNNNNNNNNNNNNNNNNNNNNNNNNNNNNNNNNNNNNNNNNNNNNNNNNNNNNNNNNNNNNNNNNNNNNNNNNNNNNNNNNNNNNNNNNNNNNNNNNNNNNNNNNNNNNNNNNNNNNNNNNNNNNNNNNNNNNNNNNNNNNNNNNNNNNNNNNNNNNNNNNNNNNNNNNNNNNNNNNNNNNNNNNNNNNNNNNNNNNNNNNNNNNNNNNNNNNNNNNNNNNNNNNNNNNNNNNNNNNNNNNNNNNNNNNNNNNNNNNNNNNNNNNNNNNNNNNNNNNNNNNNNNNNNNNNNNNNNNNNNNNNNNNNNNNNNNNNNNNNNNNNNNNNNNNNNNNNNNNNNNNNNNNNNNNNNNNNNNNNNNNNNNNNNNNNNNNNNNNNNNNNNNNNNNNNNNNNNNNNNNNNNNNNNNNNNNNNNNNNNNNNNNNNNNNNNNNNNNNNNNNNNNNNNNNNNNNNNNNNNNNNNNNNNNNNNNNNNNNNNNNNNNNNNNNNNNNNNNNNNNNNNNNNNNNNNNNNNNNNNNNNNNNNNNNNNNNNNNNNNNNNNNNNNNNNNNNNNNNNNNNNNNNNNNNNNNNNNNNNNNNNNNNNNNNNNNNNNNNNNNNNNNNNNNNNNNNNNNNNNNNNNNNNNNNNNNNNNNNNNNNNNNNNNNNNNNNNNNNNNNNNNNNNNNNNNNNNNNNNNNNNNNNNNNNNNNNNNNNNNNNNNNNNNNNNNNNNNNNNNNNNNNNNNNNNNNNNNNNNNNNNNNNNNNNNNNNNNNNNNNNNNNNNNNNNNNNNNNNNNNNNNNNNNNNNNNNNNNNNNNNNNNNNNNNNNNNNNNNNNNNNNNNNNNNNNNNNNNNNNNNNNNNNNNNNNNNNNNNNNNNNNNNNNNNNNNNNNNNNNNNNNNNNNNNNNNNNNNNNNNNNNNNNNNNNNNNNNNNNNNNNNNNNNNNNNNNNNNNNNNNNNNNNNNNNNNNNNNNNNNNNNNNNNNNNNNNNNNNNNNUUCUCUUUAACAACAUAUACGCUUUGUCCUUAGACCUGAGAUUGUCGCAUGUAUUCUAGAUGUGGAUCGACUUACUUUGGGGGCUAUCAAACGCUACGCCGUACAGGGUAGUUAUAAAGGUAGCUUUCGGGUUUGUCAAGAAGCAUGCUAUGAGACAUGGUCAAUCAAGAUGGGAUUUGCCCCUCUCUGAUUGAGAGUGAUAUCUCUGGGCCCCCCGAGUGAUCGGAUCCAAAAAUGCAUGGCCAUGCUACGUACGGUUAAGAGUUAACCUACAAAGGGAUUCCGAAUCACAGGAUCGAGAAAGAGCGGUCGGCUUGAAGCUAGACCAAAUAUCGUGAGGCAAAGGGAAUAGCAUGUAUAUUAUAUUGUGGUGGUUCGUCUGAUAUGAUCUUCGUGUGCGUAUAGGAGUUGGCACGUCUUGCUAGAGACCGCUACCGACUAUUGGGUCGAGUAGGAGUACUCGGGCCAUGUCUAUACGUAUCCGAACCCAUAGGGUCACACACUUAAGGGGCUGGAAGCCCAAUUCGGAUCUGAUCCGAGUUGGAUUAGGUUUAGAAGUACUAAUGGGCCUCGGAUCCAGAGGCCCGUCAGAAACCUCUAUAAAUAGAGGGGUGGGGGCGCCCUAGGGUUUACACCUUUUGGAAAAACACAUCUGCCGCGCCUCCCACGCCCUCGCCUGUUGCAACUCGCGGAUCUAGCAGUCCGGCUUGCGACGCUUCCUCCCUGCACGUGUGGAUACCUUGGAGGUGUUGCGCCUGCAGCACUUGGACGAGCCAUCGAUGAGCCACGACGAGCCGCGGCACCGGAGGCGAUCUUGCUGCACGUGGGAGCUGCUGGACGUGACGUGAUCGACUACGUACGACUACGUUGAUCGACUACGUACGACUACGUGAUCAUCUUCACUGCAUCGACGCAUAUCUACAUCUUCCGCACCAGUAGUGCGUCGAGUGGUAAUCCCAUGAUCCUUAUACGGCAGUUCUUCCUGGUUAUACGCGGUAGAAAUUUUGAUUUACGCUAGUGUAGCCUACCUCGUAUCCUUACAUAACCGCUGUUUUGCCUGCGGUGAUGUGGGACAUUUCGCCAAGGACUGCCCUAGAAAUUAGAGCCCGCGCCCAGGGCAGAACAGUGCAGCGCUCAACAAGGGGAGGAGGCCCAAGGUGCAAGUUCGCCAAGGUCGACUGAACUUCACCCACGCAGCAGAGCUUCUUAAAGGUGCGCCGAUAUGACGGGUACCUUUCUGAUUCACAGUUUUUCAGCUUUGGUUUUGUUUGACUCGGGAGCUUCACAUAGUUUUAUCGGGAGAAAGACCCGUGACAAGUGUGGGUUACAAGAAUGCCAAACCAGAGGGUCUUUUAGAAUAUCCACCCCGGGUGGAAUGAUCACAUCUGAUAGGAUGAGUGUCAAUGUGCCUAUUCAGCUAGGCCGAAACCUUUUUAAGGAGAAUCUUAUCAUCCUUGACCUGGACGGAAUAGAUAUCAUUCUUGGAAUGGAUUGGAUGACCCGGCACCAAGUGGUUCUAGACCCAGCCGCCCGAACCCUCCACAUCAACUCGCCCUUUUAUGGCAGUUCUACCCUGUUCUUGAACCCUCCUAAGUCCGCACUUCCCUGUGCGUACCCUCUAUCGCAAGCCCGACUAGAAAGCCUCCUUGUUGUCUCUGAGUACCCUGAUGUGUUCCUAGAGGACUUGCCUGGCAUGCCACCUGAUAGAGACAUGGAGUUUGCCAUAGAGUUGAUCCCCGGCACCGCCCCCAUCUCCAAAAGACCCUAUCGGAUGCCACCAGCUGAGUUGGCCGAGUUGAAGACCCAGUUGCUUGAUCUAUUGGAAAAAGGUUUCAUCCGACCCAGUGCAUCACCCUGGGGUUGCCCGGCCCUGUUUGUGAAGAAGGAUGGCAGUCUACGCAUGUGUCUAGACUACCGACCUCUCAAUGCGGUGACUAUCAAGAACAAGUAUCCACUCCCCCGCAUUGAUGUCUUGUUUGAUCAGUUAGCUGGAGCUAGAGUGUUCUCCAAAAUCGAUCUUCGUUCAGGUUAUCACCAAAUCAAGAUCCGACCAUGUGACAUCCCUAAGACUGCCUUCUCCACAAGAUAUGGACUCUACGAGUACCUGGUCAUGUCUUUUGGACUCACCAAUGCACCCGCAUACUUCAUGUACCUCAUGAACUCGGUAUUCAUGCCCGAGUUGGACAAGUUUGUAGUGGUGUUCAUUGAUGAUAUCCUGGUGUACUCGAAGAGCGAAGAAGAACAUGCCAACCAUCUUCGCAUAGUUCUCCAACAGCUACUAUCGGCGUUUCAUACCGGAUUUCUCCAAGAUAGCUAAGCCGAUGACAGAAUUGUUGAAGAAAGAGGUCAGAUUUGUGUGGAACGACAAGUGUGAAGAAGCCUUCAAGACCCUGAAGCACUUGCUGACCACAGUCCCAGUUUUGGCUCAACCCGACCCCUCUAGGUCGUUUGACGUGUAUUGUGACGCCUCUGGCACUGGACUUGGGUGUGUUCUUAUGCAAGACAACCGAGUCAUUGCCUACGCCUCACGAGCAUUAUGACCUCAUGAGCUGAACUACCCGACCCAUGAUCUUGAGUUGGCCGCAGUGAUUCAUGCCUUAAAGAUAUGGAGACAUUAUCUGAUGGGCACCCGCUGCAACAUCUACACCGACCACAAGAGCCUCAAGUAUAUCUUCACCCAAGCCGACCUCAACAUGCGCCAAAGAAGAUGGUUAGAGUUGAUAAAGGACAAUGAGUUAGAAGUACACUAUCACCCCGGCAAGGCCAAUGCUAUGGCGGAACCACCUCGGAUUAGCUUGAUCAAGCAAGGUUAAGUCGCCUAACAUGCGACACUGCUGCUUAAACCGAGCUAACACGGGGUGCCGUCGGAUUUCAUCCGAUUUAACCACUUAACAGGAUCGAGUCUAGCAAACCCACACGAAGGUGAGCGGUUACAGAGAAUACAAUGAGUCCACUGAGUUAAGCAGGUCUUACUCAAUUGGUUCGGCCAUAAAAAUUUACAUCAGAGUUUUAUAACAAAGAACAACAGAUAAAACACUAGCGGAAGACUUCGUCGGGGUCGGAUGUCUGGGCGGGGCCAGCCAGAACAUCACUGAGUCCUCUCCUCGUCGUCCGAGGAAGGGUCCCACUCGACCGUCCUGCCGUCCUGUGACCACGCUUUGCCACCACGUGCGACAAUCAGCAGGGGAAACUCCGUUCCAAGAACAAUGGGGCGACCGCUCACGUCUAGGUUCAAUCAGGUACUAGGCUUCCUCAUCCCAUACUAAGUAUGAGGCUAGUACUUUCAAACACUUGAUCACGAACACCACCACUGUCGGGCCUUAGCAAGUUUUCAUAGACAGACGGGGCGACCAUCCGACCACCAAAAAGUUACCGUACCCUGCCCCGUCCAUCGUCCUUAUAGUUGUAACAGGAGAGUAAAUCACGCAACUCCUACAACUCGUGAGUGACAGGAGAUCACUCGGCUUUUACCGUCUCCUAUUUAAGCAAUGCAACUACUCGGUCCAACAGCUAGUGCUCAUAUCAAAGGUUAACUAGGUCGUGCAUCUAGGGUUUCACACAACUCCUAAACGUAAAUGCACAAACAUGCUAUACGGAAGGCAUGCGCAAGUUUGGCGAACCACGUAGGAUUCUCAUGCAACCGGGGCUUGCCUGCAAGCAAAGGGGACGGAAGCUGCUCGACUUCUGGGGCGACUUCGGCUUCCGCGGGCAGGAACUCGGCUACAGCUUCUUCGUCGGGCGCCGGGUGCAACUCGUAGAAGCCGUCGGCGAGGUGCAGCUCUACACGAAUGCAAUGCAAGGGUUAGCUUAAACGUUUAUUUCAACAGCAAUACUGGCUCGCCUGAGCCCAGAAACUUGCGACAAUGAGCAGGAGGUUAUGGUGGUUCGAGAGAGCUGAUGAUAAUCAAGAGGUAAGGGUAGGAAGGAACUAGUGGUCUGAUCCUUGAACUAGAGGAUGUGAUAACUGGGAUCCUCAGACGCAAGCGCUGAAGGGUUCCCAAGUUUUACACAUACACCCUUGAGUUGAAGAAAAAGAUCACAGCCAAGCCCUCGGGCGAGGCGGAUAAGGGUCGGCGGAACAGACAGGGUCGGACGAGGCGGAACUGGGGUCGGGCGGAUAGGAGGGGUCGGGCGAGGCGGACUUAGGGUCGGCAACUCACCUUCUUCCUGAAAGGAAAGCUCGGGGUCGGGAAGAGGCAAACUUGGGCGAGAGGUCUAAAGCUUCGAGCAAGGGCUAAGACCGGCAAAGCUCCAGCGGCGGCGCUGCUUCUUGCGGAUCACAAGAGAGCUCUACGCAGCACAAAGGAGCAAGCUGCUGGGUGACUUGGAGGAACUGAGAAGGAACUGGGAGAAGAACUUCUCAAGAACCGGGUGGGUAGCGCUAGGAGCUUGAGCAGGGAGCUAGAGAAGGCUAAGGCAACAAAGGCGGAGGGAACUCCAGCGACGGGGGCAUUCCUUUUAUAGCUGCUGGAGCAGAGGAACGGAAACAUCAUGGAGAGAGAGAAGGGGAGUGGCGCGAAGGCCGGGAAGAAGCAAUGGAGUGCUCUGCCGUGGCGGCGAUUGAGCAAACAGGGCGGUGCUGCAGAACUCCGGGGGUGACGCCAGCGAUCAUUGCUCUAUACCGUCAGGGCGGCGUAGGCGCUGGUAGACCGGUGGUUGGGAUUUGGCGGAGAGCGGGCGUCGUCGUGCGGAAGAGGUGAUAGAAGCGACCGGUUAAACGGCGCUAGAAUCGAGGGCGCACAGGUGAGAAGACAGGGAGUUCGGGGCGGGGGAGAGCGCGGAANNNNNNNNNNNNNNNNNNNNNNNNNNNNNNNNNNNNNNNNNNNNNNNNNNNNNNNNNNNNNNNNNNNNNNNNNNNNNNNNNNNNNNNNNNNNNNNNNNNNACAGAGGGGGGGGGGGGAAAGGAACUGUCGCGGCCGCGGUCGGGGUUGGCGGUGGGGGAAUCGUCGUGUAGCGACGACCGGGCGGCGCAACUGUUGCUGAAAGGGACGGAAAAGACGGGCGACAUCGGUCUCCGGGGCCGGGAUCUGGUAUCGUGAUGAUGGGCGCGGGAGACGAGGCUCUGCAGAAAGGGGUGCAGAGGGCUUCCGCUGCCAUUGGGGAAAAGGGGCGCGGGAACCCACUCUGCGGCUUGCCAGAGACAAAACUGGGCGAUGGCGUCGGAGAAGACGAGCCACGCGGCAAGGAAACUCUGGGGGCGGCCAUGCAACUCGAGUGCGGCUGGCGCGGGGGAUCUGGAAGAAGAUCUCGCGGGUCCACCGGGGGAUAGAUCGGACGGGUGAGGAAGAUCAGCAGGAUCCGAUGGUCGGGUUGAACUCGCCGGGGUCGGGAGAGAAGCGAAGCAGGAAGGGGUCGGAUCCAGGGGUCGGACUGGCGGAAGACUGAGCACUUAGGUGCGGUCAACCAAACAGCUGACUAAGGUUAAGGCUGAGAUCAAACCUAACUGGGAAAGGUUAGGGGUCGGUCGUUACAGCCUACCCCUCUUAAAAAGAAUCUCGUCCCGAGAUUCAAGGAUCAAGGGUGUGCUGUUCUUACCUCCUUGAUGGGACAGAAAACCUGGGAACCGCUUGUUCAGAUACUUUUCCAUUUCCCAUGUUGCUUCAUCUUCGGUGUGGUUUCUCCAAAGGAUCUUGUACAUCCUUACCACUUGGCGUCGGGUGUGCCUUUCCUUUUGGUCAAGAACUCGAUCUGGGUACUCGGCGUAGGUCAGGUCAGGUUCUACUUGAAGUUGUUCUUGUUCUAAGAUCUCCGCUGGAACUCGGACACAUUUCUUCAGUUGAGACACAUGGAAAACAUCAUGUAUGGCUGAUAGCUGUUCUGGGAGUUGGAUCCGGUAAGCAACAGGUCCACAUCUCUCCAAAAUCUCAUAAGGGCCAACAUAGCGUGGAGCUAACUUGCCUUUUAUUCCAAACCGUUGCACUCCUUUGGUCGGGGAGACCCGAAGGUACACAUGAUCACCAAGGUCGAACUGCAGGGGUCUCCUCCGCUGGUCGGAGUAACUCUUCUGUCGAGAUUGGGCAGCUUUGAGAUUUGCCUGAAUUACCUUCACUUGUUCUUCGGCUUCUGCCACUAAGUCAGGGCCAUAAACCUGUCUCUCUCCUGGUUGGGACCAGUUCAAGGGUGUUCUGCAUCUCCGGCCGUACAGGGCCUCAAACGGUGCCAUCUUCAAACUGGCCUGAUAGCUGUUGUUGUAGGAGAACUCUGCUAAGGGCAGGCACUUGUCCCAGCUUUUAUCGUAGUGGAUAACACAAGCUCUUAGCAUGUCUUCGAGGAUCUGAUUUAUUCUCUCGGUUUGGCCAUCGGUUUGGGGAUGAUACGUUGAGCUUCGGAUGAGCUUGGUGCCCAUGGAUGCUUGUAAUUGCUCCCAAAAACGUGCCACAAACUGAACUCCUCUAUCUGAGACGAUAGUCUUGGGUACACCAUGUAGGGAAACAAUACGGUCGAGGUACAACUCUGCAUAUUGCUUGACUGUAUAGGUGGUACGAACAGGAAAGAAAUGUGCUGUCUUGGUCAGACGGUCCACUAUAACCCAAAUGGAAUCAUACCGUUGAGUUGUAACGGGUAACCCAACUAUGAAGUCCAUGCUGAUGUCUUCCCAUUUCCAAGAGGGAAUAGGUAGCGGCUGCAGGGUUCCUGCUACCUUCAAAUGACUGGCCUUGACACAUUGACAGGUGUCACAUUCUGAAACAUAACGAGCUAUCUCUGGUUUCAUUCCACUCCACCAAAAGGUUUGACGAAGAUCAUGGUACAUCUUGUUGCUGCCCGGAUGGAUCGAGAACUUGGAGAGAUGAGCUUCAUCUAGGAUUUGUUUCCUUAACUCAGGGUCGGCGGGCACUACUAGUCGGUUUCCAUAAUACACACCUCCCGUUUCGUCCUGACGGAAUUGCUUAUAUCCUUCCUCCUUUGCUGAGAUCUUGCUGAUGAUCCGUUUUACAUCCUUAUCCUCCACUUGUGCUGACCGAAUUUGGCUCUCCAAAACUGAGUUAAGGAUGAUGUGACUAAGGGUUCCCUGAGGAACAACCUCCAAACUUAGUUUUCCCAUCUCGUGACACAGAGUGUUGGUGAAGGCUGUUGACAACAAGCAGUGGCAAUGGGGUUUGCGACUGAGGGCAUCGGCUACAACAUUGGCCUUGCCAGGAUGAUAGUGCACUUCCAACUCAUAAUCCUUUAUCAACUCCAGCCAUCUUCUCUGACGCAUGUUGAGGUCGGCUUGCGUGAAGAUGUACUUGAGGCUCUUGUGGUCGGUGUAGAUGUUGCAGUGAGCUCCCAUUAAGUAGUGCCUCCAUAUCUUCAAGGCAUGUAUCACUGCUGCCAACUCAAGGUCAUGGGUCGGGUAGUUCAGCUCAUGAGGUCGUAACGCACGUGAGGCAUAGGCAAUGACUCGGCUGUCUUGCAUAAGAACACAUCCGAGUCCAGUACCAGAGGCGUCAUAGUAUACGUCAUACGGCCUAGAGGGGUCGGGUUGAGCCAAAACUGGGGCGGUGGUUAGCAAGUGCUUCAGGGUCUUGAAAGCUUCUUCACACUUGGUGUCCCACACAAACUUGACCUCUUUCUUCAGCAACUCGGUCAUCGACUUAGCUAUCUUGGAGAAAUCCGGUAUAAAACGCCGAUAGUAACCUGCCAGUCCAAGGAAACUCCUGAUCUGAUGUACCGAGGUAGGAGACUUCCAUUCCAUGACUUCUUGCACCUUACUGGGAUCCACGGCAAUACCAUCCUUGUAGAUAGUGUGUCCCAGAAACUUGACACUAUCUAACCAAAACUCACACUUGGAGAACUUGGCAUAGAGCUGGUGAUCUCUCAGCCGUUGGAGAACUAUGUGAAGAUGGUCGGCAUGCUCUUUCUCGUCCUUCGAGUACACUAGGAUAUCAUCAAUGAACACCACGACAAACUUGUCCAGCUCGGGCAUAAACACCGAGUUCAUCAGAUACAUGAAGUAAGCGGGUGCAUUGGUGAGUCCAAAGGACAUGACUAGGUACUCAUACAGUCCAUAUCUGGUAGAGAAAGCUGUCUUGGGUAUGUCGCAGGGUCGAAUCUUGAUUUGGUGAUAGCCAGAUCGAAGAUCGAUCUUGGAGAACACUUUUGCUCCGGCUAACUGAUCGAACAAGACAUCAAUGCGUGGCAGUGGGUACUUGUUCUUGACUGUUACCGCAUUGAGGGGUCGGUAAUCCACACACAUCCGUAAACUGCCGUCUUUCUUCUUCACAAACAGGGCGGGGCAACCCCAAGAUGAUGUACUGGGUCGAAUGAAGCCCUUUUCCAACAGAUCAUGCAACUGGGUCUUCAACACGGCUAACUCAGCGGGUGGCAUCCGAUAGGGUCUCUUGGAUAUCGGAGCUGUGCCAGGAAUCAACUCUAUGGAAAACUCCACUUCUCUAUCAGGUGGCAUACCCAGCAAAUCUUCUGGGAACACAUCUGGGUACUCACUGAUAACAGGGAGGUCUUCUAAACAGGCUCCCAAGAGAGGGUAGGCACAAGGAGUCGAAGACUCGGGAUGGGUCAAGGAUAGGGUAGAACUGCCUUGAGAGGGUGAGCUGAUGUAAAGAGAUCGGGCUGAUGUAUCUAAAACAACAUGAUGUCGGGCCAUCCCAUCCAUGCCAAGGAUCUAGGCCUUCAAGGUCAAGGAUGAUAAGGUUUUCCUUGAAGAGGGUGGGGCCUAGCUGGAGAGGUACAAGAAUAACGACCUAAUCCGACGUUAUCCUUCCUCCAGGUGUGGCGAUCACAUAGGGUUCCUUAGUGUGACCGAUACUUAACCCACAUCUUUCCCUUGCCUUACUCCCGAUAAAGCUAUGAGAGGCUCCCGAAUCAAACAACACAACAACAACUUGAUUUAAAACAAGGAAAGUACCCGUCAUUACUGACGCACCUUCGGGAAGUUCGGUCAAGCUGGUGUAGUUGAGCCGGCCUUGUCGGACUUGCACCUUGGGCCUUCUUCCUCUGGCUGCCAUGGGGUUCUGGCCUUGCUGCUGAUUCUUGUUCCUAGGGCAGUCCUUUGCAAAAUGCCCCUCAUUGCCGCAGGUAAAACAUCGGUUACUGGCUGCCGGGCGAGGUGGCGUUGGCAGGGUCGGCCGGGGCACUUGCGGUUGGAAGCCUGGAAAACGAGGCAUUGCGGCCGGCGGGGGUCGGGCGAUCCAUUUCCGUGACUGUUGGGGUCGGCCAAGGGCUUGUGGAGGAACCAUCCGGAACCUUCGGGUUGGCGGGCUCGGAAAAGCCACAGAGGCUUUCCUCUUCUGGUCGGCCUUGAGAGCUUGCAUGCAGUCCUCCUGGGAGAUGGCCAGGUUGACCAACUCGUUAUAGGUGUCCACCCUGAUGGGGUUCAGCCUUUCCCUGAGCUCCAAGCUCAGUCCUCGGCGGAAUCUGUCCCGCUUCUUCUCAUCGGUGUCCGCAUGAUAGCCAGCAUAACGGCAUAGGUCAUUGAACGCCUGGGCGUAGUGCAGCACAUCCCGAGUUCCUUGGGUGAGGGCCAGAAACUCGUUGAGCUUGCGCUCCAGGAGACCUUCGGGAAUGUGAUGCGCCUUAAACGCCGUCUUGAACUCGUUCCAACUGACCACGUGGCCAGCAGGUAGCAUGGCAUGGUAGUGGUCCCACCAAAGCCGUGCGGAACCACGCAGCUGCUGAGCUGCAAACCGCGCCUUGUUGUCGUCGGGGCAUGGAGCGGUAAGGAGCUCGAACUUGGAUUCGAUCGUACGAACCCAUGCAUCAGCGUCGAGCGGUUCUUGUGUCUUUUGGAACAGCGGGGGCUGCGUUCCUAGAAAGUCCUCGUACCGCGCGACAUGCGGCUGCUGCUGUGCUCUUCCACCGUGUGGCUGCUGGUGUUGUCCUUGCACCAGAUGCCUUAGCAGCUCGGUUUGAGUUGCUAAGAUUGCCUCCAAUGGCGAUGGGGGCGGGGGCGGGGGAAGAUCCUGUCGCUGAUCGCUACUACUGGGCAUAGUUCCAGACCUCGUGCGGUGCGCCAUCUGCAAGAGUUAACGCCCCAUUAAUGCUCAUAACCUUAGGUGCACUCCAACAAAUGGGAACGUAUGAAUUAAAUCCUUUAAUGCGACUCUUACCCAUGGUGCAUCACACGUCCUCAUAGAGGAAGCACAUUCCUCCCAUUCUCGGCAUAGGUAACCUCCAUUUGACCUGGUACUCCACUUCAGGUACACAUGCCACACACAGACUCCUAGGAUCUGGUUCACGCAAACCAAGGGGUCGGACAUAGUCCAUACUCGAAAAGGGUCGGACGAGGCGGAGACUGCCUCACAGGUCGGCGCACUCUGGCUCGCAAACUAGGGUCGGCCGACUGAACAGGCUCCCCGAAAGCAACAUAGGGUUACGGCGCAACUUACUUAACCCUAGCAUCCACACCAUACGAAAAGAUAAAACUAUGCACCGGUUGACUUUAUACACAACGAUGUUUCAACACAGGGAGUACUCAACUCAAGGCUAACCUAUUACAGCUUUCCAAAAACUAGGCUGCCGAGGAGUACAACCAAAGAAGGAAGGUUCCCUGAGAACCCUCAAGCUACCACUGGACACUAUGAGUCGGAGAAGGGGCGCCAUCCUCUUCUAUGUCCAUGCUGGACGCUCCCUCGUCUUCCUCAGGGUCCUCCUGAGCUUCAAGCUGCAUGUUGAGGGCAUGCAUAUCUUCAAGCUCAGCUUGGUGCUCCUCCAGGUGGGCAUUGGCGACUGCCAACUCCAUCUCCACUUCCAUCUUCUCCUCCGAGAGCUCUAUCAUGCCGUCCACGAGGUCGGCAACUUCUCCUUCCAGCUCGGAGAUCCGAUCUUGCAUGUCGUGGAUCUGGAUACCACGUUGGAUCAGCUGGUAGGUUUGGCCUACCAGGUCUCUUCUAGCUGUCUGGAGGUAUCCGUGGGUGUCUACAGCCGUCCGGGCAAAGAGAGUCAUGGCUCUUCCUUGGAGCUCUAUCAACCGGUAGAGAGCAGCCAUGCAACGGACAUUGGUGGAGAUGGUGACCAUAGCACAGGUAGUGGCCAACACCUCGAGGUUUCCGAUGCGGUCCAGCCAGGUCGGGUCCAGCCGACUCCUGACGGGAAAAGGACCGAUCGGGUCCAGCGUGAUCUCCACAGGGUGCAACUGACAGAACUGUGUGAGCAACUGAAGGGCGGCGGAUUCCCACGUGUCUUCCGGAGAAAGACCAUAGGCUAUUAUGCCUAGAGAGGGCCAGUCGGGCUGUGCAAGGGGAGGUGGUACCAACGCUUGCACCUGGCACGUCUGGAUGCCCUGCUCCAUAUACAGCCGCCCAGCAUACAGGGGCGGGGACUGCUACCCAAACCACCUCAGCGUAUCCCACAAGAUCGCGGGAAACCCCUCGAAAUGCAGGCACGUUGACUGGAAGGUACCGUCCGCUCCAAAAACCACAUGCCCGGGAACAGCCAUCUGGAACCAAGAAAACCGAAACCACGUGAGAUAGCUCCGAGGAUCAGGGGUCGGAUAGGGAAGCAGAAGGGCUUAACCGAGAGCAACUAAGAGGAACUAGAAAUCCUUAAAUCCAAAAGAACUCUUUCGGACAGGGUUGCUGUUGAGAAGGAAACAUUACGGAUUUUAGGUAUGACGCAUGCACGGCCUACCGUACUCUUAACCAAAAACAACUGCCCAGACUUUGGGUCUUACGCGGUCAGCGCCGGUGACAAGGCAACAAUACGUCUCUCCCUAUAUUAACUAGUCGGUUCUAGCAACUUCUUCACGAGCAUGGUUAGCAACCUGCAGAAAACACCACACACGAACCUUUCGUGCCAGCACCCACGAAAGCGUUCCCAAACAUUACCGUUCACUAUAGGAACGGCACCCAUGCAUUUAAGGCUGCAUGGACAGCACUCAACCGUGGAAAUAGGCUCCCUUUGAAUGGAUCCCUAUAACCCUUCGCACACUCGGGAUGCGGAAUCGGCACACGUAUGGCAAACGUGGCGAAACAACCGUGCUGAUAGGUUCGUUGGAAUCGAACCGUAUCAACCUUCGUAUGGAUCACAUACGGAACCUGCGCACGUAUAAUAGACGUGGGCGAAAACAACCGCGAAGAUAGGGUCCCUUGAAUGGAACUCCCUAUCAACCCUCACAUGCUCGCGAUGCGGAACUCAGCACACGUAUAAUAGACGUGGCGAAGUGCUGGAGGAGUUAGCAACAUAACCAAAUACUUAUUAGUCACCUGAAACAACCCCAAAAUCCCCUAGGGCCUCUCGCACUAAGUCAUCCUUAACGAUCAUACGAGAUUUUCAAAAAGGUUCUUGCAGCUUUUAUAUUAUCAAAGAAGUGUUUAGGGCUCAUUGGGUUCUCUGAUAUGCUAAACACGAGCUCUGAUACCAGCUGUGGCGGAACCACCUCGGAUUAGCUUGAUCAAGCAAGGUUAAGUCGCCUAACAUGCGACACUGCUGCUUAAACCGAGCUAACACGGGGUGCCGUCGGAUUUCAUCCGAUUUAACCACUUAACAGGAUCGAGUCUAGCAAACCCACACGAAGGUGAGCGGUUACAGAGAAUACAACGAGUCCACUGAGUUAAGCAGGUCUUACUCAAUUGGUUCGGCCAUAAAAAUUUACAUCAGAGUUUUAUAACAAAGAACAACAGAUAAAACACUAGCGGAAGACUUCGUCGGGGUCGGAUGUCUGGGCGGGGCCAGCCAGAACAUCACUGAGUCCUCUCCUCGCCGUCUGAGGAAGGGUCCCACUCGACCGUCCAGCCUGGCGGGAGCUGGGGCGGCCAAGCACCAACCAAAAAGGGGUCGGACACGGAAACUUCACCUGAAAAUAGAAGCCACCGCUCACGUCUAGGUUCAAUCAGGUACUAGGCUUCCUCAUCCCAUACUAAGUAUGAGGCUAGUACUUUCAAACACUUGAUCACGAACACCACCACUGUCGGGCCUUAGCAAGUUUUCAUAGACAGACGGGGCGACCAUCCAACCACCAAAAAGUUACCGUACCCUGCCCCGUCCAUCGUCCUUAUAGUUGUAACAGGAGAGUAAAUCACGCAACUCCUACAACUCGUGAGUGACAGGAGAUCACUCGGCUUUUACCGUCUCCUAUUUAAGCAAUGCAACUACUCGGUCCAACAGCUAGUGCUCAUAUCAAAGGUUAACUAGGUCGUGCAUCUAGGGUUUCACACAACUCCUAAACGUAAAUGCACAAACAUGCUAUACGGAAGGCAUGCGCAAGUUUGGCGAACCACGUAGGAUUCUCAUGCAACCGGGGCUUGCCUGCAAGCAAAGGGGACGGAAGCUGCUCGACUUCUGGGGCGACUUCGGCUUCCGCGGGCAGGAACUCGGCUACAGCUUCUUCGUCGGGCGCCGGGUGCAACUCGUAGAAGCCGUCGGCGAGGUGCAGCUCUACACGAAUGCAAUGCAAGGGUUAGCUUAAACGUUUAUUUCAACAGCAACACUGGCUCGCCUGAGCCCAGAAACUUGCGACAAUGAGCAGGAGGUUAUGGUGGUUCGAGAGAGCUGAUGAUAAUCAAGAGGUAAGGGUAGGAAGGAACUAGUGGUCUGAUCCUUGAACUAGAGGAUGUGAUAACUGGGAUCCUCAGACGCAAGCACUGAAGGGUUCCCAAGUUUUACACAUACACCCUCAAGUUGAAGAAAAAGAUCACAGCCAAGCCCUCGGGCGAGGCGGAUAAGGGUCGGCGGAACAGACAGGGUCGGACGAGGCGGAACCGGGGUCGGGCGGAUAGGAGGGGUCGGGCGAGGCGGACUUAGGGUCGGCAACUCACCUUCUUCCUAAAAGGAAAGCUCGGGGUCGGGAAGAGGCAAACUUGGGCGAGAGGUCUAAAGCUUCGAGCAAGGGCUAAGACCGGCAAAGCUCCGGCGGCGGCGCUGCUUCUUGCGGAUCACAAGAGAGCUCUACGCAGCACAAAGGAGCAAGCUGCUGGGUGACUUGGAGGAAUUGAGAAGGAACUGGGAGAAGAACUUCUCAAGAACCGGGUGGGUAGCGCUAGGAGCUUGAGCAGGGAGCUAGAGAAGGCUAAGGCAACAAAGGCGGAGGGAACUCCGGCGACGGGGGCAUUCCUUUUAUAGCUGCUGGAGCAAAGGAACAGAAACGUCGUGGAGAGAGAGAAGGGGAGCGGCGCGAAGGCCGGGAAGAAGCAAUGGAGUGCUCUGCCGUGGCGGCGAUUGAGCAAACAGGGCGGUGCUGCAGAACUCCGGGGAUGACGCCAGCGAUCAUUGCGCUAUACCGUCAGGGCGGCGUAGGCGCUGGUAGACCGGUGGUUGGGAUUUGGCGGAGAGCGGGCGUCGUCGUGCGGAAGAGGUGAUAGAAGCGACCGGUUAAACGGCGCUAGAAUCGAGGGCGCACAGGUGAGAAGAUAGGCGGACUCGGGCGCGGGGGAGAGCGCGGAACAACAGAUUGUCGGGCGGCUUCUGACAGAGCGGGGGGGGGGGAAGGAACUGUCGCGGCCGCGGUCGGGGUUGGCGGUGGGGGAAUCGUCGUGUAGCGACGACCGGGCGGCGCAACUGUUGCUGAAAGGGACGGAAAAGACGGGCGACAUCGGUCUCCGGGGCCGGGAUCUGGUAUCGUGAUGAUGGGCGCGGGAGACGAGGCUCUGCAGAAAGGGGUGCAGAGGGCUUCCGCUGCCAUUGGGGAAAAGGGGCGCGGGAACCCACUCUGCGGCUUGCCAGAGACAAAACUGGGCGAUGGCGUCGGAGAAGACGAGUCACGCGGCAAGGAAACUCUGGGGGCGGCCAUGCAACUCGAGUGCGGCUGGCGCGGGGGAUCUGGAAGAAGAUCUCGCGGGUCCACCGGGGGAUAGAUCGGACGGGUGAGGAAGAUCAGCAGGAUCCGAUGGUCGGGUUGAACUCGCCGGGGUCGGGAGAGAAGCGAAGCAGGAAGGGGUCGGAUCCAGGGGUCGGACUGGCGGAAGACUGAGCACUUAGGUGCGGUCAACCAAACAGCUGACUAAGGUUAAGGCUGAGAUCAAACCUAACUGGGAAAGGUUAGGGGUCGGUCGUUACACCGACGCUCUUAGCCGCAAGCCCUGUUGCAACUGCUUGUUGGCAACAACCUUCACCGAAACCUUGUGUCAUGAGAUGGGAAAACUCAGAUUGGAAAUUGUUUCCCAUGGAACCCUCAGCCACAUCACCCUUGACUCUGUUCUACAAGACCAAAUAAGGUCAGCACAAGUAAAGGACGAGGAAGUACAGCGGAUCACCAGGAAGAUCUCCUUAAAAGAUGAAGGAUAUAAGCAGUUUGAGCUAGACGAAACUGGAAGCUUAUAUUAUAGAAACCGACUGGUUGUACCAGCCGGCCCCAACUUGAGGAAGCAGAUCCUAGAUGAAGCUCACCUCUCCAAAUUCUCAAUCCACCCAGGCAGCAAUAAGAUGUACCAUGAUCUACGUCAAACUUUCUGGUGGGGCGGAAUGAAACAGGAAAUUGCCCGGUACGUUUCAGAGUGUGACACUUGCCAACGUGUCAAGGCCAGUCAUCUAAAUGUAGCAGGUACUUUACAACCCCUACCUAUUCCCUCUUGGAAAUGGGAAGAUGUCAGCAUGGAUUUCAUUGUCGGACUACCUCUUUCAUCACAGCGGCAUGAUUCCAUUUGGGUUAUAGUGGACCAUCUGACCAAGACCGCCCACUUCCUUCCUGUCCACACCACCCACACAGUCAAGUAGUAUGCAGAGCUGUACCUUGACUGCAUAGUUUCCCUACACGGUGUGCCUAAGACCAUCAUCUCUGAUCGAGGAAUUCAGUUCGUAGCACGCUUUUGGGAACAGCUACAAGCAUCCAUGGGCACCAAACUCAUCCGUAGCUCAACCUAUCAUCCUCAAACCGAUGGUCAAACCGAAAGAGUCAAUCAAAUCCUUGAAGACAUGUUAAGAGCUUGUGUCAUCCACUAUGAUAAGAAUUGGGACAAGUGCCUGCCAUUGGCGGAGUUCUCCUACAACAAUAGCUACCAAGCCAGUUUGAAGAUGGCACCCUUUGAAGCAUUGUACAGACGGAGAUGCCGGACCCCAUUAAACUGGUCCCAAGUAGGAGAGAGACAAGUUUAUGGCCCGGACUUAGUAGUAGAAGCCGAAGAACAAGUGAAGUUGAUUCAAGCAAAUCUCAAGGCUGCCCAAUCUCGACAAAAGAGUUAUUUCGACAAGCGAAGAAGGCCCCUACAGUUUGAUAUUGGUGAUCAUGUGUAUCUUCGAGUUUCCCCAACCAAAGGAGUGCAACGGUUUGGAGUAAAAGGGAAAUUGGCUCCCCGUUACAUUGGCCCGUAUGAAGUUGUGGAAAUUUGUGGACCCGUGGCUUAUCGGAUCCAACUCCCAGAACAGCUAUCAACCAUACACGAUGUUUUCCAUGUGUCUCAGCUGAAGAAAUGUGUCCAAGUCCCAACCGAGAUCUUAGAACAAGGACAGCUUCAAAUCGAGCCUGACCUGACCUAUGCAGAGUAUCCGGCCAAGGUCCUUGACCAGAAAGAAAGGCAUAACCGGCGCCAAAUGGUGAAAAUGUACAAGAUCCUCUGGAGGAACCACACGGAGGAUGAUGCCACGUGGGAAACAGAAGAGUACUUGAACAAACACUUCCCCAGUUUUCUUCCCAGCCAAGGAGGUAAAGGCUACACACCCCCAUCGGUUAUUCCUACAUCCGAAUCUCAGGACGAGAUUCUUUUUAAGGGGGGUAGGCUGUGACGGCCUCGGACAAAAAUCCUUCGCGUCAAUCUUAAUCCGAGCCCCUGAUCACCUGUCUUAGUUUUUCCAAGCCUAAGUGUUCAACCUCCAGAUCUUCCGACCCCUGCGAUCCGACCCCUCGCCGUGGUCUCCCCAGUUCCGACCCCGCCGACCCCCAACCUACCGUCGGAUCUUUCUAAGCCAUCCCGCAGCAUCGCCCUCUAGAUCGAGCAGUGGACCACCGAGACUGACCGGCGGGCCCACGAGAUCUUUUCCCCCAAAUCUCCCGCGACAGGCACACUCGAGUUGCAUGCCCGCUUCAGUUUUUCCCCGCCGCGUGGUUCAACUCCUCCGACGCCCGCCGCUCCGCCUCGUUUUCGGCCCGCGACUGGAUGGAUUCUCGCGCCCCCUUCCCCAAUCGCGGCGGAAGCUCCCCUGCUACCCUUUCUGCAGCACCUCGCCGCCCGCACCCAUCAUCACAUCGCCAGAUCCCGGCCGCAGAGCCCGAUGCCGCCCGUCUUUUCCGUCACCUCACCACAGUCGCGCCACCCCGGCUUCGCUACACGACGAUUCCUCCUCCGCCAACCCAGACCGGGGCAGUGACAGCUCCUUUUCCCACCCUGGCAGAAGCCGCCCCGACAAUCUGUUGCUCCACGCUCGCCCGCGCGCCCGCAGCCGCCUGUCUUCUCACCUAUGCGCCCUCGAUCCUAGCGUCGUUUUCCCGGUCACUUCCAUCAGAUCCACCGCAUGACGACGCCCGCCUCUGCCAAAUCUCAACCAUCGGCAAACCCGCGCCUGCGCCGCACUGACGUCAGUGCCCAAUGACCACCGGCGUCAUCCCCGAAGUCCUGCUUCACCGCCCUCGUCGCUCAAUCGCCGCCCGGGCAGAGCACUCCAUCGCUUCUUCCCCGGCCUUCGCGCCGCUUCCCUUCUCACUCCCGCGCCGCUAUAAAAGGGAAUGCAGAAGUCCCGCCGGAGUUCCCUUGCCCUAGCUGCCAUCUCUCUUGCUCCCUGUUCGAGCUCACAGCGCCACCACCUAAGUCAGAGGGACUCUCUUCUCUGCUCAAGCACCAUCUUUUCUCAAAUCCACCAGCCACUGCUUUCAGUGCUGCCCAAGAGCUUACUUGUGAUCCACAAGAAGCACCGCCGCCGGCGGACAUUCUCGCCGCUGUCCCAAGCCCUUAGUUCUUCCGCCCAAGCCUCCUUUGUAAGACGAAGGUAGGCUGCCGACCCUUGUUCGCUUCGCCCGACCCCUCUUAUCCGCCCGACCCCGGUUCUGUCUCGCCCGACCCUGUCUGUUCCGCCGACCCUUCUCCGCCUCGCCCGAGGGCUCGGCUGUAUCUUUUUUUUUGAACUGAGGGUGUAUGUGUAAAACUUGGGGACCUUUCAGCGUUGAGUCUGAGGACCCCUAGUACAUCAAAUCCUCUAGAUUAAGGGUCAGAUCAUAAGUUCCUUCCCUCCGACCCUUACCUCUUGAUCUCCAUCAACUCCAUUGAACUUCCCCACCCUCUUGUAACUUGUCGCAAGUUUCUGGGCUCAGACUUGCAAGUGUUGCUGUUGAAAUAACCGUCUAUGCUAACCAAUGCAUUGCAUUCGUGUAGAGCUGCGUCUCGCUGACGGCUACUACGAGCUGCACCCGGCGCCAGAAGAUGAUGGUGUAGCUGAGCUCCUGCCCCCAGAAGCCGAAGCUGCCCCAGAAGUCGAGCAGUUCUCUUCCUCUUUGCUCGAAGGCAAGCCCCGGAUUCAUGAAUCCCCUAUGUUUUACCAGACUUGCGCAUGCCUUUUUUAACAUGCUUGUGCAUUUACGUAUAGGAGUUGUUUGGAACCCUAGAUGCAUAACUUAGCUCCCCUGAUCUGAACACUAGCUGUUGGACCGAGUAGAUGCUUGCUUAAAUAGGAAACGGUAAAAGCCGAGUGAUUUCCUGUCACUCGCGAGUUGUAGGAGUUGGAUGUUUACCUUCUGUCACAACUAUAAGGACGAUGGACGGGGCAGGGUUUGAGGUAACUCUUUGGUGGUCGGAUGAUCGCCCCGUCUGUCUAUGAAACUUGCUAAGGCCCGACAGUGGUGGUGUUCGUGAUCAUGUGUUUGAAGGUACUAAUCUCAUACCUAGUAUGGGAUGGGGAAGCCUAGUACCUGAUUGAACUAGGGCGUGGCUUAUACCCCUGCUAUUCCUGGAACGAGGUUCCCAUGGUGCAUCAUGUGGGUGCAAGUGCGGUCACAGUACGGCAGAGGCCGGGAUUGUGGAGCAUUGCAUGCCAAGGGAAGUUUGUACCUGACACGCGCCUGGGAAUUGAUGGGGACGGCCGACACAGGAAGCGGCCCUUGUGGUGCGCGGAUGUCGUGAGAUUAGGUUCGCCAUGCAUGGUUAAGAAACUUGAAUCGAUUCGUCUGCCUCUCACAGUUUGAGACUACUUGAUCGCUAUGUCACCCUGAGUAAGUAAGGAAUCUGAUGAUGACAUGGUUUUGCUGAUGUUGUAUAUACCUUUUGGUUGGUUCUAUGAUUGCUUAGAAUAGGUUGCAAACUUAGACCGGAUAAUGAACUUAGAACCGGAGCUAAAACUUGCAAGUAGGGAUACAUCUAGCGCUUUUGGCAAACAAAACCCCUCAGCCAAAAAGCCCUUGCAUGUCUAGAAGAGGUAGUUUAGCGCGCUCCCUGUCGGUUAAGUCUUGUUGAGCUUAGUAGCUCAGCCCUGUUGUGGCUCUUUCUUUUCAGGUGAAGUUGCUGCUUCCGAGCCCCCUUCAGCUGGCACUUGGCCGCCCCAACUCCCUCCGGGUUGGACGGUCGAGUGGGAUCCCUCCUCGGACGGCGAGGAGAGGGAUCAUUGACGUCCCGGUUGGCCUCACCAGGGAUGUCGGACCCCGACGAAAUAGCUUCCGCUUGUUGUUUUAUCUUCUGUGGUUUUUCUUUCAAACCUUGUAAACUCUGAUGUUGUUUUUACGGUCAAACUAAAUGGUUAAUUUGUUAACUCGGUGGACUUGCUGUAUUCUCUGGAACUGCUCACCUUCGUGUGGGUUUGCUAUUCGGUCCUGUUCAGUGGUUAAAUCGGAUGAAAUCCGACGGCACUUCGGGAUUACUCGGUUAGGCAUGAGCGUCGCGUAUCAUGCGGCUAAAUCAUGGUUAACUAAGCAAAUCUGAAGUGGAUCCGCCACAGUAGGGUUAUAUGAUGGUUGCUUUACAAGAAUACUAGUCGGAUUCGACUAGAGAGUCCUACUCUAAUUGAAUACAAGUAUUCGACAAGAAUACGAGUAGUUUCCUAAUCCUCGACUCGUUCUUAUCCUCCAUGUAGACCAUGCUAUCCUGCACCGUAGUCUUCAUGUCUGACACGUCUCGGUGCACAACCCCGUAUUGUAGGACUGUCCAAACCUCCCGGUGGGCCCAUAGGUGUAUGGCCAACAAAUAUUACAUGAAAAAAUAAAUGUUGAAUCACAUUUACUAGCAAAUGUGUUAAAAAGAAAAUAUUAAAAAAAUCAUUUCUGAAUAAUGUUAAAACAACAAAAAAAUAUUGAAUAGGCAUUUUAUAAAAGUAUUGAAUCAACUUGUCUUAGAAAACAUGUUGAAAUAAGAAUUGAAAUGUCCAACAACCAUUUACUUAAAGUCUUGUUAACAAAAUGUUGGAAUAACUCUCGUUGGAAAAAAAAUGUCAAAUGAACAUUUAUUGAAAGAAUGUUCAAUGAACAAAAUAAAAGAAACAUCUUCUCUCAUGAAAAGUUGUUGAAUAUGGAAAGAAAUGUUAAAUCAAUAUGAACUAGCUUUUCUUAUAAAAAUACUACCAAAUAAUAAAUAAAUAUCUAAUCAGUACCUUAAUAUCGUAACGACAAAAAGAAUUUGAAAACAUGCGUGUCAACACUUAGCGAUAUAAGAAACACCAGAAAAAGUAGAACCCGUCUCUUUGGAUUGUUAAAUGUGUAAUCAUGUCAAAAAUAUUUUAGGAUAUAUACACAUGUACCACAUCGCCUAGACUUGAUGGAAGGGUUCCGUUUAGCAAAACCAGCCCCUUAAUUGGCAUUUGAAGGCUGAGGCAGAAAAACAACGCCACCACCAAAGGGCCCGCAGUAUGGCCUUUACUGAAGCCCGUAGAAUAAGGAGCUCCAAGACACCCCAGCCCGGCCCCCUUAUGGGUGUUUAGCAGCACUCUACUCCAGAAAAAAAUAAUUCCACUUCACCAACUCCAUAAAAUUGCCUGCCAAAUACGUCUAGUUCCACAAACUCUAGCUCCAAAAAAAGUGGAGCUAGGGGUCAGAUCUAUGUUUUUUCCUAAAGUACCUCAGGGGUGUUCCAAAAACAUCAGUUUCAGACUUCCUCGUGAAGUUGGAGGUUAUUUACCCACCUUUACCACUCGUUAUAUAACGUACCGGUUGGUUUUUAAUUUUUGUAUCCCCUCCCGUCGCCGUUUCCUCUCUCUGCCGCUUAGCCCACUAGAUCACGUCGCCCCCAAUCGCCGAACCGCACAGUCCUCGACCGUCAUCGCCCAUUGUGGCCGGCUCACCCCCAACCGCAAGAACGAGCCACCCCCGCCUGCCGGACCGCGCCGCCCCCGACCACCGUCGCCUAUCGCCCGCCGCCCGCCGGAGCUAUGGUGACUUUCGAUUCAAUCGCUCCUGCUGGAAGCUUCCUUGAUUUGUUUUGAAUCGAUUUUACUAGUCACCUUUACAAAUCCAUUGAAGGAGAAGUUGGAAUUUCAUUUUUCCCAUCUGCCUGCCUCCUUGGAAGCAGCGGCAAGGGAAGCUGGCAUCCUCUUGUUAGGAUCCUCACGCCCGACCCCCCAUGGCGGUGUGGACCGGGGAGGAGCUCCCGCUUGACCGGCCGGCAGCGCGCCCCAGUGGCUGCUCCAGCUCGCCCUGGCACUCAUCCCUAGUGGUUGCUCGAGCUAGCCCCCACUGGUAGCCGCCCAAGGUCGCCCCCAUGUGCUCAUCGCCAGAGAAAGCCACUCGAGCUCCGCUUGCCAGUCCUCCAGGCUCCGCUCUCCUCCGGCUCCAGCUCGACAGCGAUGGCGUCAAAGCAGGAUGACCCCGUCCGCUUGAUUAGAAGGGACGUGGUUGUCCGUUCGGCGAGCACCGGGCAGAUGCGGUGGGGGCGGGCUGGCUGGGGUGGCGGUCGGGUGGGUGCGGCUGGGGCGGAAGGGUCGCAACACUGAGGGCUCCUCAUUUCGACUGCUACGGGCAGCACCACUCGCACCCACGUCCACGUGCACCAUCGUCAGCAAGGCUAGCGCGAAGAAAGGGAUGGGGAGAAAAGAGAAGGGAGGAAGAGAGGAAGAGGUGGGGGAGAAAAAAGAGGAGACUGAUACGUGGGUCCAUUCACAAAGGGUAAAAUAGACUAUUCACAACAUAUUCUCAUGUUUCUGGAGCUGGAGCACUACAAUUUACUAAACACGUACAACAACUCCAUAUUUUCGUGGAGUUGGUGGAGUGGAGCUGCAAAAAGAUGGAGUUGGUGGAGUGGAAUUAUUUUUUUGGAGUGGAGUGCUGCAAAACACCCCCUUAGUUUCUGGCAAUUUCAUUCCCUCCUCCCCCACAAGCCAGUCCCCUCCCUGUGGUUGUUCUCCCUGCAUCCCCCCUCUCCACACGCCGCACUGUCCCUUCUCCUAGUGUGGGCCUCGAGUCACCGCACCUCCUCCCUUGUAGACCCUCUCCUCUGUGUUUCCCUCCUCCCUAGUGUGCUACCCCUCCUCACCGGCGAGCUCCUCCCUAGACAUGCUUAACAUUUAGACACUCCACCACUGCCAUGUUGGACCUCACUACCGAUCAUGGAGCUCCUCCCCCGCCAUUGAGCUCUGGCUCUGGUGGCCCAAUGAGCAUGUAGUAGUGAAAGAGGAGAGGUUGACAAGCGAGGAAACCCAUACAUGUGAGUGCGAUAUGAAAAAUGGGGGCUCCUGUUGAAGUUAAAGCUAUUAUUUUAGGUUGACAAGCAGUGCCGGUCCUGGAGAGGUGCGAGAGGUGUGACGGCCGAGGGCUCAUGGGAGGGAGGGGUCCAGGCCCAGGUAUACUGUAUACCUAUACAGAGAUAUACAGAGACCCCCAGCCAUACAUCAUACGCCUUGAAGAUGCGGCAGCCGGCAGUCUGAACGUGAAUGUGAAGAGGCACCGAGGCAGCAGUCUGAUCUAAUCACGGUGACGCGGUGGCUGCAUUAAACACCACAACCGUCCGCUUCCUCCGCCUCAUCGGCGCCCUGCCCCUCCACUACUCCACGACAUCGCCUCGCUCCACCGACCGCCGGUGAGUGCGUGCUUCUAUUGGUCGACGCCUCAUCAGUCAUCGCCCGGCGCCCGCUUGGGGUUUUUUUUCCUGCGAGUCUGUGAUGCUGGUGCUUUUUGGUGGAUGCUGAUUUUGCUCUUGUGGUUUUGUUGCUAAUUUGGCGGUGAUCAGGCCUUCCGAUCACUGCAGCCGAUCGAUCAUCACUUCAUCAAUCAUCAGUUCAUCAGCCGACCACGCACAAGCCCCUAGGUAUUUUUUUCCUUGAUCGUUUUUUAAUCUAAAUUAAUUACUUCGGACUUCUAGUACUCGGUACUCAUAUAGCUCGUGUUUUUCUUCUCAAAAUUGAAGUUGUUGAACAACUAUUUGAGAGCAACUAUGUCACAAGAAAGGUUAAAUGGAUUGGCUAUGUGCAUCAUCGAGAGGGAUAUUUUGGACACUAUUGAUCUUAAUACCGUCCUUGAUGAUUUUGUAUCAAGAAACGCCCGAAGAACUAUCUUUUUAUGAGAAGCAAUAGAUAUUAUGGAGUUCUAUUCUUCCUUAAGGUAGUCAUAUUAGUUUUAGUCUAUAUUGUUCCUCGAUAAUUAUCAAACAUGUUAAAUUAAAAAUAUAUCACUGGAUUUGUUUUCGCUUUGCAAGAAAAAUUAGCGCUAAUAUAUAUUAUAAGAUUUAUAUAUAGUCUAGAGGCGCCGUCGCGACGAGUUCGCCAGAGGGUACUGUGGACAAGCGAGACCCAGAAAGUAGGAGGAGGCCUUACUUAAAAAGUAUGAGCUUCUGAUUUAGGGACAAUACUAAAGAUGCUCUGACUAGCUAAAGGAUAAAUGUGCAGAGCAGGAGGAGAAGAAGGUUGGGGAAAGAGGAAGCUGAGGGCAUGCAAAUAAGCCGAUAUCUUAAAAUAAAAUUGAUAACGUUCUGAUGGUUAACCAGUUGUAAAUGCCCCGUACCAGGUUGCAGUGUAGUUUGGAGUUCAAAAUCGACUGUGGGCAUUUGAAUAUUUGAUUAACCCGGCCUAGCCCGGCCGGCCAAACUAAGUCAUUUUGUAAGCAAUGUGUUGAUCGUCUACCUCUACCGCGUCUUCUGUACGCAUUUAUAUUCUAGUUUCCCAGAAGGCAUGUCUUAACACUGCUCCACGAUGCCUUAUCACCGCCGGCUCUGAAGUGCCCUUCACUACUAGUUUUAGAUCCGAAAGGCGUUUGGUCAUCACUGCCCGGAUUGUAAACCGGCGGUGAUAAGCAUCUCAAAAAAAAAAAAGAAAAUCACGCGGCCCCAUGCUCCUGCACUGCCGGAUCCGGCGCUCCAUGCACGCCGCACGUACCCCACGCCACCACCUCCGGCCUUGCCCCGCAGGGAGACGGAGAGGGGGCUCGCCGCCAUGAGAGGGAGAGGGAGAGGGAGGGGCAACACGGUGGGGAGGGAGUGGCGGCGGCCCCGCUGGAUCCGUCUGCCGGCCGCUCCCUCCAGCACCGCCACCGCUACUCCCUCCAUCACGCGCCGCCGUCGCUCCCCGCGCCACCGCCACGUCGCGGCACGCAGCUGCUCCCCGCACCGGCCGCUGACCCCGUGCCGCCGCUAGCCGCUAAGAUCCGAGGGAGGGAGAGGGAAUUGCCGGGGGAGGAGAGGGGGAGGGAUCUGGCCGGGGGAGGAGAGGGAGAGCCAGGUGAGCGAGUGGGAGAGCGAGGUAGAGAGGGCAAAGGGGAUUGAGCGGAUGGGGGAGGAAAGGGAGAGGAUAAGGAUAGAGAGAGGGGGGCCGGGGGUGGCCGGUUGAGGGAGGCGCGUGUGAGGGUGUGGUCUCGGGACUUAACUUAUUUGGAUCAUUUUUUCAGAUCCGCUUCCUCUAUCAUCGCCAGUUGGUGUUAAAAUUCGGCACCCCAACCGACGGUGAUAUGAAUGUAUCACUGCCGGUUUAUUGCUAAAAUCGUUAUCGAUGUUAUUUUUUCCUACCACUCGACUAUUACAGCUGGUUUUAUUUAAUAGGCCGGCAGUGAUGAUACAUUCUGUAGCAGAUACAUUCUGUAGCAGACGUGUCACUAGCUGACCUGAUUUAGUAUUGCGAGCUGUGGCUUCCACAUAUACGUUACUCCACUCUUUUCUAGUCAAGCUGAUAAGAUGAAAGAACCAUGACACGCGAGGCGUAGGUGGCAGCUGGGCAAGUUGGUGUAAACGUUCGUCAACUUUCCGUAGAGUUCGAGCUGGAUUUCAGUUCAAUAAACAAUUUUCAACGUGACGGCGGCAGGAAUGUUAUCUUUACUUGCAGGUAUAAACCAUUGGAGCUGUGGCGUCUUGUUGCCUGCUUGGUACGGUUCUCCCAGUCUCCAAAUCUUGCUUUUGACCUGCGCAUCACUACUGGAAAAUAUUUUAUUUAAUGUGUUCAGUACCACAAGAAAAUAAUAUUUAGUGGCAGAGAUUACAUGUAUACGGAUGCGGGUCCACAUUUUUUUUUCUUAUUGUUAGAUUUUAUGUAUGAACCAAUUCAAAUGCGCUCAAAUGUUUGGGGGCUAGAUUGUGCACCACGAACCGACGACUAAUGUUAAAAACUAUAAUCAGUUAUUGUCGGGUCAAAAAAUACAAGCAAUGGUCUACUAAUGUUAAACCGACGACUCUAUAUAUAGCUUGCCCAGUAGUACAUUUCCCGGUGGCUUUGACCAUACAUCAUAACACAACAAUAAAGGAAAGUCAAAAUUUCAGCUUGUAAAAGUACUAGUCAAAAUACAUGACAUUAUUUUUUGAAAAAAGAAAAAAGCAUAUUUAAAACUACUCUUUACGAUCUAAAAUCGUUGUAUUUAAAUGUUUGACUGCACGUGCUUUACCCAUGAAGUCCUUUAUUUAGUGGGUCUACCAUAUAUUUGCUGUUUCUUAGCAGUGCCAUAAAUUUUAACUGAAAAUACUCCCUCCGUCCCAAAUUACCGUACAUUUUAAAUUUUAACAUAACUUUUAAUAUACGAUAUAUACUAUGUCUAGAUACAUAUCAAAAGUUAUAUAGCCAGAAAAGAGUAAAUGCCUGGGCGGGACAUGAACUUGGCAAGGAGUGCCAUCCAGGUCCCCAAAACUCUGAAAAUGCACAUCUAAAUCCCUAAAUUUGCUAAUCGGUUUAGUGAGGUCCAAUUCUCUGUAAUCCGUGUUAAACUGCAUGCGUGGCAUGCUGACUGUGCGAUGAUGUGGACCUAACAUGUGGUAUCAGGUCCACAUCCCUUCUUCCUCCCUUUCUCGCUCUCUUUCUCUCUCUCUCUCCCCGUCGCCUCAGUCUCCCGUCGGUGUGUCACACUUGAGCUUGGGGCAUUGGUAAGGUUGAGCGCUAGGACGGACGUGCCCGCGUUGGCUUGCAGCCCUGGCCAGCCACCCGUGCGGCCGCCGUCCUCCCCGGUGGGUGUCGUACAUACAUCUAUGGCUCACCAGAAGGUUUGGACAAUCCUAAAUAUGGGGCUGGACACCGAGACGCAUCUGACAUGGAGACCAUGGUGCAGGAUGGUGUAGUCUAUAUGGAAAGACAGGAACUAGUCGAGGAUUAGGAAAGUACUCGUUGUAAUAGGGUAGGCUUUCUCUAGUCGUAUCCGACCAGUAUUCUUGUAACCAACCGACCUGUAACCCUGCCCCGACUAUAUAAGGCGAGGCAGGGACCCCCUCUAAAGCAAUUCAAUCCAACCAACACACAGGACAUAGGGUAUUACGCAAUCUAGCGGCCUGAACCUAUCUAAAUCGUGUGUCUGCGUUUACCUUCGAGUUCCUGAUCUCGACGAGCCCAACAAACCAAAACACUAUCUCGGGCACCCCCCUCGGUAGGUUGCUGAGUCUAAACACCGAUAGCGGAGCCACCGCAGACCUUGUCCGCCUGAGCCAAGCCGCCGCUGCGAGUUUAUCCCGCACCCAGCCGCCACCACCAUCCAUCCCAACCGAGCCAGUCGGCAUUCGCUCCACCUGCGCGGGGCCAUCGCGGUCGUCCGCUCCUCCCACUCCCAAGCCCAACUAAUGCUGCCGCCCGCUCUUCCUACCCCUGACCGCUACCUCCUGUGGCGGAUCCACUUCGGAUCUACUUGGUUAAACAUGAUUUAGCCGCAUGAUACGCGACGCUCAUGCCUAAACUGAGUAAACACGAAGUGCCGUCGGAUUUCAUCCGAUUUAACCACUUGAACAGGACCAAUUAGCAAACCCACACAAAGGUGAGCAGUUCCAGAGAAUACAACAAGUCCACCGAGUUAACAAAUUACCCAUUUAGUUUGGCCAUAAAACACAUCAGAGUUUACAAGGUUCAAAAGAAAAACAACAGAAGGUAAAACAACUAGCGGAAGCUAACUCGUCGGGGUCGGAUAUCCCUGGUGAGGCCAACCGGGACAUCAAUGAUCCCUCUCCUCGCCGUCCGAGGAGGGAUCCCACUCGACCGUCCAACCCGGAGGGAGUUGGGGCGGCCAAGUGCCGGCAGGAGGAGGCUCAGAGGCAGCAACUUCACCUGAAAAAGAAAAGUCACAACAAGGCUGAGCUACUAAGCUCAACAAGACAUAACCGACACGGAGCGCGCUAAACUACCUCUUCUAGACAUGCAAGGCUUUUUGGCUGAGGGGUUUGUUUGCCAAAAGCGCUAGAUGUAACCCUACUUUCAAGUUUUAGCUCCGGUUCUAAGUUCAUUAUCCGGUCUAAGUUUGCAACCUAUUCUAAGCAAUCAUAGAACUAACCAAAGGUAUACAUAUCAUCAACAAAACCAUCUCAUCAUCAGAUUCCUUAUUUACUCAGGGUGACAUAGCGAUCAAGCAGUCUCAAACUGUGAGAGGCAGACGAAUCGAUUCGAGUUUCUUAACCAUGCAUGGCGAACCUAAUCUCACGACAUCCACGCACCACAAGGGCCGCUUCCUGUGUCGGCCGUCCCCAUCAAUUCCCAGGCGCGUGUCAGGUCCAAACUUCCCUUGGCAUGCAAUGCUCCACAGUCCUGGCCUCUACCGUACUGUGACCGCACUUGCACCCACAUGAUGCACCAUGGGAACCUC
rnacentral:lncRNA from 1 species